rnacentral:lncRNA from 1 species
AAAAAAUAUUCAUCAUAUAUUAAAUAAAUUUCAUUCUGUUAAAAAAUAUUCAUCAUUUAUUUAAAAUACAUACGUUGGUCAUGUGUACUGUUAUUUUCUAAUUGCAUAAGUAAAACAAGUAAGAAGAAAAUCACAGAAAAUAAAGAAAGAGAAAAAUGUGGGAAAAGAACAACAAAUAAUAGGGAAAUGAAAAAAGAGGCAAAGAUAAUUAAAAGAAUUCAAGAAAAAAAUUGAUUAAAAAACCCACAAGAAACUAGUCGAAAACAAGAAAAAAAGAUAAUAUCAUGAACAAAAAUCAGGUAGAUACACCAAGAAGAGAGCCAUGUGUUCAACGAACCUAAAAGUAACCAGUACAUCGCAUGUGCGUAUCGGGCCAUGGCCCGGGUGUUCUGCAGGCGAGCUCUAACUAAGAGCAUCUCCACCCCCCCACCCCCAGGACGUCCCCCACGACACCUUUUUAGGCUCGGUUUUACGCUCGGACCACCUUUUUGCCGAAAAACGGCCCAGCAACGCCCCCAGCGCCCCCACAGGACAUCAAAAUAGCGUCGGCAAACCCAGGAAAAAAGCAGCACGUUGGGGGCUUUUGGGGGCGCCGGCAGAAGUUUCGGCGAAUCGUGUCUCACCACAUGUCUUUUUUCUUGGCCCACUUAGUCAUUUUCCUCACAAACUUUUGAUUGGGGUGGGGUGUGGCUGAGAAGAUGCCCUCCUCAUGCACCCAUAUUUCGGCCGGAUGAAGCAUUUGGACCCCCAAGACACCUACUUUUUUGGUUCGGUGGUGUUCUUGGUGCUCCAACGGCUGGAGAUGCUCUAAUACUUGGUACAAUCGAUAUAUAUAUUAUUUGCCGCCCGGAAGCACGUCUAGUAAAAGAGUUUCUCAAGAAGGUUGGGCGAAUGUGUGAUAGCCCACCCUGAGAUCUCCCAACCUUCUAUAUAUAUUAUAGAAAAGAGUAAAAAGACAUGUUUAACCCUAAAACCGUACGAAAAGAUAGUUAUUGGCCAAGCUUGGCCUAAAAACGUGGAUCUGCCGCUGGUUUUUAAGCUAGCAAUGCCUACUGAGGCUGUCCUUCUAUUAUUAAGCGUAAAUUAAAUACUUGAGUAAUUAAAAAUUGGAUAAUGCCAUCAGUGUGUUUUGACGCAAGCUAGAAGGUAGAGUAUUUUUAAAGUUAAAUAUACAUGUAUCAAGUAACCGGUGCAGCUAGACUCGCAUGAUCGAGAUAAACAUUUAUUUUGUAACCCUACCAAGUAAUUAAUAAACGAAUACAUUUGCUAAGGAUUACAGUAAUUCUAAUGCACAGACGGUUGAAUUGUUUUUACGUUUUUAUCAAUAUUUUAUUUAAUGUUUUUUAUCCAUCUCUUUGAAGUUUUUAUUUUCUUUUUAAAUUGUAGUUUUGUUAUUUAUUUAUCGAGGUAUUCAUUUAUAUUUUGUUAUUUUUAUAUGCACAAUCACGACAAAAAGCCACGACUCCGCGUGCACUAUGUCACCUCCCUCUGUUAAGCCCCUAUUCCCUCACUCAUUCAUUCAAACUAGAUGACACCCCGCACGUUGUUGCGGGAACUGUUGUAGGAAAAAAGGGAUAUGUUAGACAAAUGAAAUAUAAAUAAUUUGGAUAUGCUUUCAGCCAUAUCGUUUCUUGGCUAAAUUAAAACCAUUUCAUGAGAUUGAACAAUGCAGAACUGGCUAGAAAAAAUACAUAACAUUUCCUUUAAAAAAUAUUAAAAUUAGUGGUUUCAGUUCCCACUGGCAAAAUAUCGUGGCCCUGACAAACAUUUGUGCAUCAAAUUGCCCACAAAGAAUAAAAAAUAUAGCACAAAUCAAAUUGGCAUUGGAGAUUUGCUUCAGAUGUGGUAAUGAUUCUUCUUAUGUGCCCGCAUCAUAACUCACUACUUAUCGUCAUGGUGAAGAAAACAAACAAUCACCUCCAUUAAUAGGAACUGAGUGCUGGCACUUGAAAAGUGGGAAAAAUAAUAGUGUGUAAGAGUUGAUGACAGCGAGAACAUAAAUUGCCAAUUUAGUUUGUCCCAUAAUUUCUGCACAUAAAAAGCCGAACCACUCCUACAUUUAGUGAAGGCAACAUUAUACAACAAUUAGCAUGAAAAAAAUCAUGAUGAAAUAAAAUGGUGAUGCAAUUUUGACUUCAUAAGGCAAGACCAUUCAAGGGAGAAAUCUUUUGAACAUAGCACGAUGAUGAUCUUUUGGUCAAUAACUGAACAUGACAAUUCAUAAGCAUAUUAUGCAUUCAAUAUUCUAUUCUAGAUAAUAUUUUAAGUCCGAAAUAUCCAUGGUUUGGGAAGUCAGGAUGACCUGUUCCAAAACAAAGGCAUGUACGUAAACCGAACAAAUAUGAAAAUGAAGAGAGAAUGGUGAAGUAUGUAUCUUACUGAUUCCGCAAAGGUGAACAUAAUUAGAUUAAAGGUGUUGAACUGAAGUAGUUAUAUAAGGGUCAAAGGAUAAAAAUCAAUAAGGAAAGUUAAAGGAGGGCAUGUUCUUAUGUAUAUAGAAUUGAAUGAAGAUUUGCUUCAGAGGUGGUAAUGAUUCUUCUUAGUUGCCCACGCCAUAGUACUAUUUUAAGGCCAUGCAAGACUAAUGAGAGUUGAAUGAAAGAAAUAGGCUGACCGUCCUUCGACUAUUUUUGUAUCAUCUUCCUUCAACUGCUCUAAAUAGGCUGACCGUCCUUCGACUAUUUUUGUAUCAUCUUCCUUCAACUGCUCAGACCAAUACUUGUCAACACUUUCGGGUGUGCAUAUAUGCGGAAGUAACUCACAACAUUAAAACAUGAGAAUGAUUGGAAGCGAACUAAUCCAGACAAAAGCUUUCUUUACCCCGUAAGUCAGACCAAAGUAACCUGCGAAUAUCAAGAUAUUUUGAUUAUUCUGAAAUAUGUUCAGAACACAUCAGUAAUUAAAAAUAGAAGAUGUAUUGCACAUCAAAGAAGAUUAUGGAUAUCAUACCAUCAAAAGAGAUUUAUGCAUUUUGUAAGACAAUUUCUUCAGAGGUCUCCUUUAGCAAGGGACGAUAGAGUCUGUGUAGAUUAUGUAAUCGUACCAACAAAAUGGCUCAGCAAGAGUCACCUUUACUGGAUGGUCACAAAGAAAUUCAGUAACAUUAGUGAUUCAACCUGCUAAAGAAAAUAAGGUCAAUAACAAAUAUGCAUCUUGAAAGUAGUAUUUGGUAUCUCGGGUGUACCUAUAUAUGUUCUUUAGUCUUGACUGCUAGCGUCUCUUCUCCUCUCAGCAGAUCAUAAUGCAGUUGUCUCGAAAAACUAUUUGAAGCAGCAGCUCUCCUCCUCCUGACUAUGUCUACACUUCCGUUGGCUGCUGCUACUACUUUUCAUGAAGUUAACACAAUGUUUAAUAAAUAAAAAGAAAUUUCAUGAAUUUACAAAAACCAGUGGACUGAGGAUUGCUAUGACGGGAAAAAUUAACAAAACCUAUUUUUUCUUUUGAUUUUGCAGUGUUUUUGCUGUUUUAUUUGAUCUUUUUAUUUAUUUUUACUUGGUUAUUUUUCUUUUUCUCCUAUUGUAUUUAUUUAAUAUAUAAAAUAAUGAGUGAAUUCCGGUUUUUACCCCCUAUUUUGCCAUUUUUGACACUAAUUACCCCGUUUAGUGGGAUUUUAUCCAUUUUACCCCAUUUAGCAAAAGUGUUACCUCAAUUUAGCCCGUGGUGAACAUAUGCGGACCAGCGAAGAAUAAGUAUAUGUUUCCUGAGCUACUAUAGUGCAAUCAUAUCGAGCCUAGCUUAUCAGAAGAAGCUAGGGGGGUGCGGUUCGGCGUGCAGAGAAAGCAUCAAGAAAAAACCUGUCGAUGUGGCAUCUAGCUAGACCUUACAAUUGGGACCCAUCGGUCAGAACACUCAUAAAUUUUAAACAUGGUGAACUGUGGCAACACUUUUGCUAAAUAAUGUAAAAUGGAUGAAAUUCUGCUAAAUAGGGUAAUUGGUGUCAAAAAUGUCAAAAUAGAGGGUAAAAACCAGAAUUCACUCUAAAAAUAUUCUAAACUAUUCUGGUUCAAUUUUUUGAUUCAAUGAAACUGAUCCAUGUUGAUUAAACGAAACUGAUGCAUAUGCAAUGAUACGCAUGGAUGCUGAUUAAACAAAACGGAUGCAUAUCAAUCUUCGUAUGGGUGCGCGGACCUUUUUCUUUUCGAUUGCCUAGCAACUUAAUAAUUGAUUGAUGCAUCUCAACCUUGGUAUCACGGCGACCAAAACCGUGGAUUCCUUGCCCUUCACUCCAUCAGAUCACCACCGACCAAUAUUCCUCGCUCAUGUCUAGUCUUCUUUCCUCUGCCUCCGCCUCCACGCACUCCUCCUUAGAUAUAAUUAAACCAAACUGACCGCCCCAUGGUGGCCCCCAUCCUUGUCGGCAUGAAAUCCAAUGCUACGUGCGGAGCAAGUAGUCAUCCCUCCCUUGUGGCGAGCUCGGCGCCGUGUGUGGAUGAGGCCGUAGGUAUGCGCAUACCAGGAGCACAAGACCAUGUCAAGGAGUGGAGAGGAGGUCUAUAUGGAAUGUUGUGUUGGCCAGAGACCACCAAACACAUGUCACAUGAUCACAUAACCCCUACCCACCCUAAAUCAUUGGUUCAGUGGCUAGAACCCCAACUGACCAUAGCUCGAUGUCUGGACCAUGUCAAGGCACAUGGAGAGAGAAGGGAGACUAGGGACUCACCAGAACUGACUCGCUAUCUGGAUCAGCUUGAAAGUUGACUACACGAGGAUUGUAUCAGCUUCCCUCCUUGACACUCUGACUUCCAGGGUUGUUUUUCCCCUUUAGCUCUCGUCAUAAUCAAAGAAACAACGAUGUUAGAUCUCUCUCAAAUGAACAUAACAAGAGACAGAAAAAUAUAGUUUGUGUUCAGCGGAGAUAAAGAUUAUGCACCACUCAUAUAGCUGGUGAGGAUAUAAUAGUAGCGAGCUACUCCACAACAGUUUAAGCAAUCGUAAUAUUAACCAAACCACAAACAAAACCUAUGUUCUGGAACCCAUUCAUCAUCACCUAAGAAAUAACAAAUUGCACAACACCUACACUACUCAUGCGUGGGUAAAGUAUCAAAUAUCUUCAUCUAGUCUAAGUAGAUAGUACCAAGGGUUAUUUAGCAAGCCUAUGUAAAGAGUUGCAAUUCCCAAAUUCCGGCAUCAAGAGAUAUGCCCAUAACAAUCACAUCCAUUUGUUAAACAUAUAUAAUAGCAUGAUUAAAGGCUCUAAUUAUUAAUAGGAGCAUUAAUAUUGACCCCAGGUAAAUGUGGAGCGAUACAAAAGCAGCUACGUAUCAUCCAAUGGCCUAGAAUUGUCAACAUCGAACGAAAACAUGCCAUCCUAUUCAAACUGGCUAAUUACAAGUAGGGAAAAUCAUAUCUAGCAGACUAUCAUCACCAAAAUCAUAAGCAGGAUAGUGCACCAUGACAAUAUCAUAAUCAUGACUUUCAAAAGGUUAGGAUAACUAAACAACAUGCAUCUUGACUAAUAUGUUUUUUCAUAGAAGUUACAGCCUUACCAAGCCACUCAGCCGAUUUGAAACACCACGACAUUGGUGGCCCAUGCAGGUCCCUGCUGGCAGUCGCUGCGGAGUGAUGGGAAUUUAGAUCGGCUCCGACGUGAUCUACAUGUCGGAACCGAACUUCAUCGUCGACGUCGGCAUCUGUGUUGCUGGCUCAACUGGUCACCUUUCCUGGACCAAGGACUACGCUUCGCGUCAAAUCGUCAUGAUCAGGCGGGUGCCUUCAUCAUCAACUCUGAUCCUAGCCGAAGUCAUAGAGGAAUUCGUCCAUGGAGCUUGGGGGCUCAACGUCAACAUUGCCCUCGUGUGAUCAUGCCGUUUUUGUUGAACAACGGAUUGUGUUCACCUUCUCCGCCUCCUCGAGUGUCGCUUUGAUGAUUGCUUCGGUGAAAUUGUGUGGAAUUGAGUCUACAACAACCUUGUAAAAUUUCCUCGCGUUCCUAUGGAGGUAUCUCCGGCAAUCUCCGACAUACCGGAGCCCAAUCGAAUCUGGACGGGAAUCUGGAUGACUUUGUGGCGAGGAGUCUAGCGUCCAUCCCGGACAUCCGUUGGAAAAUCCAACUGUUCAUCGGUUGCGCAAUUCCUAUGUUGACCACCACUCAAAUUUCAGCUUGGUCCGACCGUUCAAACUCUAGGGAACGUCCGAGUAGUAAAUCAAUUCUCUGAUAUGUUUUCUGCGCGCAAACAAAUCUGACCCGAGUUCAUCUUUUCAUGAACGGGUUAUCAGACAUCCUUUUUGAAUGAAAUUGCUACUGCUGGUACAUGUAUGCCUACGGCCUCGUCCACACACGGCGCAGAGCUCGCUAGCACAGAGGGACGGCGGCCUGCUCACCGCGUAGCAUUGGAUUUGAUGCCGCCAAGGAUGGGGGCCUUCAUGCUGUGGGCAGUUUGGUUUAAUUAGGCGAAGGCAGAGCAGAGGAAAGAAGACUAGACAAAAGUGAGGGAGGUCGGGAGGUGGUGUUUUGAGGGAGUGAAGGGCGAGGCGUCCAUGGCUUGGUCGCCGUGAUACCAAGAUUGAGAUGCUUCAAUCAAUUAUUAAGCUAGCAGGCAAACGGAAAGAAAAAGGUAUGCAUCAGUUUCGUUUUUAUUAGUUUUGCCUUUUCUUUAUUUCCCUCUUUUCCUUUUUUUUCCUUUCCUGUCUUAGUUCUUUCAUAAUUUUUUUGUUUUGACUUAUUAUCCUUUUUCAUUUAGAAAAUGAACAACAUGACUUUUUUAUCAUAUGAUUUACAUAUUUUAAUCACCUGAUGAAUUUUUUUAACACAUGAUGAAUGUUUUUUGAUAUACAAUGGCUAUUUUCUUAAAUACAGAUAAUUUUUUAAGUGUAUAUUCUGUUUUAUAUGAUUUCUUUUCAAAAUUAUGUGAAUUGUUUUAUAAGCAUGGCUACUUUAACAAUCACAUGUACAUUUUCUAAAAUACAUAAACACUCUUUGUAAAUUCAAGAUUUUUUUCUAAAGAUUUAUUUAGAAACUAAAUGAAUUUUUUUCUAAAUAGGUGAAUUGGUUUCAUAGUAUAAGAAAAAUUUAUUUAGAAUAGUUUUUUCGUGAGUAAGCAUUUUUUUUGUUUACACAAACUAUUUUGUCAAAUGUGCAGAAAGAAAAUUUGAACAAGAAUACUUUAGAAAUACUAUAUAUGUAAGAGGAGAAAAAGUAAAACAACCAAGUGGAAAUAUAUAAAAAGAACAAAAAAGGGCAAAAGCACUGGAAAAUCACAAAUAUAGGAGUCUAGCUGCAUGGGUUACUUGAUAUCAUGUUUAUUUAACAUUUUUUUACUCUACCUUGUAGCUUGCAUCAAAACACACUAAUGUCCUUAUCCAUUUUUUAUUUCGUCAAGUAUUCAUUUCACAUUUAAGAUGAGGGGGACUGAAUCAGUAGCCAUUGCUAGCUAAAUAAUAGGCGGCAGAACCGUGUUAUUAGGCCAACCUUCUUGAGAGACUCUUUUAUCAGACGUUGCUGUCGGGCGCCAAAUGAUAUAUAUCGCUUGUACCGGGCAUUACCUAGAGCUUGCCUGCAGAACCGUCUUGAUUUAUUUUAUUAUUUUUGGCUUUUUGUUUAUUCCCCUUUUGCUGUUCUUCUUUUUCUAUUUUUUCUGUUUCUUUAUUUUUCUGUUGAUUUUAUUUUUUUACUUAUUUUACUUUUUCAUUUAGAGAAUUAAUAUUAGACAUGACUUUUUAAUCACACGGUUAUGGUCACGUAGCACGGUUUUAUAAUAACGGAUUCCUAAAUGUGAGCCAAUAAUAGUAACGAUACAAUUUGUAUAUAGAAAGUAAACCCUGGCCACUCCAUGGCAUAUUCAUCAUGGAACCUACAAAGGACGCAUAUAAACUCCAUUUUUUUCCCUUUUUGCUUUCGUGUAGGAGGCGCAUGACUCCAUGGAUGACCAGCCAUCAUUUUUUCUGUGACGUUGACCGUCACUAACAAUUACGAUGAUGCAUUUGACCGGUCAACUAUUCUGGCAUGAAGACCCAAUGAGAUGCUGACAUGGCUGCUACCAAGUGGGUCCAGACGUGGGUAAUUUGGCUUCUUACAUGUGGAUCCAAUGCCAUACGCGGGCGACGGCAUGCAUACCUAUCCCAAUUUGUAGAUGCGGUCAAUUUAUUAUAUAUUGCAAUUGGCGGGCAUAUUUGAAAAUUUAAUCAUUUUUAUAAUUCGUAUAUGAAUUUGUGCGAGAUUUCAAUUUUAAUGCCAAGUCAGCUAUCUUUACUCGAUUAAAUGACAGACAAUUAUCACACAGACUUUCUGAACCAUUACAAUAAAAAACCAUGGGACAGAGCCACACAAUAAAAUUAGGCACAUGGCGCAUUUUCAUGACCAUCAAACAAUGCACUAGUAUGAUGGGGUUUGUUUGCUCAGCUAUAGACAUGGGAUCCUGGCGUCGCAAUCGUGGCGAUGUACUUAAGCGUCCUAUCAAGAUCAUUAAGCUUCUUUCGAUAGCUAAAGUUUUCUCUUUCUUAGCAUUCUUGAUGACUUCAAGUUCUCCCUUCUGGUUGCGCCAACCUCGGUUUGUGUCAGCGGUGGCCGCCCGGUGGCGCGAGGCGCGUGAUGCCCCCCAUCGCGCCCUUUCGGCCCUUGACUCCUGACACUUUUGUGCUAAGCGGUCCCGGCAAUUCAUGAAAGGAUGGGGUGCAAAUGUGGGCCGUGACAUUCGCGAGCGUAAGAAAGCCCUUCUUGAGGCCAUCCAGGCCCUCGAUCUGCGGGAUGAUGCCGCAGGCCUCUCUCUGAGGAGUGGAUGCUUAGGUACGACCUGGAAGACUAGCUCACGGUCAUCUACACGGACGAGGAGGCCUACUGGCGCUUGCGAGGUACGCAGAAUUGGGUCCUCAAGGGGGAUGCCAAUACCGCCUACUUCCAGGCCAUUGCCAACGGUCGUCGUCGCCGUAAUUCCAUCCCGCUUCUCUGGGACGGCGAGACCCUCCUGCAGCGGCCAGAGGACAUCCGGGCCCAUGUAGACGGCUUUUACAGAGACCUAUUCUCUGCCUCCCAUCGGGGAGGUCUUGCCCUGGCGCAAGACAUCUGGCCGGCCCACGGCUGUGUCUCUCCUGCUGACAACGCGGCCCUUACGGCCCCGUUCUCUAAGGCUGAAGUGUGGGCGACAAUUAAGGGUAUGAACCCUUCUUCGGCCCCCGGUCCGGAUGGCCUCCAAGUGAAGUUCUUCCAGCCUUUCUGGGAGGUAAUAAAACCGGAGGUGAUGGCCUUGUCUGAGGAAUUCUUUGUAGGAUCCAUUGACCUCACCAGGCUGGACUUUGGGAUCAUCACCCUCAUCCCCAAAGUAACUGGGGCUUCGGAUAUUCGCCAGUUUCGGCCGAUUACGGUGAUUAAUGUCAUCUUCCGCAUCCUCGCGAAGGGGUACGCCCUUAGGGUGGCCCCCAUUGCCGACAGGAUCACUCACCCUGAUCAGUCGGCAUUUAUUCAGGGCCGGUAUAUCCUUGACGGAGUUUUGGUUUUUCACGAAGCACUCCAUGAGGUUCACUCCAAACACCUCAAGGCAGUCUUCCUGAAACUGGAUUUCCACAAGGCGUAUGGCACAGUCAGUUGGCCCUUCCUUCGGGAAUGCUUGCUGCGGAAGGGCUUCAACGACAGGUGGGUCUCCCGAGUGAUGCAAAUGGUAUCCUCGGGCCGGACCGCGGUGAACAUUAAUGGCGAGGUUGGCCCAUUCUUCCCCACAUCCCGUGGGAUCCGCCAGGGCGACCCCUUCUCACCGUUCCUCUUCAACAUGGUUGUCGAUGCUCUGGCAGCCAUCUUAGAUAAAGCCAAGCCUGUGGGCCACAUUAAGGGCAUAGUCCCGCAUCUAGUUGGGGGGAACGGGAUCUCCCUCCUCCAAUAUGCGGAUGACACCAUUAUCAUGGUGGAAGGCUCGGCGACCGACAUCAUGAACUUGAAGUUCCUCCUGAUAUGCUUCCAGCAGAUGUUUGGCCUCAGGAUCAACUUCGAUAAGAGUGUGGUAAUGGUCUUGGGAUACUCCCAAGACGAAUGGCAGAGCAUCGCGGAUCGGCUCAAUUGCCAGCUUGGGUGUUUCCCCACGACCUAUCUGGGGAUCCCCAUUAGUGAUUUGAGGCUCACGGUGGCUGAGCUUCGCCCCACAGUUGGGAAGCUUCAACACCGCAUCGAGGCUUGGCAGGGCUGAUGUCUCUCGAAGGCGGCCCUGACAGUGCUUAUUAACUCGUCCCUGGCCAUCCUUCUCUUAUUCAUCAUGAGCUUCUACAGCCUUCCUGAGACUCUGAUCACGAGAUUGCCACAGUUCAAGGGCGCUUCUUCUGGGCCGGCGAGGGCGACAAGUAGAAAUACCACAUGGUUCGUUGGUCGGAGAUUUGUAAACCGCGCUACCAGGGUGGUCUCGGAUCAUGUCCUCCAAACGCAUGAACAUUGCCCUCCUAACGAGAUGGUUGUGGCGGAUUGCCAACGGACAGGGUGCCCUGUGGCUUCACCUCAUUCAGCAGAAAUACCUCCGUGGCCAGCCUCUCACCUUCUGCCAGUGGUCUGGAGGUUCCUAUUUCUGGCAAUCCAUCAUACAGCUCCUACCGAUCCUCCGCAUCGGCACCUUGAUCGCGGUUGGAUCGGGCACCUCCACGAUGUUCUGGUUCCAUAGAUGGGCUGGAGACUUACCCCUCGCGGCACGUUUUCCCUACCUAUUCUCCAUCGCGGUUGACCCGCGGAUCUCUGUCGCGACGACCCUUAUUGACUUAGGGCAACUCGCGUUCCGGAGAGCAUUUGGCCUGCCUGAGAACGCGGACUGGCAUGAGCUGCUGGAAUGCAUCGGGCUGCACGAGCCUGAUCUUGAGGUAGGAGAAGACCGUGCCAGGUGGCGUCUAGAGCCAUCUGAGCAAUUCUCCACUAAAUCUCUAUACCAGGCCAUCACACCUUCGCUGGGUCAUGAGGUAGUCACCACCAUCUGGGAUAUACAGCUCCCCUUGAAGAUUAGGAUUUUCUUGUGACAGUGGAUUCGCGGCUGCCUCCCAUCCGGCGUGGAAGUCCUGAAGCGCAACGGCCCAGGGGAUGGGCGAUGCCCGCUCUGUGGGCCUGAAGAGGAUUUGAACCAUAUCUUCUUCACAUGCGUGUCCGCGCAGUUCCUAUGGAGUUGUUUCCGUGAAAUAGUGGGUGGAAGCAGGGACCACAACAACUUUCCCGCUCUUUUCGCGGAACUCCAGGCGUUAGCUCCCUCAAUUCGCCACAUUAGGUUGCUGAUCAUCGGGGUGCUAACCUGGACGCUGUGGACUGUUAGGAAUAAACUUUUGAUUAAGCGCAUUCCUUUUCGACGUGCUACUGACGCUUUGUUCAAAUGGUCUGGUUAGUUGCAGUUUUGGCGGCUGCUUAGCCGUCCCCGGGAGAUAGACGCCAUCACCUCCAUCAUCAUCCAGCUUCGCUCGAUGGCUCUCCGUAUGGCUCCACCGCUUCCCCCACCAGCGCCGGAGCCGGAUUAGAUCUUCUACACCUCGCCACCGCCGUUAUGUUUGUUGUGUGUGUCUUGCGCCGAUGUUGGGCUUGUUGUGCUGUGCCCAUAGCUGAACUUGGGUUUCGACUGUGUGUGUGUUCGUCGGAACUGCCUGCGGUGGCUGUGUGUGUGUGUUUUUAUGGUCGGAACCUUGUUAACUUUGUGCUCGGUGGUUGCUUUUUUUAUAAAGAGGGGAGAAAGCCUUUUUCGGUAAGGGAAGUGUUGAUAGAUUCAAGAUGAUUAUGCAGAUCUAACAGGGCCAUUAUUAGGCAUUCCAUUUGGUCUUGCCGCUCUGGCAGAGCCUUCUUGACACCUUCAAGUAUGUUUUUGCUAGUGUACAAGUGUACGUAAUCUUCACAUAUUGAAGUUCAUGCUACGCACCUGGCACGACAUGCUUCAUGUUCUUGCUGCUGCUCUCCUAGGUCCAUCUUGACAGCUUCAAGUUCUAGUUGUUGCUCUGCUAGGGCCUUCUUAACGGCUCCAAGUUCUAUUUUCUGCUCACCUAGGGCCUUCUUCAUAGCAUGAAGUUCCUACUGCUGUACAACCAAUGUGUGCUCGACUGCUUCUUUUGCUUCAUGGUGCACCACCACCACAUUGUUGAUAGCUUCAGGUUACUGUUUCUGGACCCCAAUACUUGCAAGAAAGUCAUCAUUUGAGAAUCCUUGCUUUCCUACAAAAUAAUAUAUACGAGGUUACAACAUAUGGAUGAAUUCCAAAAUAUAUAUGCACAUGCCGCAAUACACAGAGGUAGGGUAAAUAAAGAUAAUUACAUGUAAAUUUUAUAAAACAUGUGAACAUUCUUAGGAAAAAAGAAAAUUAUUUUCUAAAUACAUGAGUAUCUAUUAUAAAUUAUAUGGAUAUUUGUCUAGAUAGUUCAUGAAUCAUUUUUGAAAGUACAAUAAUUUUUUAUUUAGAAUAGUCAAACACUUUCUAAAUUCAAUUACAUAUUUUUAAAUGACUGGGCACUUACUUUUUUACAGGAACUAUUUUUUCAACAACAACAACAAAGCCUUUAGUCCCAAACAAGUUGGGGUAGGCUAGAGGUGAAACCCAUAAGAUUUCGCAACCAACUCAUGGCUCUGGCACAUGGAUAGCAAGUUUCCACGCACCCCUGUCCAUAGCUAGCUCUUUGGUGAUACUCCAAUCCUUCAGGUCUCUCUUAACAGACUCCUCCCAUGUCAAAUUUGGUCUACCCCACCCUCUCUUAACAUUCUCCGCAUGCUUUAGCCAUCCGCUAUGCACGGGAGCUUCUAGAGGCCUCCGCUGAAUAUGCCCAAACCAUCUCAGACGAUGUUGGACAAGCUUCUCUUCAAUUGGUGCUACCCCAACUCUAUCUCGUAUAUCAUCAUUCCGGACUCUCGAUCCUUCCUCGUGUGGCCACACAUCCAUCUCAACAUGCGCAUCUCCGCCACACCUAACUGUUGAAUAUGUCGCCUUUUAGUCGGCCAACACUCAGCGUCAUACAACAUUCCGGGUCAAACCGCUGUCCUGCAGAACUUGCCUUUUAGCUUUUGUGGUACUCUCUUGUCACAGAGAAUGCCAGAAGCUUGGCGCCACUUCAUCCAUCCGGCUUUGAUUCGAUGGUUCACACCUUCAUCAAUACCCCCAUCCUCCUACAACAUGGACCCCAAAUACCGAAAGGUGUCCUUCUGGGGUACCACCUGGCCAUCAAGGCUAACAUCCUCCUUCUCACACCUAGUAGUACUGAAAUCGCACAUCAUAUACUCGGUUUUAGUUCUACUAAGCCUAAACCCUUUCAAUUCCAAGGUUUGUCUCCAUAACUCUAACUCCUAUUUACCCCCGUCCGACUAUCGUCAACUAGCACCACAUCAUCCACAAAGAGCAUACACCAUGGGAUAUCUCCUUGCAUAUCCCUUGUGACCUCAUCCAUCACCAAUGCAAAAACAUAAGGGCUCAAAGCUGACCCCUAAUGCAGUCCUAUCUUAAUCGGGAAGUCAUCAGUCUCGACAUCACUUGUUCGAACACUUGUCACAACAUUAUCAUACAUGUCCUUGAUGAGGGUAAUGUACUUUGCUGGGACUUUGUAUUUCUCCAAGGCCCACCACAUGACAUUUCGCGGUAUCUUAUCAUAGGCCUUCUCCAAGUCAAUGAACACCAUAUGCAAGUCCUUCUUUUGCUCCAUAUGUCUCUCCAUAAGUUGUCGUACCAAGAAAAUGGCUUCCAAGGUCGACCUCUGAUACGUCCAUUUUGCAUCAUGCUUUUAUAUCGAUAUUUAUUGCAUUAUGGGUUGUUAUUACACAUUAUGUCACAAUACUUAUGCCUAUUCUCUCUCAUUUUACAAGGUUUACAUGAAGAGGGAGAAUGCCGGCAGCUGGAAUUCUGGGCUGGAAAAGGAGCAAAUAUUAGAGACCUAUUCUGCACAGCUCCAAAAGUCCUGAAACUUCACGGAGGCACGUUCUGGAAUAUAUAAAAAAUAUUGGAGAAAGAAUCAACCAGAGGGGGCGCACACCCUGGCCACGAGGGUGGGGGGCGCGCCCUACCCCCUGGGCGCGCCCCCUGCCUCGUGGGCCCCCUGGCAGGCCUUCGGUGCCCAUAUUCUGCUAUAUGAAGUCUUUCACCCUGGAAAAAAUCAUAAGCAAGCUUUCGGGACGAAACACCGCCGCCACGAGGCAGAACCUUUGCGGAACCAACCUAGGGCUCCGUCGGAGCUGUUCUGCCGGGGAAACAUCCCUCCAGGAGGGGGAAAUCAUCACCAUCGAUCCUCUCAGCGGGAGGGGGUCAAUCUCCAUCAACAUCUUCACCAGCACCAUCUCCUGUAAAACCCUAGUUCAUCUCUUGUAUCCAAUAUUUGUCCCAAAACCUCAGAUUAGCACCUGUGGGUUGCUAGUAGUGUUGAUUACUCCUUGUAGUUGAUGCUAAUUGGUUUAUUUGGUGGAAGAUCAUAUGUUCAGAUCCUUAAUGCAUAUUAAUACCCCUCUGAUUAUGAACAUGAAUAUGAUUUGUGAGUAGUUACGUUUGUUCCUGAGAACAUGGGAGAAGUCUUGCUAUAAGUAGUCAUGUGAAUUUGGUAUUCGUUCGAUAUUUUGAUGAGAUGUAUGUUGUCUUUCCUCUAGUGGUGUUAUGUGAACGUCGACUACAUGACACUUCACCAUUGUUUGGGCCUAGAGGAAGGCAUUGGGAAGUAAUAAGUAGAUGAUGGGUUGCUAGAGUGACAAAAGCUUAAACUCUAGUUUAUGCGUUGCUUCGUAAGGGGCUGAUUUGGAUCCAUAUGUUUCAUGCUAUGGUUAGGUUUACCUUAAUACUUCUUUUGUAGUUGCGGAUGCUUGCAAUAGGGGUUAAUCAUAAGUGAGAUGCUUGUCCAAGGAAUGGCAGUACCCAAGCACCGGUCCACCCACAUAUCAAAUUAUCAAAGUAACGAUCGCGAAUCAUAUGAGCGUGAUUUAAACUAGCUUGACGAUAAUUCCCGUAUGUUCCCGGGAGGGUUUUCCUUCAUAUAAGAGUUUGUCCAGGCUUGUCCUUUGCUACAAAAAGGAUUGGGACAUCUUGCUGCAGCUUAUUUACUUUCAUUACUUGUUACCCGUUACAAAUUACCUUAUCACAAAACUAUCUGUUACCGAUAAUUUCAGUGCUUGCAGAGAAUACCUUACUGAAAACCGCUUGUCAUUUCCUUCUGCUCCUCGUUGGGUUCGACACUCUUACUUAUCGAAAGGACUACGAUAGAUCCCCUAUACUUGUGGGUCAUCAAGACUCUUUUCUGGCGCCGUUGCCAGGGAGUGAAGCGCCUUUGGUAGGUGGAAUUUGGUAACGAAAAAAUUAUAUAGUGUGCUGAAAUUUACUGUCACUUGUUACUAUGGAACAUAAUCCUUUGAGGGGCUUGUUCGGGGUAUCUUCACCCCGGCCAAUAGAGCAAAGAGUUGCUCCUCAACCUACUGAACCUACUGAAAAUGUUUACUUUGAAAUUCCUUCGGGUGUGAUAGAGAAACUGCUAGCUAAUCCUUUCACAGGUGAUGGAACAUUACAUCCCGAUUUGCACCUAAUCUAUGUGGAUGAAGUUUGUGGAUUAUUUAAGCUUGCAUGUAUGCCCGAGGAUGUUAUCAAGAAGAAGGUCUUCCCUUUAUCUUUGAAGGGAAAGGCAUUGACAUGGUUUAGGCUAUGUCAUGAUAUGGGAUCAUGGAAAUACAACCGAUUGAAAUUGGAAUUUCAUCAGAAGUUUUAACCUAUGCAUCUUGUUCAUCGUGAUCGCAAUUAUAUAUGUAAUUUUUGGCCUCGCGAAGGAGAAAGCAUCACUCAAGCUUGGGGGAGGCUUAAGUCAAUGUUAUAUUCAUGCCCCAAUCAUGAGAUCUCAAGAGAAAUUAUUAUUCAAAAUUUUUAUGCUCGACUUUCUCUCAAUAAUCGGUCCAUGCUCGAUACUUCUUGUACUGGUUCUUUUAUGAUGAAGACUAUUGAAUUCAAAUGGGAUUUAUUGGAAAGAAUUAAACGCAACUCUGAAGAUUGGGAUCUCGACGAAGGUAAGGAGUCAGGUAUAACACCUAAGUUUGAUUGUGUUAAAUCUUUUAUGGACACCGAUGUUUUCUGUGAAUUUAGCACUAAAUAUGGACUUGACUCUGAGAUAGUAGCUUCUUUCUGUGAAUCCUUUGCUACUCAUGUUGAUCUCCCUAAGGAGAAGUGGUUUAAAUAUAAUCCUCCCAUUGAAGUAAAAGUAGUUGCACCUAUUAAAGUUGAAGAAAAGACUAUCACUUAUAAUGUUGAUCCUGUUGUUCCUACUACUUAUAUUGAGAAACCACCUUUCCCUGUUAGAAUAAAGGAUCAUGCUAAAGCUUCAACUGUGGUUCGUAAGAGUAAUACUAGAAAACCUACACCCCCUGAGAAAAGUAAAGUUUAACCUAGUAUUGCUAUGGUUAAAGAUCCCUUGGCUGAUAAUAUUGAUGGGCAUGUUAUUUACUUCUGUGAUGAAGCUGCUAGAAUUGCUAGACCAGAUACUAAGAAUAAACAUAGACCUGUUGUAGGCAUGCCUGUUGAAAGAUCGUGGAUGUCGCCUAGAGGGGGGGGUGAAUAGGCACUUUAAAAUAAUUACGGUUUAGGCUUGAACAAAUGCGGAAUAAACCUAGCGGUUAAUUUGACAAGCACAAAACCUACAACAACUAGGCUCACCUAUGUGCACCAACAACUUAUGCUAAGCAAGAUAAACAACUAAGUGAUAGCAAGAUAUAUGAUGAGAAACAAUAUGGCUAUCACAAAGUAAAGUGCAUAAGUAAAGGGUUCGGGUAAGAGAUAACCGAGGCACGCGGAGACGACGAUGUAUCCCGAAGUUCACACCCUUGCGGAUGCUAAUCUCCGUUUGGAGCGGUGUGGAGGCACAAUGCUCCCCAAGAAGCCACUAGGGCCACCGUAAUCUCCUCACGCCCUCGCACAAUGCAAGAUGCCGUGAUUCCACUAAGGGACCCUUGAGGGCGGUCACCGAACCCGUACAAAUGGCAACCCUUGGGGGCGGUCACCGAACCCGUACACUUUGGCAACCCUUGGGGGCGGUCACCGGUACCCGUCAAAUUGCUCGGGGCGAUCUCCACAACCUAAUUGGAGACCCCGACGCUUGCCCGGAGCUUUACACCACAAUGAUUGAGCUCCGAACACCACCAACCGUCUAGGGCACCCAAGCACCCAAGAGGAACAAGCUCAAGGGCACCAAGCACCCAAGAGUAAUAAGCUUCUCAACUUGUAACUUCCACGUAUCACCGUGGAGAACUCAAACCGAUGCACCAAAUGCAAUUGCAAGGGCACACGGAGUGCCCAAGUCCUUCUCUCUCAAAUCCCACCGAAGCAACUAAUGCUAGGGAGGAAAAUGAGAGGAAGAACAAGAAGGAGAACACCAAGAACUCCAAGAUCUAGAUCCAAUGGGUUCCCCUCACAUAGAGGAGAAAGUGAUUGGUGGAAAUGUGGAUCUAGAUCUCCUCUCUCUUUUCCCUUCAAAACUAGCAAGAAUCCAUGGAGGGAUUGAGAGUUAGCAAGCUCGAAGAAGGUCAACAAUGGGGGAAGAACACGAGCUAAAAGGAUAAGGUUCAUUGGGGAAGAAGACCCCCUUAUAUAGUGGGGGAAGAAAUCCAGCCGUUACCCCCACUUCAGCCCUGCAGAGAGCGGUACUACCGCUCGGCCAGCGGUACUACCGCUUGGCCCUAUAAGCGGUACUACCGCUCUCCCUCGCGGUACUGCCGCUGGGCCCAGAGCGGUACUACCGCGGUGGCAGGGCGGUACUACCGCAAACGAGCGGUACUACGGCCCCACUGCCGCGGCUAGUACCGUAAAACCCGACACGAAAAAAACCCCUCGAAUCGAGGCGGUACUAGCACGAGACCGCAGCGGUACUACGGCUGGGGGCUACCAGCGGUACUACCGCUCUGGAGCGGUACUACCGCUCUAGAGCGGUACUACCGCUUGUAGCACCCAAGCGGUACUACCGCUCCGGCCCGCGGUACUACCGCUAGGAAACCAAAACUGCCAUAACUUCUGCAUAUGAGCUCCGAAUUGAGCAAACUCAAGCUUGUUGGAUAGAGGAAGACGAGUAGCAUCAAAACCUCCAACCGAGAAGAACCGGCAUAACCUCCAACAUCAAAAACAUCAUAGAAGAUGCGAGUGAACUCCGUUUUCGAUGAACUCGAGCCUUUCGUCAAGAUGACCAUAAGCUCCAAAACUCACAGAGAAAAGAACCAAACAAGAACCAAUAAAGAUGAUGCAAGGCUGCAAUGGUUUGAGCUCUCUACGAAUGAUACGAUCAAGCUACUCAUCGAGAGCCCCCCUUGAUAGUACGGCAAUCGAUCCUAUAACCCGGUCUCCCAACUACCAUCACGAGACCGGUAAAAUAGAAAACCUAUCAAGGGCAAACCUUUGCCUUGCACAUGGUCCACUUGAGCUAGAUGAUGACGAUCUUGACUCCCUCCAGUUGGAUCACCUUUCUUGGUUGUGUUGGCUCGAUGAAGACUAGUUGAUUGCUCCCCCAUACUCCACUAUGGGUGAGCCACUCUUCCGCACAUCUUCACAAGUCCAUUGUCACCACAAUGGACGGCAAGCUUGAAGCAGUUGAUCUCUUCAUGAUGCUUCACUUGAACUUGCACACCGCCACCUAACCCCACAAAGAACUCUCACGAAGAUCAUGGGUUAGUACACAAAGCGUAAUUGACAAUGCUUGCCACACCAUGGGAUCGCUUGAUCCCUCUCGGUACAUCUUCUACGCUUUCUGAGUUGAUCAAGUUGAUUCACUCUUGACUUAGUCUUGAUCAACCUUGAAUCUUUUCAACUCUCUUCAUUUGGAUGAUGUCUUGAAGAUAUACAUGAAUGAUCACACAAUCUUCUUCUCCAAGACAUGCUUGCAAUAAGCUCAACUCUCACAUGACCAAUCUUCAUUUGGAUAAUUCCUUAAUAACACCUUGGUCACCACAUAAACUCCUUGAAACCAACACAUGGACUUCAAGAAAUUCCUAUGGACAAAUCCUUCAAAUAUAACUCAAGGCAACCAUUAGUCCAUAGAGAUUGUCAUCAAUUACCAAAACCAAACAUGGGGGCACCGCAUGUUCUUUCACCUGUUAUUUAUGUUAAAAUAGGAGAUCAUUGCUAUCAUGGCUUAUGUGAUAUGGGUGCUAGUGCAAGUGCAAUACCUCAUUCCUUAUACAAAGAAAUUAUGCAUGAUAUUGCACCUGCCGAGAUAGAGGAAAUUGAUGUUACAAUUAAGCUUGCCAAUAGAGACAUUGUUUCACCAGUUGAGAUUGUUAGAGAUGUUGAAGUCUUGUGUGGAAAAGUUAAAUAUCCUGCUGAUUUUCUUGUUCUUGGUUCUCCACAAGAUAAAUUUUGUCCCAUAUAUUUGGUAGACCCUUCUUGAAUACUGUUAAUGGUAGGAUAGGCUGCAAAAAGGAUGUUGUGACUAUUGGUUUGGGGGAUAUGUCUCAUGAGUUUAAUUUUGCUAAAUUUCGUAGACAACCCCAUGAUAAAGAAUUACCUAGUAAAGAUGAAAUUAUUGGUCUUGCCUCUAUUGCCGUGCCUCCUAAUGAUCCUUUAGAACAAUAUUUGCUCGACCAUGAAAAUGAUAUGUUUAUGAAUGAAAGAAGAGAAAUAGAUGAAAUAUUCUUUAAACAGGGACCUAUUUUGAAACACAACUUGCCAGUUGAAAUCCUAGGGGAUCCUCCUCCACCCAAGGGUGAUCCCGUGUUUUAGCUUAAACCAUUACCUGAUACUCUUAAAUAUGCUUAUCUUGAUGAAAAGAAAAUAUAUCCUGUUAUUAUUAGUGCUAACCUUUCAGAGCAGGAAGAAGAGAAACUAUUGAAAACUCUGAAGAAGCACCGUGUUGCUAUUGGAUAUACUCUUGAUGAUCUUAAGGGCAUUAGUCCCACUCUAUGCCAUCACAAAAUAAAAUUGGAGAAAGACGCUAAACCGGUUGUUGAUCACCAACGACGGUUAAAUCCUAAGAUGAAAGAAGUGGUAAGAAAAGAAAUACUAAAGCUUCUGGAGGCAUGUAUAAUUUAUCCUGUUGAUGAUAGUCAGUGGGUAAGUCCUGUCGAUUGUGUCCCCAAGAAAGGAGGUAUUACUAUUGUUCCUAAUGAUAAAGAUUAAUUGAUCCCACAAAGAAUUGUUACAGGCUAUAGAAUGGUAAUUGAUUUCUGCAAAUUAAAUAAAGCUACUAAAAAGGAUCAUUACCCUUUACCUUUUAUUGAUCAAAUGCUAGAAAGAUUAUCCAAACAUACACAUUUUUGCUUUCUAGAUGGUUAUUCCGGUUUCUCUCAAAUACCUGUGCCAAAAGAGGAUCAAGAAAAGACCACUUUUACUUGCCCGUUCGGUACCUUUGCUUAUAGACGUAUGCCUUUUGGUUUAUGUAAUGCACCUGCUACCUUUCAAAGAUGUAUGACUGCUAUAUUCUCUGACUUUUGUGAAAAGAUUGUUGAGGUUUUCAUGGAUGAUUUCUCCAUUUACGAAACUUCUUUUGAUGAUUGCUUAAGCAACCUUGAUCGAGUUUUGCAGAGUGUGAAGAAACUAAUCUUGUCUUGAGUUGGGAGAAGUGCCACUUUAUCGUUAAUGAAGGUAUUGCCUUGGGGAAUAAAAUUUCUGAAAGAGGUAUUGAAGUUGAUAAAGCUAAAUUUAAUGCUAUUGAAAAGAUGCCGUGUCCUAAGGACAUUAAAGGUAUCAGAAGUUUCCUUGGUCAUGUCAGUUUUUAUAGGAGGUUCAUUAAGGACUUCUCUAAAAUUUCUAGGCCUCUGACUAAUCUCUUACAAAAAGAUGUUCCUUUUGUCUUUAAUGAUGAUUAUGUAGAAGAAUUUGAAAUACUUAAGAAAGCCUUGAUUUCUGCACCUAUUGUUCAGCCACCUGAUUGGAAUUUACCCAUUGCAAUUAUGUGUGAUGCUAGUGAUUAUGUUGUAGGUGCUGUUCUAGGACAAAGAGUUGAUAAGAAAUUAAUUUUUAUCCAAUAUGCUAGUAAAACUCUAGACAGUGCCCACAGAAAUUAUGCUACUACUGAAAAAGAAUUUUUAGCAGUUGUAUUUGCUUGUGAUAAGUUCAGACCUUAUAUUGUUGAUUCUAAAGUAACUAUUCACACUGAUCAUGCUGCUAUUAAAUACUUUAUGGAAAAGAAAGAUGCUAAACCUAGACUUAUUAGAUGGGUUCUCUUGCUACAAGAAUUUGAUUUGCAUAUUAUUGAUAGAAAGGGAGCUGAGAACCCCGUUGCAGACAACUUGUCUAGGUUAGAGAAUGUUCUUGAUGACCCACUACCUAUUGAUGAUAGCUUUCCUGAUGAACAAUUAGCUGCCAUAAAUACUUCUUGUACUGCUCCAUGGUAUGCUGAUUAUGCUAAUUACAUUGUUGCUAAAUUUAUACCACCUAGUUUCACAUACCAGCAAAAGAAAAAGUUUUUCUAUGAUUUAAGACAUUACUUAUGGGAUGACCCACGCCUUUAUAAAGAAGGAGUAGAUGGUGUUAUUAGACGUUGUGUACCUGAGCAUUAACAGGAACAUAUCCUACGCAAGUGUCACUCCGAGGCUUAUGGAGGACACCAUCCUGGAGAUAGAACAGCACAUGAGGUAUUGCAAUCCGGUUUUUAUUGGCCUACUCUCUUCAAAGAUGCCCGUAAGUUUGUCUUGUCUUGUGAUGAAUGUCAAAGAAUCGGUAAUAUUAGUAGACGUCAAGAAAUGCCUAUGAAUUAUACACUUGUUAUUGAACCAUUUGAUGUUUGGGGCUUUGAUUAUAUGGGACCGUUUCCUUCCUCUAAUGGGUAUACACAUAUUUUAGUUGCUGUUGAUUACGUUACUAAGUGGGUAGAAGCUAUUCCAACUAGUAGUGCUGAUCAUAACACCUCUAUUAAGAUGCUUAAGGAAGUUAUUUUUCCGAGGUUUGGAGUCCCUAGAUAUUUAAUGACUGAUGGUGGUUCACAUUUUAUUCAUGGUGCCUUUCGUAAAAUGCUUGGUAAGUAUGGUGUUAAUCAUAGAAUUGCAUCUCCAUAUCACCCACAGUCGAGUGGUCAAGUAGAAUUGAGUAAUAGAGAGAUCAAAUUAAUUUUGCAAAAGACUGUUAAUAGAUCUAGAAAGAAUUGGUCCAAGAAACUUGAUGAUGCAUUAUGGGCCUAUAGAAUUGCAUAUAAAAAUUCUAUGGGUAUGUCUCCGUAUAAAUUGGUUUAUGGAAAAGCAUGUCACUUACCUCUCGAACUAGAACAUAAGGCAUAUUGGGCCAUUAAAGAGCUCAACUAUGAUUUGAAACGCUGGUGAGAAGAGGUUAUUUGACAUAAGCUCACUUGAUGAAUGGAGAACCCAGGCCUAUGAGAAUGCCAAACUAUUUAAAGAAAAGGUUAAAAGAUGGCAUGAUAAAAGGAUACAAAAGCGUGAGUUUAAUGUAGGUGAUUAUGUGUUGCUAUUAAACUCUUGUUUAAGAUCUUUUGCAGGAAAACUUCUCUCUAAAUGGGAAGGUCCUUACGUUAUCGAGGAGGUCUAUCGUUCUGGUGCCAUAAAAAUCAACAACUUCGAAGGCACAAAUCCAAAGGUGGUGAACGGUAAUCCCAUAAAUGUUGAAACCAAUGUUAUUGAAACCGUAACCCCGGAGGAAUAUAUAAGGGACACUUUCCAGAACGCUUCAGACUCCAAAAAGGAAUAGGUAUGUGGUACGGUAAGUAAGCCGACUCCAAAACAGUUCUAAUGGCAAUUUUUCUUCGUUUUGGAAUAUUUAAAAAAAAUAGGAAAAUGAGAAGUAGUCUGGAAGGGACAUGAGGAAGCCACGAGAGUGGAGGGCGCGCCCUACCCCCUGGGCGCGCCCCCUGCCUCGUGGGCACCUCGUGUGCCCUCUGGACUCGGUUUUCUUGCACGUUACUUCUUUUAGUUGGUAAAAAUUCACUAUAUAAUCUCCCGAAGGUUUUGACCUCCGUAUCACGCAAAUAUCCUCUGUUUUUGUUUCGAGUUGUUCCUGCCACAGAUUAGAGCAAGAUGUCUUCUCAAGAGUCAGUCGGGGAGAGCCGGGUGUCUCAUCCGACACCGGGACCAGGAGCAAACAGUGAUGCUGACCACUUUGGGCCAUCAACGGAGGAAGAGAUGGAGGCCGACUUGAAAAGGAUAGAUGCUAUGGAGGAGGAUCAAGAAGUGACUUCUCGUUUCCAAGCCGGAUUCACGAUGGGGGAACUACAGAGCUCAGCUAUUCCAAACUCGGUUAUCCCCUCCAAUGUUAGAUUUCUCUCUUAUGAAAAUAUGAAAAAGAGUGUUACCUGUUCCCCCGCAGCUAUGCAACAUCCAUUGGUGAAAGGAGCUUUAGCCGUCACGGGUAAGCUCUGUAAGGAAAUAAUGGACCUCAAGCAGCAAGUCAAUAAGAUCGAGGAAGAGAAUCGUAUCCUGAGGGGCAUCAUCGCCAAGAAUAUCACAUCACCACCUCCAAAGAAAGAGACAUAAAUAAAUGGGUAUGGGCACUCUCCUUGGCAACUGCCAAGCUUGGGGGAGGUGCCCCGGUAUCGUAUCACCAUCACACUCCUAUCUUUAACGUUUUUCUUAGUUCGAUCCUUUUGGUAAUAUCUUGAUCUAGUAGAAAAAAGUUUUACUAUGAUUUAGUUUUAAGCUUUGCUUUAUGAUCCUUCUAUGUAAUUGAGUCCGAGAGCUAUAUAUAUAUAUAAUAAAGAUUAGUGUUGAGUCAAGGGCUUGAUUAUCUUACUAUGAUCUUGAGAGAAUAAAAGAAAUAAUAAAAAUAAAUAAAGAUAUCAUAUUGAUCUUAUGAAGAGUAAUGACUUCACAUAUAAAGAGUAUGAUGAAUAAAAGUUGUUGAGAGUUGACAAACAUUGUUUUGGUCAUCAUUGCAAUUAAUAGGAAGUAAUAAAGAAAGAGAGGUUUUCACAUAUAAAUACACUAUCUUGGACAUCUUUUAUGAUUGUGAGCACUCAUUAAAAUAUGACAUGCUAAAGAGUUGAUGUUGGACAAGGAAGACAACGUAAUGGGUUAUGUUUUCUUAUAUCCGAAAUAAAGUAUAUUGUCAUGGAUCACCCAACAUGUUGAGAUUGCCUUUCCCCCUCAUGCUAGCCAAAAUUCUUUGCACCAAGUAGAGACACUACUUGUGCUUCCAAAUAUCCUUUAACCCGGUUUUGCCAUGAGAGUCACCAUAUCUACCUAUGGAUUGAGUAAGAUCCUUCAAGUAAGUUGUCAUCGUUGCAUGCAAUAAAAAUUGCUCUCUAAAUAUGUAUGAUUUAUUAGUGUGGAGAAAAUAAGGUUUAUACGAUCUUGUGAUGUGGAAGCAAUAAAAGCGACGGACUUCAUAAUAAAGGUCCAUAUCACAAGUGGCAAUAUAAAGUGACGUUCUUUCGCAUUAAGAUUUUGUGCAUCCAACCAGAAAAACACAUGACAACCUCUUCUUCCCUCUGCGAAUGGCCUAUCUUUUAUCCUUGUCUUAUAUCUUAUACAAGAGUCAUGGUGAUCUUCACCUUUCCUUUUUAUAUUUUAUCCUUUGGCAAGCACAUUGUGUUGGAAAGAUCCUGAUAUAUAUAUAUCCAAUUGGAUGUAAGUUAGCAUGAACUAUUAUUGUUGACAUUACCCUUGAGGUAAAAGGUUGGGAGGCAACACUAUAAGCCCCUAUCUUUCUCUGUGUCCGAUUAAAACUCCAUAACCAUAAGUAUUGCGUGAGUGUUAGCAAUUGUGAAAGACUAAAUGAUAGUUGAGUAUGCGGACUUGCUGAAAAGCUCUUAUAUUGACUCUUUCCGAUGUUAUGAUAAAUUGCAAUUGCUUUAAAGGCCGAGAUCAUAGUUUGUUAGUUUUCAAUGAAGUUUCUGAUUCAUACUUGACAUUGUGAAUAGAUUGUUACUUUAGCAUAAGAAAUCAUGUGACAGUAUAUAUAUGUUGCUGUUAUAAGAAUGAUCAUGAUGCCCUCAUGUCCGUAUUUUAUUUUAUCGACACCUUUAUCUCUAAACAUGUGGACAUAUUUUUUGUUAUCGGUUUCCGCUUGAGGACAAGCGAGGUCUAAGCUUGGGGAGUUGAUACGUCCAUUUUGCAUCAUGCUUUUAUCUCGAUAUUUAUUGCAUUAUGGGUUGUUAUUACACAUUAUGUCACAAUACUUAUGCCUAUUCUCUUUCAAUUUACAAGGUUUACAUGAAGAGGGAGAAUGUCGACAACUGGAAUUCUGGGUUGGAAAAGGAGCAAAUAUUAGAGACCUAUUCUGCACAGCUCCAAAAGUCCUGAAACUUCAUGGAGGCACGUUUUGGAAUAUAUAUAAAAUAUUGGAGAAAGAAUCAACCAGAGGGGGCCCACACUCUAGCCACGAGGGUGGGGGCGCGCCCUACCCCCUGGGCGUGCCCCCCUGCCUCGUGGCCCCCUGGCAGGCCUUCGGUGCCCAUCUUCUACUAUAUGAAGUCUUUCACCCUAGAAAAAAUCAUCAGCAAGCUUUCGGGACGAAACACCGCCGCCACGAGGCGGAACCUUGGCGGAACCAAUCUAGGGCUCCGGCGGAGCUGUUCUGCUGAGGAAACAUCCCUCCAAGAGGGGGAAAUCAUCACCAUCAUCAUCACCAUCGAUCCUCUUAGCGGGAGGGGGUCAAUCUCCAUCAACAUCUUCAGCAGCACCAUCUCCUCUAAAACCCUAGUUCAUCUCUUGUAUCCAAUCUUUGUCCCAAAACCUCAGAUUGGUACCUGUGGGUUGCUAGUAGUGUUGAUUACUCGUUGUAGUUGGUGCUAGUUAGCUUAUUUGGUGGAAGAUCAUAUGUUCAGAUCCUUAAUGCAUAUUAAUACCCCUCUGAUUAUGAACAUGAAUAUGAUUUGUGAGUAGUUACGUUUGUUCCUGAGGACAUGGGAGAAGUCUUGCUAUAAGUAGUCAUGUGAAUUUGGUAUUCGUUCGAUAUUUUGAUGAGAUGUAUGUUGUCUUUCCUCUAGUGGUGUUAUGUGAACGUCGACUACAUGAGACUUCACCAUUGUUUGGGCCUAGAGAAAGGCAUUGGGAAGUAAUAAGUAGAUGAUGGGUUGCUAGAGUGACAGAAGCUUAAACCCUAGUUUAUGCGUUGCUUCGUAAGGGGCUGAUUUGGAUCCAUAUGUUUCAUGCUAUGGUUAGGUUUACCUUAAUACUUCUUCUGUAGUUGUGGAUGCUUGCAAUAGGGGUUAAUCAUAACUGGGAUGCUUGUCCAAGGAAGGGCAGUAACCAAGCAGCUGUCCACCCACAUAUCAAAUUAUCAAAGUAACGAACGCGAAUCAUAUGAGCGUGAUGAAAACUAGCUUGACGAUAAUUCCCAUAUGUUCUCGGGAGCGUUUUCCUUCAUAUAAGAGUUUGUCCAGGCUUGUCCUUUGCUACAAAAAGGAUUGGGCCAUCUUGCUGGACCUUAUUUACUUUCAUUACUUGUUACCCAUUACAAAUUACCUUAUCACAAAACUAUCUGUUACCGAUAAUUUCAGUGCUUGCAGAGAAUACCUUACUGAAAACCGCUUUUCGUUUCCUUGUGCUCCUCGUUGGGUUCGACACUCUUACUUAUCGAAAGGACUACGAUAGAUCCCCUAUAAUUGUAGGUCAUCAACCUCCCAGACAUGAAACCAAACUGAUUUUUGGUCACACUUGUCAUUCUUCUUAAGCGGUGCUCAAUGACUCUCGCCCAUAGCUUCAUCGUAUGGCCCAUUAGCUUAAUUCCACGGUAAUUAGUACAACUCUGAACAUCCCCCUUAUUCUUGAAGAUUGGUACUAACAUACUCCGUCUCCAUUCUUCUGGCAUCUUGUUUGCCCGAAAAAUAAGGUUGAAAAGCUUGGUUAGCCAUACUAUCGCUAUGUCCCAGAGACCUUUCCACACCUCAAUGGGGAUACAAUCAGGGCCCAUCUCCUUGCCUCCUUUCAUCCUUUUUAAAGCCUCCUUGACCUCAGACUCCUGGAUUCGCCGCACAAAACACAUGCAGGUCUCAUCAAAGGAGUCGUCCGGUUCAAUGGUAGAACUCUCAUUCUCCCCAUUGAACAGCUUGUCGAAGUACUCCCGCCAUCUAUGCUUAAUCUCCUCGUCCUUCAACAAGAGUUGGCCUGCUCCGUCCUUGAUGCAUUUGACUUGGCCAAUAUCCCUCGCCUUCCUCUCUCGGAUCUUGGCCAUCUUAUAGAUGUCCCUUUUGCCUUCCUUCGUGCAUAACCGUUGGUAGAGGUCCUCAUAUGCCCGACCCCUUGUUUCACUGAUGUAACACAUGCCAUAAUCAAAUUUAUCCACGUCGGUGCAAAACCCAAAGCCCCCAUCAUACAUUGUAAGAAACGCCAGUCCACCCUAUCAAAGGCUUUCGCCAAGUCCAACUUAUAUGCGCAAAAUUCCCCUCUGAAAUCUUUCAGCGUACUUAACGAAUGCAUACAUUCAAAGCUAUGAGAGCAUUGUCAGAAAUUAACCUUCCCGGAAUAAAUGCACUUUGAGUAGGCGAAAUCAUACCAUCAAGGAGCCGUCGCAGUGUGUUAACAAGGCAUUUGGAAAUAAUCUUGUAGAUAACAUUGCACAAACUGAUCGGCCUAAACUCUUUAAUAGACUGAGGAUUCUUAACUUUUGGGAUGAGAACAAUAGUUGUGUUAUUAAUCCCCUCUGGCAUAAUUCCAUAAUUAAAAAACUGCUGGACAGCUUUAACAAUAUCCUCCUUGAUCAAACCCAAUUUCGUUGGAAAAACCUUGCAGGGAAACCAUCCAGACCCGGAGCUUUUAACGGUCCCAUCUGAAAAAGCGCAUCACUAAUCUCUUGUUCCGAAAAUGGUUUGCAAAGCUCAUCAUUCAUAUCAUUAGAUACAAGGGGUUUGACCAACGAAAUAAUAUGUGACGGGUCAACGGAGUCGUCAACAGAAUAAAGAUUUUUAAAGAACGAGUUUGUUAUACCUUUCAUUUCCUCCAGAUUUUCCAUGAGACCCCCAUCAUCCUUCCUUAGUGCCGCACUUUGCUCUCCAUGAAGCCGUUCUCUGAAAAUAAUUAGUAUUACGAUCUCCUCCUCUUAUCUUAUCCAAACGAGAUAUUUGCUUCCAUAGCAUCUCUUCCUUUAUAAGCAGCUCAUCCAUCUCUUGAAGAAUUUUCUUCCUUUCCAUCACUGCAGAAUGAUCAUUCCUACUAAACAACACAUUUAGUGUUUUACGAGCCCACUCCAGUUUCUUUGGUAAAUAACCAAUAUGGACCCGACUCCACCCAUGAAGAGAUUUCAUUAAUUUGCCUACCUUAUUAGCAAUAUCUUCAACAUCAUUAAUAUUAGACUCUCUGUUCCAGCAAGCACUAAUCAGGUCGUCCAAAGCUCCACCUUCCCUCUCCCAAUAAGAUUCAUAUUUCAAUUGAUUAACAAAUCUACCCACCUGGUGAGUACCCAAAACCUCAACAAAAAUGGGACAAUGAUCAGACCUGGAGCUUACUAUGGGAUACCUUACAUCGAGGGAACAUUGAAGACCAAAGCGGGCAUGCCACCACACGAUCAAGACGCACCUUAACAUUCUUGUUUCCAUCUUGUUUGUUAUUAUACGUCCAAGGCACGCCAUGGUAACCCAAGUCAUAUAAAUUGCAAUCAGACAAAGCUUCACGAAAAUUAGCCAUUAGUCUAGUAGACCUCUUAUGAUGAGAGUAGUGCUCUUCUUGCCACAUAGCUUCGUUAAAAUCCCCCACCAUAAACCAAGCUCCAACACCAAGAGGUUUAAUCCAUCUCAAGAGAUCCCACAUAACAUACCUUUGACUCGUCUUAGGCUCACCGUAAAUGAAGGUGCACCUCCACUUUGUUCCCUCUCCCUUGUCGACGUACAAAUCAAUAAAGUGGUCACCAUAUUUGUUCAGCUCACAAGAGUACGCCUCAUCCCAAAACACAGCUAGUCCACCACCUUUACCAUGGCCGGAAAUAGUAAAAACAUUAUUCAUACCCAACCUAUAGCGCAAGCUCUCAACAUACUCUUUAUUCUUUCUUGUUUCAGAUAAAAAGAUAAUAUUGGGUAUGUGCGUCUUUGAGAGGCACACCAUGUAACAUCCCAAAAUUCUAAAUUUUUGGAAUGUUAUAAUAAAUAGAUAGAUUUGAUUGUUGUUGGAUUGUUGUGUGAUUGAUUGACUGAAAGUGAGUGAAAUUCGAAAUCUUUUGAAAGUUAAAUGAGAGGGAAUAAAAGGACUUUCCCAAACUUUCACUUUGCUUUUAUGAUCUCCAUGAAUUCAAAUUCUUUUCACCACAAAACCCUGGAGAGAAGAUGACAUGACUUCUUCCAUUUAUUUAAAUGACAAGGGGUGUUGAAGAUAUUUGAAUUUCAUUUGAAAAUAUUUCCCAUUUCUGAAACUUUAUGCAACUCAAUGAUUUUCACGAGAGAAGAUAAAAUGACUUCUUCAAAACAAAUGAAAUAUGCGUUCGGAGUUUCAAAGGAUUAAAUUCAAAGUCCCAUUGAAAUUAUUUUCAAUAUUGGAGUUAUUUGAGUUUUAUUCAAAUUAUUUUUCUCCAAAAUAAAAAUAUAUGGAAAAUAGGGUAACAUGAUUCCCUACAACAGAAAAUUGGAGAGAAAUAAAUUUGAAUUAAUUUUGGUAUUUUGAAAAUGAUUUUUAUUGGAUUUUAGUAGAGCAGUAGCACUCUUUGAUUUAUUUGAAUUUUUGUUGAUUUUAUUUAAAGCUAGAAAAAUGUCCAGUGGUUGGAAAUCUUUUUCUGAAAAUUUUGAUAUAUUAUAAGCCUAUAUAAUAUUUUAAUUUAUUUUGUUUUUCUUUUAUUUUUGCUUGACUGAAAAAAAACAAAAUUCCUUUGGACCGACCGGACCGGGCCGGCCCAGUUCGCCAGGCCACGGCCAGCCGGCCCACGCCGCUCGUCCCCGAGCCCCGGGCGGGAUUCCUCUCGCCGCACGCCGCCGCACCGCCUCGGCGUCCGUGCUCCAGCCGGACACGGCCGCCGCCUUGCCCUGCCCCCUCCUCCACGCCACCUCCUCCCCUCUCCUAUAAAACCCGAGGCCCCGGGCCCCGUUCCUCCUCCUCCGCCGCAACCGCCGCCCUCGCCGGAGCUCCCGCCCCGACGAGACCUGCCGCCGCCGCCGCGCUCCGUUCCGACUCCCCGAGCGCCGCCGACCCCCACCAACCUCACCGCCGCGCCACGCCGCCCCUUCCCCGCUACUCCGCAGUCGCCGCCGACGCCUGGAGCCGUCGCCCCGUUCAUCGCCGAGCCGCGGCCGUCGUCUUCUCCGGCGACGUCGACGCCCACCGCCGCGGUAAGCCACCGGUCACCCAGGUCCGUUCGAUCUAGGAUGGACGGCUAGGAUUAGAUCUCGUCGUUUUUUUUAUUUCCGAAUCGGUACACGUUAAAUAGAGAACGCUCGCUGUUUACCUCUUCGCAGCGAACACAUUCGUUAGUUAGCGUUCGGCAAACGAACGUUCACUAUUUAGCUUUUUCUUUUUCUGUUAUUUUCGGCCAGGGACCCAUAUGUGAAUAAUUUAUUUACAGAUUAGCCCCUGAUCUUCAAACAUCUAUAACUUUUUACUCGUUUGUGCAAAUCCAACGAAACCAACGCCCACUUCUUCGUUAUGAUCUCCUCUAACGAGAAAUCCAACUCAAACAUGUUUUUGAAAUUUUAAAAUUUGAAUUAGAUCAGAUUUGAAUUCAAACUUCUUUUGUUCAUAACUUAUGUUCUGUAACUCCGUUUGAGUUGAUUCUUUUUGCUAAUCAAAGCUCUUGACCUAAACUUUCUGAUAAGGCCAAAUUCAUGACAGAUGUGAGAUUGUUAAUAAUGGUUUACUUAAGGUGGCAACUAAAACUCACAUCUGGGUGGAUUGAGGCACCUGGAGAACCCAGUGUUGUCUGUUUGUAUAAGGACCGCCACCCAGGCUCAAAGGGAUCAUAAGAUUAUUCAUGCUAGAAACUUCCGUGUGCAGCCGCAAGCUAUUAUGGGCUCUAGCAUAGUUGAGUAAGUUGUGGGAAACCUUUCCAUGAUGGGCUAGCAGAUGUAGGGGAUUGUAGGUGUAACGCCCUAUCUAUCGGUUAAGGGGACCUCUUCGGAAAGACUGUGUCUCGGUCAUCCGUUUCUCAAACACCUUGUAGUGCGAGAAAUCCAACGGAGGCGAUCGAGUCUUGUGGGAAAAGUGCACAAACCUCUGCAGAGUGUACAAACUAAUCAUGAUUAGCCGUGUCCCCGGUUAUGGACAACUUGAGUAUCUAGUACCUGGAUUAUCAUGUGAAUCUCAUCAUCAUGUUACUUUAAUUAAUUUUGUUGGGUUAAUGAUGAUACUUAAUUGGGAUUGAGAUGCUGUCAACCAUCUCAAUGUUUCACAACCACCAUGAUAGUUAAAUAAAAUUUAUACCUUUGCAGUAGGGAAAAAUUGGGUUUUCGCAAAAACAUUAUAACCAUAGAGCUUUUCCACCAGCCAUAUAUGCAUGUAGUGAUAGCCCUUGUUCAUCAUUUCUCUAUGGUGUGAAUUUGCCAGCAUAUUCCAUGUGCUGACCCGUUUUCGGGCUGCAACGUUUCAUGUUGCAGGAUUCUUACGACGAGUAAGUGAUACGUUAGGGUUACGAUUUCUACACCCAACUUUGCCGUUGGUGUUGAUGGGAAUCCACAACCUUGUUACUUCCGCUAUUUUGGAUUGAGGUAAUAGUAUUUACGUUACUUUAUACAUGUGUUUUACCUCUGUUAUAAAUCCUCGAGUACCGUGUGUCAGCAUACCGAUCCAGGGAUGACACUUAAGCACAGAGACUUGAUCCAUUUGGGUCGGGUCGCUACAAGAUGGUAUCAGAGCACAUGUUGACUGUAGGACGUGACCCUAGAAACUGUCAAGCCCAUAGGAAGGAUUUCUCUAAAACUUUCCUUUUCAAAAAGAUCUUUUACCUCUCUUCUCUUCUGAGUUAAUUCAAAUAUUCCCUUUAAGUGAGACCAUAUCCUUUUUCCUAUUGGACCACUCGAAGAUUCGACGGAUGAGACCACUUCAAGAAGUACAAGAUAUCGGACAACCAAGACCACUACGGAAUGAAGGAGAUUCUACCGUGCAUCUGAAUAAUGAAAACUACAACAAUUGAAGACUCCGAAGACUAGGAGAAUUUGAAGGCUCUGAAGAAUUCCCAGAUUUGACCUAGUAAGCCUACCCCUAUGGAACUUGGCAGACCAUGGAAGUUGUCAAUGCCCGAGAUCAAGGUGUAUCGGAGAAAGACCGAAACAUGGAGAGUUAGAAACUCAAAGUUUUUGUUAAGAAACCCUAAGGCAGGAGAUAUCAACUAUGGAAUGAAAGCUCAUGGUAGUAACAUGGGCAUAAAUACGGAUACCCAUGGUGUUAUUACCCGUUUAUGCUAUUGUCACCGUGCGGAGUUAAGCAUGCAGAUGCAUGGAAGGAUUGGAUGGUAGAAGGCUGAUGGAGCACCUAUCAGCAAGAUGAAGUUUUAACUUUAGACCGGUGUAUCACCAGGAUCUGGAGUAUUACAUCAAGAAGUUUAGGAUGGACCUGCAGGAAGCUUUAUUGGACAAAGAAGUGUUUCGUGAAGAACUCAGAACCCAGAAACUCAAAGUAGCUAAGCUGGGAAAGCAAAACCUCGAGAUAACGGAGACUCGUCAGGAACUGAAGGACAGUAGUACCAGGGUUCAUGUCAAGGUUGAUGAAACCCAGAAGUUUGGAAUGCAACUCCAGAAUAUUCAAGGAUGUCACGAGAGACUUUGAGUCAACAGAGAUGAUCUGGCAAAAGAACUUGAGAAGGGCAAGCAUGAUUGGAAGAAGCCCAUCGGAGACAUGAACAAGACUUCAAGAUUUUGGCGACUUUGAAGAUUUUGACCUCUAGAAGACCCAACCCCUGUUAUAUGCCUACGUUAGAUGCGACGUUUGUGAGCUGUCAUUUGUUUGUUGUUUUUCCGACAGCCACAAUAAAAACCUGUCUUUUCAAGACUAUUGUUUGUAUUGUGUGUAUCCCUCUCGACCUCUCUUAUCUCACCCCAAACCCAUGGACCCAAUAGAGGAUGAAUGGAGAUGAGCUUGUAUUUUCUGGACCGAUGAGUCAAUUGGAGACGGACCGAUGGAUUCAGAACAUGGAGGAUCACAUGAAGAAUAACCCUAUAGUCGGAAAGGAUAUGACCCGGGAUGCUCUUCAAUGUUUUGAAAGAGGUGCUGCUACUUGGUGGAGGAUGUACCAAACCACCAAUGGAUGGCAAGGAGUAACCACUUGGAAAGAAUUUAAGUGGACUCUACAAAGAUCUCGUCUUGUGUCCCAGAAAUUGAAGCCUUAUGGAAAGGAUAUGAAGAAACCUUGUGCAUACAAGCCUUGUGGAGAAAUAGGACACAACCAUAAGGAACACAAGGAUGAAUGCCCUAAUUGUGAAGGAAGUCACCCAGCUGAAGAAUGCCCAACUCGGCAGAUCACUUGUAUCUUGUGUGAAGGGACUACCCACUACCCUGCCCAGUGUCACAUCUACCCCAUGGUACAAAGGACUAUCCAGCAGAAGAAAGAAGCAAUGAAAAGAGCCCUCAUGGAAAUUUUAGAGGAAUCUGUGAUGAAGGAAGAGGUGGAGGACACACCCAAAGAAGAACCAAUUAAACCCUGCACCAAGUCAUGCUAUUCAUGUGGAGAAGAAGGACACAUCUCCCAAAAUUGUCUGAAUGGGGAUUUAGUAGAAUUUCCGACAGAGGAAGUAGAGUUUGACCCACAGGAAAUAGAAGCCCUGAUUGGAACGGAAAAGUCCAGGAAGAGAAGUGGAUUGGAUGCCAGGAAAAACCCAAUUUCUACAAAGAGAGACCUGAGUCAUAUCACAUGUUUCAGGUGCAAAAAUUCAGGACACUACUUCAAUGAUUGCCCAAAAGGGAAGAUGAGGACCCCAGGAGGCUAUAUAAUCACAAGGAAACCCCGGGAUAUGUCAGAAGUAAUAUGUUUCCGUUGUGAUGAAGCAGGGCACUUUGCCAGAGAAUGCCCCAAGGAGACGGAGACUUGUGACAAAUAGUUGAGUGCAACGAGAAAUAAGUAGUAGUAGUGUGGACAUUUCUUUUAUUAGUGAGGUGUCGGAUUGAGGCAUGUAAUGAAAUGCAGGAGAUUGUAAUAAUUUGAGAAUCAAUAAAGUUAGCAUCAUUGGUAUUGAUUUGGAUUUUAUGAGUUGCUACUCUAUGAAGAAAGAUUUUGACCAUUUUCGAGGAUAUGAGAAAUAUGGUCUAUGGAAGAUUGUGCAUUUUAAGGGUGGUAGUACCCUGUGAGGAAACUUGACCCUUGGAAAAGGUAAUGAUAUUCCCCGAAGUGGAUUUCGAACAAAAUAAGUAUGAGUUUUAUCUCGAUAUGUUGGAUACCCGAAGAAUAUGAGGGUAUGGAGUAUUAUUGGAUGCAAGGGAGGUAGUCUAUGAAAUUGGAGACAGAACAUGUCUUCAUGUGUCCCCUCUGUGAGGAGUUAAACUAUUUGGAGUUAAGGGAAAGGUAGCCCCGAGAAUUGUAGGACCAUACCGAGUUUUGGAGCGUAUGGGAGAAGUGGCCAACAAGUUGGAGUCACCCGAAGGACUAUCAUGAGUUCAUGAUGUGUUUCACGUUUCCCAGUUGAAGAAGUGCCAUGCAGAGAUGGCCAUUAUUCCCCUGUAAGGACGCUUGACCCUGGAAAGGAUAAUGAUGUUCCACGAAGUGGAGUAUGGACUUCAUAAGUAUAAGUUUUUUUUCGGUAUGUGGGAUAUCCCACGAGGAUGAAGAGAUAAAUUACUAUUGAAUAUAAAGGAGGUAUGAUGUUGGAAAUAUGGAUCAAUGGAAAUUCCAUGAUGAGUCUGAGUAAUCAUGUCUUAGUUUGGUGCCAAUAGAAGGAAGGAAGACAGUACAAUUGGAUGGAUUUAAGAAUACCAGGAAGUUGGAUGUUGGAUUAAGGAUCAGUUGCCCGAUGAUAAGUUCAAGGAACUACAAGUGAUGAGAUGGGCCAUAACCCACAGGCCCAGGACCUGCCAAGAAGCAAGCACACUCUUGUUGAAGGGAAGACCCUGAAAGAAGUUACGAUUUUUAUCGACAGACGAUCUUAUAGGAGUUACGCAAAACCUGAGGGUUGGGAAGGAACGAUAGAUGUUUGUUUGGCUUGCAGAAUCUAUGGAUUUAUCCGAACUUGGUUCGUCGACAAGAGAAAUUCUGCAAUGCUUGCGAGGAUGACCGAGUGUUAGAAUGCGAGAUUCGCUAAACCAUGUACAAGGUAAUGAUUUGGGUGCGGGAUGGAUUGAUCACCAUACCGACUUACUCUUAUUGUUCGCUUUGCUACGUGGGAUGGAAAAUCUGAGUGACUUACCUAUAGUAGAGAUACGACGAUUUUAAACCUUGUUUAAACCUUAGAAUGGUAUAGGUAUUGUCCCUUGUACACGGCAGUUGUUGCCAAUCGUAGGUUAUACAGUGAGGAUCAACCAGACCCAUUUCCUGCAGGAGAAACCAUAAAUUGUUGACCACCAUGAGAUAUCGAUAGUUGUUUAGUUUUGGCGCCAGACCCGUUAGCUAAGAAGACCCAGUCAUGGAAGAACCAUACCAAGAUGAAAGGACACAGAAGAAUUGAGGAAAAGGUUAUGCCACCACCGGAAGAGCCCAGAGAAGGAAUUAUACUGAAGAUCUGAGAAGACCGACACUGUCAAGAAUAAUGGAUGGAGUAUAUGAGUUUUGACGGAACCGUAACAAUGUUUCUAAGGGUGGUAGCACCCCAGACCCCUGAGAUGAUCGAUGGAUUUUGAGAAGACCCCCAAACCCUAACCUAUUUCUUUCUAGCCUCUCCGAAUCUCGAGGACGAGAUUCAUUUUAAGGGUGGUAGGUUUGUAACAUCCCAAAAUUCUAAAUUUUUGGAAUGUUAUAAUAAAUAGAUAGAUUUGAUUGUUGUUGGAUUGUUGUGUGAUUGAUUGAUUGAAAGUGAGUGAAAUUCAUGACAGAUGUGAGAUUGUUAAUAAUGGUUUACUUAAGGUGGCAACUAAAACUCACAUCUGGGUGGAUUGAGGCACCUGGAGAACCCAGUGUUGUCUGUUUGUAUAAGGACCGCCACCCGGGCUCAAAGGGAUCAUAAGAUUAUUCAUGCUAGAAACUUCCGUGUGCAGCCGCAAGCUAUUAUGGGCUCUAGCAUAGUUGAGUAAGUUGUGGGAAACCUUUCCAUGAUGGGCUAGCAGAUGUAGGGGAUUGUAGGUGUAACGGCCUAUCUAUCGGUUAAGGGGACCUCUUCGGAAAGACUGUGUCUCGGUCAUCCGUUUCUCAAACACCUUGUAGUGCGAGAAAUCCAACGGAGGCAAUCGAGUCUUGUGGGAAAAGUGCACAAACCUCUGCAGAGUGUACAAACUAAUCAUGAUUAGCCGUGUCCCCGGUUAUGGACAACUUGAGUAUCUAGUACCUGGAUUAUCAUGUGAAUCUCGUCAUCAUGUUACUUUAAUUAAUUUUGUUGGGUUAAUGAUGGUACUUAAUUGGGAUUGAGAUGCUGUCAACCAUCUCAAUGUUUCAGAACCACCAUGAUAGUUAAAUAAAAUUUAUUCCUUUGCAGUAGGGAAAAAUUGGCUUUUCGCAAAAACAUUAUCACCAUAGAGCUUUUCCACCAGCCAUAUAUGCAUGUAGUGAUAGCCCUUGUUCAUCAUUUCUUUAUGGUGUGAAUUUGCGAGCAUAUUCCAUGUGCUGACCCGUUUUCGGGCUGCAACGUUUCAUGUUGCAGGAUUCUUACGACGAGUAAGUGAUACGUUAGGGUUACGAUUUCUACACUCAACUUUGCCGUUGGUGUUGAUGCGAAUCCACAACCUUGUUACUUCCGCUAUUUUGGAUUGAGGUAAUAGUAUUUACGUUACUUUAUACAUGUGUUUUACCUCUGUUAUAAAUCCUCGAGUACUGUGUGUGUCAGCAUACCGAUUCAGGGAUGACACUUAAGCACAGAGACUUGAUCCAUUUGGGUCGGGUCGCUACACACCAACUCUUGAACUGUACGAGGUUGACCCAAGCCUCGACAGUUCAAGAGUUGGUGUGCCUCUCAAAGACAUGUUUGACCCAAAAAUCAUACGAAAAGAUAGUUAUUGGCAACCUUGGCCUAAAAACACGGAUCUGUCAUGGUUUAUUAAGCUAGCAAUGCCUACUGACACAGUCAGUCUAUUAUUAAGCAUAAAGUAAAUACUUGACUAAUUAAAAAUUGGAUAAUGCCAUCAGUGUGUUUUGACGCAAGCUAGAAAAUAGAGUAAUUUUAAAAUUAAAUAUACAUGUAUCAAGUAACUGGUGCAGCUAGACUCGCAUGAUCUAGAUAAACAUUUAUUUUGUAACCCUAUCAUGUAAUUAAUUAAACAAAAACAUUUGCUAAGGAUUACAGAAAUUCUUAUGCGCAAACGGUUGAAUUCUUUUUAUGUUUCUAUCGAUAUUUUAUUUAAUGUUGUUUUAUCCAUCUCUUUGAUGUUUUUAUUUUUAUUUUUAAAUUUUUAUUUUGUUAUUUAUUUAUCGAAGUAUUUUUUAAUAUUUUGUUAUUUCUUUAUAUGUAUCAUCAAGACAAAAAGCUACGACUCCGUAUGCACUUGGUCACUUUCCUCUGUUGAGCCCAUAUUCCCUCACUCAUUCACUCAAAUGUGUUAGUUAAUCAGCCAUUUUUACAUGUGUUAAGUCUUACGGGAAAAAACAAACAAGUACAUGUGUUAAGUCUUAGGAAAAAAAAACAAGUGUACAUGAUGGCCACUAGAGAGUAGAGACUGGACACUAGAGCAGCAUAUAUACUAGCCACACUCCGUAGGCUCCAUCCGCUCGCCGUCAGCCAAAUAGGCUCGCCCUCGCCUCCUCUUCUCUUCUCUCGUCUCUUCCUUGCCUCCUCACAAUGCUCGCCAAAUGCUCACCAUUCACCUGCAAUGCAUCCACUGUGUGUCACCCUAGUUAACGCAAUGUUUCAUAAAUAAAAGGAAAUUUCAUGAAUUUACAAAAAUCAGCGGACCAAGGAUUGCCAUGACAGGAAAAAUUAACAAAAACUAUUUUUCUUCUUCUGAUUUUCAGUGUUUUUGCUGUUUUAUUUGAUAUUUUAUUUAUUUUUAGUUGGUUAUUUUUUCCUUUUCUCCUCUAGUGUUUAUUUUAUAUAUAAAAUAAUCAGUGAAUUCCGGUUUUUACCCUCUAUUUUGACAUUUUCCAUUAAUUACCCAAUUUAGUGGGAUUUAUCCAUUUUACCCCAUUUAGCAGAAGCGUUACCACAAUUUACCCCGUGGUGGCAAAUAUGUGGACCACUAGAGAGUGAGUAUAUAUUUCCUGAGCUGCUCUGGUGUGAUCGUAGCGAGCCUAACCUGUCGGAAGAAGCUAGCUAGGGCGAUGCAGUUCGGCGUGCAGAAAAAGCAUCAAGAAAAAACUAGCCGACGUGGCAUCCAAGUAGGUCUUACAAUUGGGACCCGUCGGUCAGAACACUCAUAAAUUUUAAGCAGGGUAAACUGUGGUAACACUUUUGUAAAUAUGGUAAAAUAGAUGAAAUUCCGCUAAAUAGGGUAGUUAGUGUAAAAAAUGUCAAAACAGUGGGUAAAAACAAGAAUUCACUCUAAAAAAUCUAAGCUAUUCUGGGUCACUUUUUGAUUAACGAAACUGAUCCAUGUUUAUUAAACGAAAUUGAUGCAUAUGCCGUGAUACGCAUGCAUGCUGAUUAAACAAAACUGAUGCAUUUCAAUCUUCGUAUGGGUGCGCGGACCUUUUUCUUUCCAUUUGCCUCACAGCUUAAUAAUAGAUUGAUGCAUCUCAAUCUUGGUAUCAUGGCGACCAAAACCAUGAAUUCCUUGCCCUUCACCCCCUCACUAAAGGUGUUGCCUCCACAUAUGCGAGGGCCACUUUGCUAGUUGAAGAAAAUAGUGGCAUAGAUUUAAAGCAAAAAACCAAAUCGAGAGCUUGUAUUUUUGAAAAUUCUUCAGUUCGUAUCAACUGCUCUUGGCAACAAUUCCACUUUCCCUGCUCUCCUCUAUUAUGGUCGCAAAGAUACGGUGCUGAUGCGAAGCUAGAGCAUAGAUGCCCUGUACGUUUUAAGAAAAAGGGUUUCUCCCGCUUUAUAGAUAAAGCAUUACCGAACAACCGAAUCCUGCCGAUACAAACACACAUACACACACACACACACACCACACCCAAGGCCAGAUACAAGGACGCUGAUAACAGCAACACUACCCCGACAAAAUCCUAGCCAACAUCAGCUGAACACAAUAAGCACUACUACGAAGAUGUCGGGGCCCUCAACCGUGGGCGGGCCACCGCGAAGAGGAGAAGUCUUGUAGGACGAACAAUGAGCUCCAAAGCGACGCCUUCGGCAAGGGAACCACACCAUUGUGUCGCCACCGCCCAAUCCAAGGAUUAGAGUUUCCCGCGGUGCACUCCGACGACAAAUGAGAAGCCGCGACGGCGCCUUCAAGAAGAGGACGACGCUAGAACGCCCGCGCCGUCGGCCUGGCAAAGCAGAACGGGUUUUCACCACCGGCAGGGGCACCCUGCCCCUCCCGAAGUCCCAUGCCACCACCGGCAGGCCUCGCGCGCACCACCACACCAUGGCGCCACCCCGACCCGACGAGCGCGUCGCUGAGUCCAAAGAAGAGGGAGGGAGCUCACCCGAGUCCGACGCAGAUGAACCGCCGCCGGAGAGACCCGCAGUUGCCGCGCGCAUAUCAGACAACCACCAGGCCACAGCAGCGCCGCUGCAGACCACCCCACUCCGAGGUCAAGACCGACCUCAGCCACCGUCCCGCGCCGCCCGCCGCCAUCCAGGAGCUUGAUCCGGGAGGGUCGGGCCGGAUCCGCGCCAGCACGGCACCGCCCAGAUCGGGAAUCCCAGCGGCCGCCACGCCACAAACGAGCCUGCCACUCGACGUCGUGUCCCCACCAGGCAACCCCGCCGCCGAACUCCGAGCUCGCCGCCGCGCCGCCGGCCCUGCCAAAGACCGGCGCCCCCACUCGACCGGCUGUCUCACGCCAGCCGUGGAGCACGAGGGCGAGGAAGAAGAAGCCCCGCCGCCGCCCCCACCGGCCGGGCUUCGCCCGACGGCGUCGCUGGGCGGCGGCGAGGGAGGAGAGCAGAGGAGAGGGAGGACGGGUCACGGCGGCUAGGGUUCCCCCCGGUCGCUCGCGAGAGCGACACGGGAGGGGAGGGGAGAGGGAUUAUAUCCCGUGAUGCCCUGUACGUUUUGUGGGGAAAUGGGUACUUGGAUUUGGAUAGAAGAAACAAUCAAGCACCUUUUCAAUCAUUAACAGAGAAACUGAAACACUAACCAUUACUGAUAAAAAAAACCUAACCAUUACAUACGUAAUACAAAAUGAAUAUAUGGAGAAAAAAAUGGAGAAAUUAAUCAAUUCGGCUGCUGCACACGGAUUAAUUGCUUGUUCAUCAUCACAAUACAAUUAGCAAGACACCUUUUGUGCCAUGACAAUGACAUACAUCAAAGCUAAGCAAGACUAGUACAUCAUCUCUUGGAUCAUCUCCUGGAUGCAGGUUUCGGAGUUCUUCAUCACGCACUCGGCCCUCACGUGGUGAAAGGAUCCACUCUCCUAGACUAGUACAGUCGUGUCGUCGCACAAGCCGAGCAGCUCAUCUAACGNNNNNNNNNNNNNNNNNNNNNNNNNNNNNNNNNNNNNNNNNNNNNNNNNNNNNNNNNNNNNNNNNNNNNNNNNNNNNNNNNNNNNNNNNNNNNNNNNNNNNNNNNNNNNNNNNNNNNNNNNNNNNNNNNNNNNNNNNNNNNNNNNNNNNNNNNNNNNNNNNNNNNNNNNNNNNNNNNNNNNNNNNNNNNNNNNNNNNNNNNNNNNNNNNNNNNNNNNNNNNNNNNNNNNNNNNNNNNNNNNNNNNNNNNNNNNNNNNNNNNNNNNNNNNNNNNNNNNNNNNNNNNNNNNNNNNNNNNNNNNNNNNNNNNNNNNNNNNNNNNNNNNNNNNNNNNNNNNNNNNNNNNNNNNNNNNNNNNNNNNNNNNNNNNNNNNNNNNNNNNNNNNNNNNNNNNNNNNNNNNNNNNNNNNNNNNNNNNNNNNNNNNNNNNNNNNNNNNNNNNNNNNNNNNNNNNNNNNNNNNNNNNNNNNNNNNNNNNNNNNNNNNNNNNNNNNNNNNNNNNNNNNNNNNNNNNNNNNNNNNNNNNNNNNNNNNNNNNNNNNNNNNNNNNNNNNNNNNNNNNNNNNNNNNNNNNNNNNNNNNNNNNNNNNNNNNNNNNNNNNNNNNNNNNNNNNNNNNNNNNNNNNNNNNNNNNNNNNNNNNNNNNNNNNNNNNNNNNNNNNNNNNNNNNNNNNNNNNNNNNNNNNNNNNNNNNNNNNNNNNNNNNNNNNNNNNNNNNNNNNNNNNNNNNNNNNNNNNNNNNNNNNNNNNNNNNNNNNNNNNNNNNNNNNNNNNNNNNNNNNNNNNNNNNNNNNNNNNNNNNNNNNNNNNNNNNNNNNNNNNNNNNNNNNNNNNNNNNNNNNNNNNNNNNNNNNNNNNNNNNNNNNNNNNNNNNNNNNNNNNNNNNNNNNNNNNNNNNNNNNNNNNNNNNNNNNNNNNNNNNNNNNNNNNNNNNNNNNNNNNNNNNNNNNNNNNNNNNNNNNNNNNNNNNNNNNNNNNNNNNNNNNNNNNNNNNNNNNNNNNNNNNNNNNNNNNNNNNNNNNNNNNNNNNNNNNNNNNNNNNNNNNNNNNNNNNNNNNNNNNNNNNNNNNNNNNNNNNNNNNNNNNNNNNNNNNNNNNNNNNNNNNNNNNNNNNNNNNNNNNNNNNNNNNNNNNNNNNNNNNNNNNNNNNNNNNNNNNNNNNNNNNNNNNNNNNNNNNNNNNNNNNNNNNNNNNNNNNNNNNNNNNNNNNNNNNNNNNNNNNNNNNNNNNNNNNNNNNNNNNNNNNNNNNNNNNNNNNNNNNNNNNNNNNNNNNNNNNNNNNNNNNNNNNNNNNNNNNNNNNNNNNNNNNNNNNNNNNNNNNNNNNNNNNNNNNNNNNNNNNNNNNNNNNNNNNNNNNNNNNNNNNNNNNNNNNNNNNNNNNNNNNNNNNNNNNNNNNNNNNNNNNNNNNNNNNNNNNNNNNNNNNNNNNNNNNNNNNNNNNNNNNNNNNNNNNNNNNNNNNNNNNNNNNNNNNNNNNNNNNNNNNNNNNNNNNNNNNNNNNNNNNNNNNNNNNNNNNNNNNNNNNNNNNNNNNNNNNNNNNNNNNNNNNNNNNNNNNNNNNNNNNNNNNNNNNNNNNNNNNNNNNNNNNNNNNNNNNNNNNNNNNNNNNNNNNNNNNNNNNNNNNNNNNNNNNNNNNNNNNNNNNNNNNNNNNNNNNNNNNNNNNNNNNNNNNNNNNNNNNNNNNNNNNNNNNNNNNNNNNNNNNNNNNNNNNNNNNNNNNNNNNNNNNNNNNNNNNNNNNNNNNNNNNNNNNNNNNNNNNNNNNNNNNNNNNNNNNNNNNNNNNNNNNNNNNNNNNNNNNNNNNNNNNNNNNNNNNNNNNNNNNNNNNNNNNNNNNNNNNNNNNNNNNNNNNNNNNNNNNNNNNNNNNNNNNNNNNNNNNNNNNNNNNNNNNNNNNNNNNNNNNNNNNNNNNNNNNNNNNNNNNNNNNNNNNNNNNNNNNNNNNNNNNNNNNNNNNNNNNNNNNNNNNNNNNNNNNNNNNNNNNNNNNNNNNNNNNNNNNAGUAAAAAAAAAGACAUGUUUUUUUUAAUAAAACGCCAUACAUUAAUUAAUUAAUAAUGUUAUUACAAUCAUUCAUUACAAAAUUCGCCACACAGGGCGGAACGCGAUUAAGAAGAAUCCCAUCAGAUUUACUUAUAAAGCUACACUUCGCAAUUUCAUGAGCCACCUUAUUGGCGUUCCGAUUAAUUUUCGCAAUUUUAAAAUUCUUAAGCAUCUUUGAUAUACUCAAGGCUUCUUUCUUUAGAUCAACGAGCGAGGACCUGUCCAGAUUCUCAUUUGCAAGGAAAGAACGGACAAAAGCACAACCAGUCUCCAAAAUAAUGGACUCGUGAAGAGUAAUACCUAUAUAAAGGCCUGCUAGGCAAGCACGCAGCUCAGCUUCAUUCACACUGUAGCACUGACCCAGAAAGUCCCACGCAGAUAUAAUAACUUCGCCAGAUGAGUUCCUAACAACCACCCCCACACUGGCCGCAGUAAUACUCUCCACAUAGCUGGCAUCGACAGUGAUCUUGAUAUAAUCUUCUGGUGGAGGUUUCCAACCCACCUGUUGUUGUGAUGUUGCGAAAACUGGUGUUGCACCUCCCAUUUUUUAUUUACCUUUGUUACUAGGAACAACCUCGACAGUGUCAUGACAGGACGUAAAAGAAGACCAAUAGUUUACCACAAAAAUUGCACAAGCAGCAAUGGAUUCCUGCCCUUUUCCAAAAAUUAAAUCAUUUCUCAUGUGCCAUGCUCGCCAGAAAAGAAACAAAACUUGCUCUCACUGUUGCAGGCUCAAAUGAUCCAACAUAAUCAAUAGCCAAUCUGGCCCCGAGAAUUUGAACCACUCUUCAUCAGGAAUAUUCCAUGAUUCUCCCAAGGCGAGUCGCAGAGCACGAGCCUUAGAACAAGUAACGAGGGCAUGAAAAGUGCUUUCAUCUUCUACUCCACAAAUAGAGCACAUACCUGAAGUAACCUGAUGGUGCUUAACUUUAUUGGUCUGGACUGCCAAGCUAUUGGUUGCGGCCCUCCAGGCAAAAAUCCUUAUCUUCUGAGGGAUAUUAGCCUUCCAAAUUAAAUUUCAGAGCCUUCUUUCUCCACAUGGAUCUCCACUAGAUUGACCCAAUUUAUCUUGACUAUCCUUCAACUUAAUUGCUAAAUUGUACGCAUUUUAACAGAAAACAUACCGUUCUUCUCAUAGUGCCACGCAAUAAAAUCCCCAUCCCCAUAAGCAUGAAUACGAAUCUUAAGAAUCUCCUCUGCGUCAUGGGGAUAGAAAAGCUACUUAAUNNNNNNNNNNAAAUUUUCAUCCCAUACCUUUCUCCCGCUCAAGAACAAAUCAGAGACCCAUCUCAAUCUAGUAUUAUGCCUUUUAGCAGAAAUUUUAAGGCCAGUGCUCCUGGAUAACCAAUUAUCCCUCCAAAUAUUAAUACUAGAUCCAUCACCCACCCGCCAAAUGACGUCAUUUUGAAGUAAUUCCAGACCAUGCAUAAUACCUUGCCAAGUGAGUGAUGCAGACUCAGGAAACACUGUAUCAAGAAUAUGUCCCUGAGGAUAAUACUUUGCCUUCAUAAGCUUAGCACACAAUGAAUCCGGAUAAACCAAUAACCUCCACGCUUGUUUGGCUAAGAGGGCUUGGUUAAAUAAUCUGAGAUCCUGAAAUCCCAUACCACCCUUACCUUUAGACCUUGUUAAUUUGUCCCAUGCUAACCAAUGUGUUUUUCUUCGAUCUUCCUCAUCUCCCCACCAAAAAUUCCUGAUAAUCUGAGUUAACUCCUCACAAAGGGAAGCCGGGAACUUAAAAAUACCCAUAGCAUGCACAGGUAGAGCUUGAAUAACUGAUUUUAUUAAGUCUUCUUUCACGCCACAAGAAGCGUAUUUCUCUAUCCAGUCAGAGAGCCUUUUCAAAACCUUCUCUUUAGUAGAUUGAAACUUACCAGCUUUCAUUCUUCCCUCAGGAACCGGAAGUCCAAGAUAUUUAUCUUCGAAACCAUCGACCGUAAUUUUUAAGAUUACCAUUAUAGCCAGUUGAUUCUCCAAACUACACUUUUUCCCAAACAUCAUGGAACACUUAUCAGGACAUAAUAACUGCCCAGUCCCUUUCUCGUACUCCGUCAAAAUAUUUUUAAUGACAACUGCUUGAUCAAUGGAGCCUUUGAAAAAUAACAUAUUGUCGUCCGCAAACAGCAAGUGAGAAAUACCUAGGGCUUGUCUAUUCAAAUGGAACUCGUGAAGAACUCCCCUGGUAGAAGCAUCUUUAAGCAGUAAAGAAAGUGCCUCGGCAACAAAUAGGAACAAAUACGCGGAUAAAGGAUCUCCCUGCCUGAGCCCCCGAGAUGGUGAAAACUUCUCCAACAAUUGUCCGUUGAAGCGCACCGCAAAUUUCACUGAUGUAACACAUGCCAUAAUCCAAUUUAUCCACGUCAGUGCAAAACCCAAAGCCCCCAUCAAACAUUGUAAGAAACGCCAGUCCACCCUAUCAAAGGCUUUCGCCAGGUCCAACUUAUAUGCGCAAAAUUCCCCUCUGAAAUCUUUCAGCGUACUUAACGAAUGCAUACAUUCAAAAGCUAUGAGAGCAUUGUCAGAAAUUAACCUUCCCGGAAUAAAUGCACUUUGAGUAGGCGAAAUCAUACCAUCAAGGAGCCGUCGCACUCUGUUAACAAGGCAUUUGGAAAUAAUCUUAUAGAUAACAUUGCACAAACUGAUCGGCCUGAACUCUUUAAUAGUCUGAGGAUUCUUAACUUUUGGGAUGAGAACAAUAGUUGUGUUAUUAAUCCCCUCUGGCAUAAUUCCAUAAUUAAAAAACUGUUGGACAGCCUUAACAAUAUCCUCCUUGAUCAAAACCAAUUUCGUUGGAAAAACCUUGCAGGGAAACCAUCCAGACCCGGAGCUUUUAACGGUCCCAUUUGAAAAAGCGCACCACUAAUCUCUUGUUCCGAAAAUGGUUUGCAAAGAUCAUCAUUCAUAUCAUCAGAUACAAGGGGUUUGACCAACGAAAUAAUAUGUGACGGGUCAACGGAGUCGUCAACAGAAUAAAGAUAUUUAAAGAACGAGUUUGUUAUACCUUUCAUUUCCUCCAGAUUUUCCGUGAGACCCCCAUCAUCCUUCCUUAGUGCCGCACUUCUUUGCUCUCCAUGAAGCCGUUCUCUGAAAAUAAUUAGUAUUACGAUCUCCUCCUCUUAUCUUAUCCAAACGAGAUCUUUGCUUCCAUAGCAUCUCUUCCUUUAUAAGCAGCUCAUCCAUCUCUUGAAGAAUUUUCUUCCUUUCCAUGACUGCAGAAUGAUCAUUCCUACUAAACAACACAUUUAGUCUUUUACGAGCCCACUCCAGUUUCUUUGGUAAAUAACCAAUAUGGACCCGACUCCACCCAUGAAGAGAUUUCAUUAAUUUGUCUAACUUAUUAGCAAUAUCUUCAAGAUCAUUAAUAUUAGACUCUCUAUUCCAGCAAGCACUAAUCAGGUUGUCCAAAGCUCCACCUUCCCUCUCCCAAUAAGAUUCAUAUUUCAACUGAUUAACAAAUCUACCCACCCGGUGAGUACCCAAAACCUCAACAAAAAUGGGACAAUGAUCAGACCUGGAGCUUAUUACAUGGGAUACCUUACAUCGAGGGAACAUUGAAGACCAAAGCGGGCAUGCCACCGCACGAUCAAGACGCACCUUAACAUUCUUGUUUCCAUCUUGUUUGUUAUUAUACGUCCAAGGCACGCCAUGAUAACCCAAGUCAUAUAAAUUGCAAUCAGACAAAGCUUCACGAAAAUUAGCCAUUAGUCUAGUAGACCUCUUAUGACGAGAGUAGUGCUCUUCUUGCCACAUAGCUUCGUUAAAAUCCCCCACCAUAAACCAAGCUCCAACACCAAGAGGUUUAAUCUGUCUCAAGAGAUCCCAGAUAACAUACCUUUGACUCGCCUUAGGGUCACCGUAAAUGAAGGUGCACCUCCACUUUGUUCCCUCUCCCUUGUCAACGUACAAAUCAAUAAAGUGGUCACCAUAUUUGUUCAGCUCACAAGAGUACGCCUCAUCCAAAAACACAGCUAGUCCACCACCUUUACCAUGGCCAGAAACAGUAAAAACAUUAUUCAUACCCAACCUACAGCGCAAGCUCUCAACAUACUCUUUAUUCUUUCUUGUUUCAGAUAAAAAGAUAAUAUUGGGUAUGUGCGUCUUUGAGAGGCACACCAACUCUUGAACUGUACGAGGUUGACCCAAGCCUCGACAGUUCAAGAGUUGGUGUGCCUCUCAAAGACAUGUUUGACCCAAAAAUCAUACGAAAAGAUAGUUAUUGGCAACCUUGGCCUAAAAACACGGAUCUGUCAUGGUUUAUUAAGCUAGCAAUGCCUACUGACACAGUCAGUCUAUUAUUAAGCAUAAAGUAAAUACUUGACUAAUUAAAAAUUGGAUAAUGCCAUCAGUGUGUUUUGACGCAAGCUAGAAAAUAGAGUAAUUUUAAAAUUAAAUAUACAUGUAUCAAGUAACUGGUGCAGCUAGACUCGCAUGAUCUAGAUAAACAUUUAUUUUGUAACCCUAUCAUGUAAUUAAUUAAACAAAAACAUUUGCUAAGGAUUACAGAAAUUCUUAUGCACAAACGGUUGAAUUCUUUUUAUGUUUCUAUCGAUAUUUUAUUUAAUGUUGUUUUAUCCAUCUCUUUGAUGUUUUUAUUUUUAUUUUGUUAUUUAUUUAUCGAAGUAUUUUUUAUAUUUUGUUAUUUCUUUAUAUGUAUCAUCAAGACAAAAAGCUACGACUCCGUAUGCACUUGGUCACUUUCCUCUGUUGAGCCCAUAUUCCCUCACUCAUUCACUCAAAUGUGUUAGUUAAUCAACCAUUUUUACAUGUGUUAAGUCUUACGGGAAAAAACAAACAAGUACAUGUGUUAAGUCUUAGGAAAAAAAACAAGUGUACAUGAUGGCCACUAGAGAGUAGAGACUGGACACUAGAGCAGCAUAUAUACUAGCCACACUCCGUAGGCUCCAUCCGCUCGCCGUCAGCCAAAUAGGCUCGCCCUCGCCUCCUCUUCUCUUCUCUCAUCUCUUCCUUGCCUCCUCACAAUGCAUUCCAAAUGCUCACCAUUCACCUGCAAUGCAUCCACUGUGUGUCACCCUAGUUAACGCAAUGUUUCAUAAAUAAAAGGAAAUUUCAUGAAUUUACAAAAAUCAGCGGACCAAGGAUUGCCAUGACAAGAAAAAUUAACAAAAACUAUUUUUCUUCUUCUGAUUUUCAGUGUUUUUGCUGUUUUAUUUGAUCUUUUAUUUAUUUUUAGUUGGUUAUUUUUUUUCCUUUUCUCCUCUAGUGUUUAUUUUAUAUAUAAAAUAAUCAGUAAAUUCCGGUUUUUACCCUCUAUUUUGACAUUUUUUCACUAAUUACCCCAUUUAGUGGGAUUUAUCCAUUUUACCCCAUUUAGCAGAAGCCUUACCACAAUUUACCCCGUGGUGGCAAAUAUGUGGACCACUAGAGAGUGAGUAUAUGUUUCCUGAGCUGCUCUGGUGUGAUCAUAGCGAGCCUAACCUGUCGGAAGAAGCUAGCUAGCGCGAUGCAGUUCGGCGUGCAGAAAAAGCAUCAAGAAAAAACCAGCCGAUGUGGCCUCCAAGUAGGUCUUACAAUUGGGACCCGUCGGUCAGAACACUCAUAAAUUUUAAACAGGGUAAACUGUGGCAACACUUUUGUAAAUAGGGUAAAAUAGAUGAAAUUCCGCUAAAUAGGGUAGUUAGUGUAAAAAUGUCAAAACAGAGGGUAAAAACAAGAAUUCACUCUAAAAAAAAUAAGCUAUUCUGGGUCACUUUUUGAUUAACGAAACUGAUCCAUGUUUAUUAAACGAAAUUGAUGCAUAUGCCGUGAUACUCAUGCAUGCUGAUUAAACAAAACUGAUGCAUUUCAAUCUUCGUAUGGGUGCGCGGACCUUUUUCUUUCCAUUUGCCUCACAGCUUAAUAAUUGAUUGAUGCAUCUCAAUCUUGGUAUCAUGGCGACCAAAACCAUGAAUUCCUUGCCCUUCACCCCCUCACUAAAGGUGUUGCCUCCACAUAUGCGAGGGCCACUUUGCUAGUUGAAGAAAAUAGUGGCGCAGAUUUAAAGAAAAAAACCAAAUUGAGAGCUUGUAUUUUUGAAAAUUCUUCAGUUCGUAUCAAUUGCUCUUGGCAACAAUUCCACUUUCCCUACUCUCCUCUGUUAUGGUCGCAAAGAUAGGGUGCUGAUGCGAAGCUAGAGCAUAGAUGCCCUAUACGUUUUAAGAAAAAGGGUUUCCCCCGCUUUAUAGAUAAAGCAUUACCGAACAACCGAAUCCUGCCGACACAAACAAACACACACACACACACACACACACACACACACCACACCCAAGGCCGGAUGCAAGGACGCUGAUAACAGCAACACUACCCCGACAAAAUCCUAGCCAACAUCAGAUGAACACAAUAAGCACUACUAGGAAGAUGUCGGGGCCCUCAACCGUGAGCAGGCCACCGCGAAGAGGAGAAGUCGUGUAGGACGAACAAUGAGCUCCAAAGCGACGCCUUCAGCAAGGGAACGACACCAUUGUGUCGACACCGCCAAAUCCAAGGAUUAGAGUUUCCCCCGGAGCACUCCGACGACAAAUGAGAUGCCGCGACGGCGCCUUCAAGAAGAUGACGACGCUAGAACGCCGGUGCCGUCGGCCUGGCAAAGCAGAACGGGUUUUCACCACCGGCAGGGGCACCCUGCCCCUUCCCGAAGUCCCAUGCCGCCACCGGCAGGCCUCGCGUGCACCACCACGCCAUGGCGCCACCCCGACCCGACGAGCGCGUCGCUGAGUCCAAAGAAGAGGGAGGGAGCUCACCCGAGUCCGACGCAGACGAACCGCCGACGGAGAGACCCGCAGUUGCCGCGCGCAUAUCAGACAACCACCAGGCCACAGCAGCGCCGCUGCAGACCACCCCACUCCGAGGUCAAGACCGACCUCAGCCACCGUCCCGCGCCGCCCGCGGCCAUCCAGGAGCUUGAUCCGGGAGGGUCGGGCCGGAUCCGCGCCAGCACGGCACCGCCCAGAUCGGGAAUCCCAGCGGCCGCCACGCCACAAACGAGCCUGCCACUCGACGUCGUGUCCCCACCAGGCAACCCCGCCGCCGAACUCCGAGCACGCCGCCGCGCCGCCGGCCCUGCCAAAGACCGGCGCCCCCACUCGACCGGCUGUCUCACGCCAGCCGUGGAGCACGAGGGCGAGGAAGAAGAGGCCCCGCCGCCGCCCCCACCGGUCGGGCUUCGCCCGACGGCGUCGCUGGGCGGCGGCGAGGGAGGAGAGCAGAGGAGAGGGAGGACGGGUCACGGCGGCUAGGGUUCCCCCCGGUCGCUCGCGAGAGCGACACGGGAGGGGAGGGGAGAGGGAUUAUAUCCCGUGAUGCCCUGUACGUUUUGUGGGGAAAUGGGUACUUGGAUUUGGAUAGAAGAAACAAUCAAGCACCUUUUCAAUCAUUAACAGAGAAACUGAAACACUAACCAUUACUGAUAAAAAAAACCUAACCAUUACAUACGUAAUACAAAAUGAAUAUAUGGAGAAAAAAAUGGAGAAAUUAAUCAAUUCGGCUGCUGCACACGGAUUAAUUGCUUGUUCAUCAUCACAAUACAAUUAGCAAGACACCUUUUGUGCCAUGACAAUGACAUACAUCAAAGCUAAGCAAGACUAGUACAUCAUCUCUUGGAUCAUCUCCUGGAUGCAGGUUUCGGAGUUCUUCAUCACGCACUCGGCCCUCACGUGGUGAAAGGAUCCACUCUCCUAGACUAGUACAGUCGUGUCGUCGCACAAGCCGAGCAGCUCAUCUAACGCGCACCGAAAGGCGUCGUCUUCAUCCUCUGCAGCGCUAGUGCCUUCUUGGACUUCGCCGUCGAGUUUGCCGGGCAAGAACCCCUGCGCCACCACAGCGUCAUGGAGCUCGGGAAAAUCUUGAAGCAUGUCGUCGGUGAAGAACCCGCCUGGAUCGACGCUGCCGUCGUCCACAGCUCCGGACCCGGGUUGUUGGACGAUCGGCGGUUCCUGGCGGCGUGGGGUUUGGGGACGUGGAGCAUCCGGGUGCUGGACGUCGGCGGCCUUCCUUUUCCUGGAACCGGGAGCAUUGAUUACCUCGUGGUAUGUGGUCUCGCUCCUGUGACGAGACACGCAGACCUUGCAGAGCACCAAGCCGUCUUGCUUGUCAUCGCUGUACUCGUUCAUGCACCAGCCGAUCCUGAUCCUCUCUUUCUCUCCCGGCAACUUCUUGACGUAGCUGAGGUUUCGUCUAUGGCCUACGAGUUUACCUUGGUUGUCUAGCACGGGGAUCCCACCCUUCUCCGAGUGCCAGUAGUAACCCUCGCCGGCGUCGGCCACGCCACGCUGUCGCCUCCCGCCACCGCGGCCGGCUUUGGUCUGGUGAUGACGGGCAGGGGUGAAGAAGUACCAGACGCCCCCUUUCCCGUCGCCCUUGUCCGUUCCUUGCGCGUGUUGAUACAUCUCGACGAGGUCGCCGGGGGCGGCGGAGUAGGCGUCGAACUCGUGGAUGAGGCGGCUGGCGAAGAAGGCGUCGGCGAUCCGUGGGCGGAGGAACUUGGUGAUCAGCUCGUGCUCGGCUGGGUCGAAGGCGUAGCCGGCGGGAGGAUCCAGCUUGCCGUCGGCCAUCGCAGAGCUAGCUACGCACGUACGAGAUGGAUCAAGUAGCUAGGUAUGUACGUGUAACCCUGAACUCGCUAGCUGCUUGCCAUCUGGGUACCUAGCUUAUAUAGAUGGAUCGACAGCGAGCCCGCCCGGGAUUCAGUUUCCUUGACCGGUCAUACGUACGUGUCCUAAGCAAUCCGUACAUGAAAUGGAUUAGUACAGCAAUCCGUACAUAAAAUGGACUAGUGCAGCACGCCCCAUGAUGCUCCGUCGCUGCACCGACCUUGCUCCAUUGCAGCUCGCGUCGCUGCACCUUGCCGCUCGGUAAUACUCAGCAUGCUUCGACGGACAUGGUGAUGCUACGAGGCGUGCUACAUCGACCGCCGCGAUGGCGCAACAUCAUCCGGACUGCUUUGAUGAAGCUGCGACAGCCACGGCGUUGACAUUUCGACAUGCUUCAAACACCCAUGGUGUGCUUUGACGGCCACGACAAUGCUUCAACGGUAGACUUCGACGGUCGCGGUGAUGUUACGGGACGUGCUUCGACGACCAUGGCAAUGAUGCGGCAACAUGCUUCUAACGUCGGUGUUGUACUUGGAUGGCAGCGAUGAUGUUGUGACGACAUGGUUGGACAGCCACGACGUCCUGCUUCGACAACCACGAUGAUGUUGCGGCAACGUGUUCCACGGCCACGAAAGUGUUACAAUGAUGGGCAUGGCUGCACCAAUGAUAAUGCAACGACCACAGCGGUGCGGCAACGGCGACCCGGCUGCUUCGAUGAUGCUAUGAUGCCAUGCUUCGAAGAAGGUGGUGGCGUCAAUGGUGCUACUCUAAACAUUAGCAACCUUCACUUUACCACAAUCAGCAUCGAGAAAGAUGGUGUUCUAGUAUUUGUACCAUCACAUGUGUAGUUACCUAGCAAAAUCAUUGCAUAUGGAGUACGUUAAAAAAGAUCAUUUAAAUAGGCAGUCGUCCGAACGCUACCACAUGUCACGAACUUUGGAUACUUUUGCGUGUGGAAGACAGAGCAUUCGCUACCUUCCUGUGUGGGAGAUAGUGCUCGCGCCACACGAUCAUGUGGGAUCGGACGGCUCCGGACGUGAUUGAUAAAGACAAGAAAUCAUCCGACUUAUUUAAAACAUUUUCCCUCGCCGAAUGCUCACCUUUUACUCGCAAUGGCCACUUAUCGGUUAGCCUGGUUGACGCAUUUCUGUUUGUUUGUGACUUUGCAGUGUUUUUGCUGCUUUAUUUGUUCUUUUAUAUAUUUUUACUGGCCUUUCUUAUUUUAUCAACUUAUGAUUAUUUUAUUAUAUUAUAAAAAAUAUGUCUGUUUUAUUCUAGGUAAUCCUUUUUAUGCACUAUUGACAGAAAUAGUUCGUAUUAAAAAGGUGCUUACUCAUUUCAAAAUAUAUAAUACAUUUGAAUUUUUUUAUAUAUUCUAAAUAAAAUGUUCUUAUACUUUUGAAUAUGAUUUACCUAUUUCAAAAAAUAUUCAUUUAGUUCGUAAAAAAAUCUUUUAUUCAAAACGAAAUUACAUGUAUUCGCAAAGAGUGUUCACGUAUUUCUAAAAAUGUCCAUGUAAUUAUUAAAGUAUUCUCACAUUUAAAAAUAUAUUCACAUAAGUUUGGAAAAUAAUCAUUUACGACAUAAAAUAGAAAAUACACUGGAAAUUUUUUAUCGCGUAUUAAAAAAAUACUCAUCAUAUAUUAAAUAAAUUUCAUUCUGUUAAAAAAUAUUCAUCAUUUAUUUAAAAUACAUACGUUGUGUUUUUAAAAGGUCAUGUGUAAUGUUAUUUUCUAAUUGCAUAAGUAAAGUAAGUAAGAAGAAAAUCACAGAAAAUAAAGAAAGAGAAAAAUGUGGGAAAAGAACAACAAAUAAUAGGGAAAUGAAAAAAAAGAGGCAAAGAUAAUUAAAAGAAUUCAAGAAAAAAUUUGAUAAAAAAACCCACAAGAAACUAGUCGAAAACAAGAAAAAAGAUAAUAUCAUGAACAAAAAUCAGGCAGAAACACGAAGAAGAGAGCCAUGUGUUCAACGAACCUAAAAGUAAUCAGCACAUCGCAUGUGCGUAUCGGGCCAUCAUCCUUCCUUAGUGCCGCACUUUGCUCUCCAUGAAGCCGUUCUCUGAAAAUAAUUAGUAUUACGAUCUCCUCCUCUUAUCUUAUCCAAACGAGAUCUUUGCUUCCAUAGCAUCUCUUCCUUUAUAAGAAGCCCAUCCAUCUCUUGAAGAAUUUUCUUCCUUUCCAUCACUGCAGAAUGAUCAUUCCUACUAAACAACACAUUUAGUCUUUUACGAGCCCACUCCAGUUUCUUUGGUAAAUAACCAAUAUGGACCCGACUCCACCCAUGAAGAGAUUUCAUUAAUUUGUCUAACUUAUUAGCAAUAUCUUCAAGAUCAUUAAUAUUAGACUCUCUAUUCCAGCAAGCACUAAUCAGGUCGUCCAAAGCUCCACCUUCCCUCUCCCAAUAUGAUUCAUAUUUCAACUGAUUAACAAAUCUACCCACCCGGUGAGUACCCAAAACCUCAACAAAAAUGGGACAAUGAUCAGACCUGGAGCUUAUUAUAUCGGAUACCUUACAUCGAGGGAACAUUGAAGACCAAAGCGGGCAUGCCACCGCACGAUCAAGACACACCUUAACAUUCUUGUUUCCAUCUUGUUUGUUAUUAUACGUCCAAGGCACGCCAUGAUAACCCAAGUCAUAUAAAUUGCAAUCAGACAAAGCUUCACGAAAAUUAGCCAUUAGUCUAGUAGACCUCUUAUGACGAGAGUAGUGCUCUUCUUGCCACAUAGCUUCGUUAAAAUCCCCCACCAUAAACCAAGCUCCAACACCAAGAGGUUUAAUCCGUCUCAAGAGAUCCCAGAUAACAUACCUUUGACUCGCCUUAGGGUCACCGUAAAUGAAGGUGCACCUCCACUUUGUUCCCUCUCCCUUGUCGACGUACAAAUCAGUAAAGUGGUCACCAUAUUUGUUCAGCUCACAAGAGUACGCCUCAUCCCAAAACACAGCUAGUCCACCACCUUUACCAUGGCCAGAAAUAGUAAAAACAUUAUUCAUACCCAACCUACAGCGCAAGCUCUCAACAUACUCUUUAUUCUUUUCUUGUUUCAGAUAAAAAGAUAAUAUUGGGUAUGUGCGUCUUUGAGAGGCACACCAACUCUUGAACUGUACGAGGCUCAACCUCGUACAGUUCAAGAGUUGGUGUGCCUCUCAAAGACAUGUUUGACCCAAAAAUCAUACGAAAAGAUAGUUAUUGGCAACCUUGGCCUAAAAACAUGGAUCUGUCAUGGUUUAUUAAGCUAGCAAUGCCUACUGACACAGUCAGUCUAUUAUUAAGCAUAAAGUAAAUACUUGACUAAUUAAAAAUUGGAUAAUGCCAUCAGUGUGUUUUGACGCAAGCUAGAAAAUAGAGUAAUUUUAAAAUUAAAUAUACAUGUAUCAAGUAACUGGUGCAGCUAGACUCGCAUGAUCUAGAUAAACAUUUAUUUUGUAACCCUAUCAUGUAAUUAAUUAAACAAAAACAUUUGCUAAGGAUUACAGAAAUUCUUAUGCACAAACGGUUGAAUUCUUUUUAUGUUUCUAUCGAUAUUUUAUUUAAUGUUGUUUUAUCUAUCUCUUUGAUGUUUUUAUUUUCAUUUUUAAAAUUUUAUUUUGUUAUUUAUUUAUCGAAGUAUUUUUUAUAUUUUGUUAUUUCUUUAUAUGUAUCAUCAAGACAAAAAGCUACGACUCCGUAUGCACUUGGUCACUUUCCUCUGUUGAGCCCAUAUUCCCUCACUCAUUCACUCAAAUGUGUUAGUUAAUUAGCCAUUUUUACAUGUGUUAAGUCUUACGGGAAAAAACAAACAAGUACAUGUGUUAAGUCUUAGGAAAAAAAACAAGUGUACAUGAUGGCCACUAGAGAGUAGAGACUGGACACUAGAGCAGCAUAUAUACUAGCCACACUCCGUAGGCUCCAUCCGCUCGCCGUCAGCCAAAUAGGCUCGCCCUCGCCUCCUCUUCUCUUCUCUCAUCUCUUCCUUGCCUCCUCACAAUGCAUUCCAAAUGCUCACCAUUCACCUGCAAUGCAUCCACUGUGUGUCACCCUAGUUAACGCAAUAUUUCAUAAAUAAAAGGAAAUUUCAUGAAUUUACAAAAAUCAGCGGACCAAGGAUUGCCAUGACAAGAAAAAUUAACAAAAACUAUUUUUCUUCUUCUGAUUUUCAGUGUUUUUGCUGUUUUAUUUGAUCUUUUAUUUAUUUUUAGUUGGUUAUUUUUUCCUUUUCUCCUCUAGUGUUUAUUUUAUAUAUAAAAUAAUCAGUGAAUUCCAGUUUUUACCCUCUAUUUUGAAAAUUUUCCAAUAAUUACCCCAUUUAGUGGGAUUUAUCCAUUUUACCCCAUUUAGCAGAAGCGUUACCACAAUUUACCCCGUGGUGGCAAAUAUGUGGACCACUAGAGAGUGAGUAUAUGUUUCUUGAGCUGCUCUGAUGCGAUCAUAGCGAGCCUAACCUGUCGGAAGAAGCUAGCUAGGGCGAUGCAGUUUGGCGUGCAGAAAAAGCAUCAAGAAAAAACCAGCCGAUCUGGCAUCCAAGUAGGUCUUACAAUUGGGACCCGUCGGUCAGAACACUCAUAAAUUUUAAACAGGGUAAACUGUGGCAACACUUUUGUAAAUAGGGUAAAAUAGAUGAAAUUCCGCUAAAUAGGGUAGUUAGUGUAAAAAUGUCAAAACAGAGGGUAAAAACAAGAAUUCACUCUAAAAAAUCUAAGCUAUUCUGGGUCACUUUUUGAUUAACGAAACUGAUCCAUGUUUAUUAAACGAAAUUGAUGCAUAUGCCGUGAUACCCAUGCAUGCUGAUUAAACAAAACUGAUGCAUUUCAAUCUUUGUAUGGGUGCGCGGACCUUUUUCUUUCCAUUUGCCUCACAGCUUAAUAAUUGAUUGAUGCAUCUCAAUCUUGGUAUCAUGGCGACCAAAACCAUGAAUUCCUUGCCCUUCACCCCCUCACUAAAGGUGUUGCCUCCACAUAUGCGAGGGCCACUUUGCUAGUUGAAGAAAAUAGUGGCGGAGAUUUAAAGAAAAAAACCAAAUCGAGAGCUUGUAUUUUUGAAAAUUCUUCAGUUCGUCUCAAUUGCUCUUGGCAACAAUUCCACUUUCCCUACUCUCCUCUGUUAUGGUCGCAAAGAUAGGGUGCUGAUGCAAAGCUAGAGCAUAGAUGCCCUGUACGUUUUAAGAAAAAGGGUUUCCCCCGCUUUAUAGAUAAAGCAUUACCGAACAACCGAAUCCUGCCGAUACAAACACACACACACACACACACACACACACACCACACCCAAGGCCGGAUACAAGGACGCUGAUAACAGCAACACUACCCCGACAAAAUCCUAGCCAACAUCAGAUGAACACAAUAAGCACUACUACGAAGAUGUCGGGGCCCUCAACCGUGAGCAGGCCACCGCGAAGAGGAGAAGUCGUGUAGGACGAACAAUGAGCUCCAAAGCGACGCCUUCAGCAAGGGAACGACACCAUUGUGUCGCCACCGCCAAAUCCAAGGAUUAGAGUUUCCCCCGGAGCACUCCGACGACAAAUGAGAUGCCGCGACGGCGCCUUCAAGAAGAGGACGACGCUAGAACGCCGGCGCCGUCGGCCUGGCAAAGCAGAACGGGUUUUCACCACCGGCAGGGGCACCCUGCCCCUUCCCGAAGUCCCAUGCCGCCACCGGCAGGCCUCGCGCGCACCACCACACCAUGGCGCCACCCCGACCCGACGAGCGCGUCGCUGAGUCCAAAGAAGAGGGAGGGAGCUCACCCGAGUCCGACGCAGACGAACCGCCGCCGGAGAGACCCGCAGUUGCCGCGCGCAUAUCAGACAACCACCGGGCCACAGCAGCGCCGCUGCAGACCACCCCACUCCGAGGUCAAGCCGACCUCAGCCACCGUCCCGCGCUGCCCGCCGCCAUCUAGGAGCCGGAUCCGGGAGGGUCGGGCCGGAUCCGCGCCAGCACGCCACCGCCCAGAUCGGGAAUCCCAGCGGCCGCCACGCCACAAACGAGCCUGCCACUCGACGUCUUGUCCCCACCAGGCAACCCCACCGCCGAACUCCGAGCACGCCGCCGCGCCGCCGGCCCUGCCAAAGACCGGCGCCCCCACUCGACCGGCUGUCUCACGCCAGCCGUGGAGCACGAGGGCGAGGAAGAAGAGGCCCCGCCGCCGCCCCCACCGGCCGGGCUUCGCCCGACGGCGUCGCUGGGCGGCGGCGAGGGAGGAGAGCAGAGGAGAGGGAGGACGGGUCACGGCGGCUAGGGUUCCCCCCGGUCGCUCGCGAGAGCGACACGGGAGGGGAGGGGAGAGGGAUUAUAUCCCGUGAUGCCCUGUACGUUUUGUGGGGAAAUGGGUACUUGGAUUUGGAUAGAAGAAACAAUCAAGCACCUUUUCAAUCAUUAACAGAGAAACUGAAACACUAACCAUUACUGAUAAAAAAAACCUAACCAUUACAUACGUAAUACAAAAUGAAUAUAUGGAGAAAAAAAUGGAGAAAUUAAUCAAUUCGGCUGCUGCACACGGAUUAAUUGCUUGUUCAUCAUCACAAUACAAUUAGCAAGACACCUUUUGUGCCAUGACAAUGACAUACAUCAAAGCUAAGCAAGACUAGUACAUCAUCUCUUGGAUCAUCUCCUGGAUGCAGGUUUCGGAGUUCUUCAUCACGCACUCGGCCCUCACGUGGUGAAAGGAUCCACUCUCCUAGACUAGUACAGUCGUGUCGUCGCACAAGCCGAGCAGCUCAUCUAACGCGCACCGAAAGGCGUCGUCUUCAUCCUCUGCAGCGCUAGUGCCUUCUUGGACUUCGCCGUCGAGUUUGCCGGGCAAGAACCCCUGCGCCACCACAGCGUCAUGGAGCUCGGGACAAUCUUGAAGCAUGUCGUCGGUGAAGAACCCGCCUGGAUCGACGCUGCCGUCGUCCACAGCUCCGGACCCGGGUUGUUGGACGAUCGGCGGUUCCUGGCGGCGUGGGGUUUGGGGACGUGGAGCAUCCGGGUGCUGGACGUCGGCGGCCUUCCUUUUCCUGGAACCGGGAGCAUUGAUUACCUCGUGGUAUGUGGUCUCGCUCCUGUGACGAGACACGCAGACCUUGCAGAGCACCAAGCCGUCUUGCUUGUCAUCGCUGUACUCGUUCAUGCACCAGCCGAUCCUGAUCCUCUCUUUCUCUCCCGGCAACUUCUUGACGUAGCUGAGGUUUCGUCUAUGGCCUACGAGUUUACCUUGGUUGUCUAGCACGGGGAUCCCACCCUUCUCCGAGUGCCAGUAGUAACCCUCGCCGGCGUCGGCCACGCCACGCUGUCGCCUCCCGCCACCGCGGCCGACUUUGGUCUGGUGACGACGGGCAGGGGUGAAGAAGUACCAGACGCCCCCUUUCCCGUCGCCCUUGUCCGUUCCUUGCGCGUGUUGAUACAUCUCGACGAGGUCGCCGGGGGCGGCGGAGUAGGCGUCGAACUCGUGGAUGAGGCGGCUGGCGAAGAAGGCGUCGGCGAUCCGUGGGCGGAGGAACUUGGUGAUCAGCUCGUGCUCGGCUGGGUCGAAGGCGUAGCCGGCGGGAGGAUCCAGCUUGCCGUCGGCCAUCGCAGAGCUAGCUACGCACGUACGAGAUGGAUCAAGUAGCUAGGUAUGUACGUGUAACCCUGAACUCGCUAGCUGCUUGCCAUCUGGGUACCUAGCUUAUAUAGAUGGAUCGACAGCGAGCCCGCCCGGGAUUCAGUUUCCUUGACCGGUCAUACGUACGUGUCCUAAGCAAUCCGUACAUGAAAUGGAUUAGUACAGCAAUCCGUACAUAAAAUGGACUAGUGCAGCACGCCCCAUGAUGCUCCGUCGCUGCACCGACCUUGCUCCAUUGCAGCUCGCGUCGCUGCACCUUGCCGCUCGGUAAUACUCAGCAUGCUUCGACGGACAUGGUGAUGCUACGAGGCGUGCUACAUCGACCGCCGCGAUGGCGCAACAUCAUCCGGACUGCUUUGAUGAAGCUGCGACAGCCGCGGCGUUGACAUGUCGACAUGCUUCAAACACCCAUGGUGUGCUUUGACGGCCACGACAAUGCUUGAACGGCAGACUUCGACGGUCGCGGUGAUGCUACGGGACGUGCUUUGACGACCAUGGCAAUGGUGCGGCAACAUGCUUCUAACGUCGGUGCUGUACUUGGAUGGCAGCGAUGAUGUUGUGACGACAUGGUUGAACAGCCACGACGUCCUGCUUCGACAACCACGAUGAUGUUGCGGCAACGUGUUCCACGGCCACGAAAGUGUUACAAUGAUGGGCAUGGCUGCACCAACGAUAAUGCAACGACCACAGCGGUGCGGCAACGGCGACCGGGCUGCUUCGAUGAUGCUAUGAUGCCAUGCUUCGAAAAAGGUGGUGGCGUCAAUGGUGCUACUCUAAACAUUAGCAACCUUCACUCGACCACAAUCAGCAUCGAGAAAGAUGGUGUUCUAGUAUUUGUACCAUCACAUGUGUAGUUACCUAGCAAAAUCACUGCAUAUGGAGUACGUUAAAAAAGAUCAUUUAAAUAGGUAGUCGUCCGAACGCUACCACAUGUCACGAACUUUGAAUACUUUUGCGUGUGGAAGACAGAGCAUUCGCUACCUUCCUGUGUGGGAGAUAGCGCUCGUGCCACACGAUCAUGUGGGAUCGGACGGCUCCGGACGUGAUUGAUAAAGACAAGAAAUCAUCCGACUUAUUUAAAACAUUUUCCCUCGCCGAAUGCUCACCUUUUACUCGCAAUGGCCACUUGUCGGUUAGCCUGGUUGACGCAUUUCUGUUUGUUUGUGACUUUGCAGUGUUUUUGCUGCUUUAUUUGUUCUUUUAUAUAUUUUUACUGGCCUUUCUUAUUUUAUCAACUUAUGAUUAUUUUAUUAUAUUAUAAAAAAUAUGUCUGUUUUAUUCUAGGUAAUCCUUUUUAUUUGCACUAUUGACAGAAAUAGUUCGUAUUAAAAAGGUCCUUACUCAUUUCAAAAUAUAUAAUACAUUUGAAUUUUUUUUAUAUAUUCUAAAUAAAAUAUUCUUGUACUUUUGAAUAUGAUUUACCUAUUUCGAAAAAUAUUCAUUUAGUUCGUAAAAAAAUCUUUUAUUCAAAACGAAAUUACAUGUAUUCGCAAAGAGUGUUCACGUAUUUCUAAAAAUGUCCAUGUAAUUAUUAAAGUAUUCUCACAUUUAAAAAUAUAUUCACAUAACUUUGGAAAAUAAUCAUUUACGACAUAAAAUAGAAAAUACACUGGAAAUUUUUUAUCGCGUAUUAAAAAAAUAUUCAUCAUAUAUUAAAUAAAUUUCAUUCUGUUAAAAAAUAUUCAUCAUUUAUUUAAAAUACAUACGUUGUGUUUUUAAAAGGUCAUGUGUAAUGUUAUUUUCUAAUUGCAUAAGUAAAGUAAGUAAGAAGAAAAUCACAGAAAAUAAAGAAAGAGAAACAUGUGGGAAAAGAACAACAAAUAAUAGGGAAAUGAAAAAAAGAGGCAAAGAUAAUUAAAAGAGUUCAAGAAAAAAAUUGAUAAAAANNNNNNNNNNAGUAAAAAAAAAGACAUGUUUUUUUUAAUAAAACGCCAUACAUUAAUUAAUUAAUAAUGUUAUUACAAUCAUUCAUUACAAAAUUCGCCACACAGGGCGGAACGCGAUUAAGAAGAAUCCCAUCAGAUUUACUUAUAAAGCUACACUUCGCAAUUUCAUGAGCCACCUUAUUGGCGUUCCGAUUAAUUUUCGCAAUUUUAAAAUUCUUAAGCAUCUUUGAUAUACUCAAGGCUUCUUUCUUUAGAUCAACGAGCGAGGACCUGUCCAGAUUCUCAUUUGCAAGGAAAGAACGGACAAAAGCACAACCAGUCUCCAAAAUAAUGGACUCGUGAAGAGUAAUACCUAUAUAAAGGCCUGCUAGGCAAGCACGCAGCUCAGCUUCAUUCACACUGUAGCACUGACCCAGAAAGUCCCACGCAGAUAUAAUAACUUCGCCAGAUGAGUUCCUAACAACCACCCCCACACUGGCCGCAGUAAUACUCUCCACAUAGCUGGCAUCGACAGUGAUCUUGAUAUAAUCUUCUGGUGGAGGUUUCCAACCCACCUGUUGUUGUGAUGUUGCGAAAACUGGUGUUGCACCUCCCAUUUUUUAUUUACCUUUGUUACUAGGAACAACCUCGACAGUGUCAUGACAGGACGUAAAAGAAGACCAAUAGUUUACCACAAAAAUUGCACAAGCAGCAAUGGAUUCCUGCCCUUUUCCAAAAAUUAAAUCAUUUCUCAUGUGCCAUGCUCGCCAGAAAAGAAACAAAACUUGCUCUCACUGUUGCAGGCUCAAAUGAUCCAACAUAAUCAAUAGCCAAUCUGGCCCCGAGAAUUUGAACCACUCUUCAUCAGGAAUAUUCCAUGAUUCUCCCAAGGCGAGUCGCAGAGCACGAGCCUUAGAACAAGUAACGAGGGCAUGAAAAGUGCUUUCAUCUUCUACUCCACAAAUAGAGCACAUACCUGAAGUAACCUGAUGGUGCUUAACUUUAUUGGUCUGGACUGCCAAGCUAUUGGUUGCGGCCCUCCAGGCAAAAAUCCUUAUCUUCUGAGGGAUAUUAGCCUUCCAAAUUAAAUUUCAGAGCCUUCUUUCUCCACAUGGAUCUCCACUAGAUUGACCCAAUUUAUCUUGACUAUCCUUCAACUUAAUUGCUAAAUUGUACGCAUUUUAACAGAAAACAUACCGUUCUUCUCAUAGUGCCACGCAAUAAAAUCCCCAUCCCCAUAAGCAUGAAUACGAAUCUUAAGAAUCUCCUCUGCGUCAUGGGGAUAGAAAAGCUACUUAAUNNNNNNNNNNAAAUUUUCAUCCCAUACCUUUCUCCCGCUCAAGAACAAAUCAGAGACCCAUCUCAAUCUAGUAUUAUGCCUUUUAGCAGAAAUUUUAAGGCCAGUGCUCCUGGAUAACCAAUUAUCCCUCCAAAUAUUAAUACUAGAUCCAUCACCCACCCGCCAAAUGACGUCAUUUUGAAGUAAUUCCAGACCAUGCAUAAUACCUUGCCAAGUGAGUGAUGCAGACUCAGGAAACACUGUAUCAAGAAUAUGUCCCUGAGGAUAAUACUUUGCCUUCAUAAGCUUAGCACACAAUGAAUCCGGAUAAACCAAUAACCUCCACGCUUGUUUGGCUAAGAGGGCUUGGUUAAAUAAUCUGAGAUCCUGAAAUCCCAUACCACCCUUACCUUUAGACCUUGUUAAUUUGUCCCAUGCUAACCAAUGUGUUUUUCUUCGAUCUUCCUCAUCUCCCCACCAAAAAUUCCUGAUAAUCUGAGUUAACUCCUCACAAAGGGAAGCCGGGAACUUAAAAAUACCCAUAGCAUGCACAGGUAGAGCUUGAAUAACUGAUUUUAUUAAGUCUUCUUUCACGCCACAAGAAGCGUAUUUCUCUAUCCAGUCAGAGAGCCUUUUCAAAACCUUCUCUUUAGUAGAUUGAAACUUACCAGCUUUCAUUCUUCCCUCAGGAACCGGAAGUCCAAGAUAUUUAUCUUCGAAACCAUCGACCGUAAUUUUUAAGAUUACCAUUAUAGCCAGUUGAUUCUCCAAACUACACUUUUUCCCAAACAUCAUGGAACACUUAUCAGGACAUAAUAACUGCCCAGUCCCUUUCUCGUACUCCGUCAAAAUAUUUUUAAUGACAACUGCUUGAUCAAUGGAGCCUUUGAAAAAUAACAUAUUGUCGUCCGCAAACAGCAAGUGAGAAAUACCUAGGGCUUGUCUAUUCAAAUGGAACUCGUGAAGAACUCCCCUGGUAGAAGCAUCUUUAAGCAGUAAAGAAAGUGCCUCGGCAACAAAUAGGAACAAAUACGCGGAUAAAGGAUCUCCCUGCCUGAGCCCCCGAGAUGGUGAAAACUUCUCCAACAAUUGUCCGUUGAAGCGCACCGCAAAUUUCACUGAUGUAACACAUGCCAUAAUCCAAUUUAUCCACGUCAGUGCAAAACCCAAAGCCCCCAUCAAACAUUGUAAGAAACGCCAGUCCACCCUAUCAAAGGCUUUCGCCAGGUCCAACUUAUAUGCGCAAAAUUCCCCUCUGAAAUCUUUCAGCGUACUUAACGAAUGCAUACAUUCAAAAGCUAUGAGAGCAUUGUCAGAAAUUAACCUUCCCGGAAUAAAUGCACUUUGAGUAGGCGAAAUCAUACCAUCAAGGAGCCGUCGCACUCUGUUAACAAGGCAUUUGGAAAUAAUCUUAUAGAUAACAUUGCACAAACUGAUCGGCCUGAACUCUUUAAUAGUCUGAGGAUUCUUAACUUUUGGGAUGAGAACAAUAGUUGUGUUAUUAAUCCCCUCUGGCAUAAUUCCAUAAUUAAAAAACUGUUGGACAGCCUUAACAAUAUCCUCCUUGAUCAAAACCAAUUUCGUUGGAAAAACCUUGCAGGGAAACCAUCCAGACCCGGAGCUUUUAACGGUCCCAUUUGAAAAAGCGCACCACUAAUCUCUUGUUCCGAAAAUGGUUUGCAAAGAUCAUCAUUCAUAUCAUCAGAUACAAGGGGUUUGACCAACGAAAUAAUAUGUGACGGGUCAACGGAGUCGUCAACAGAAUAAAGAUAUUUAAAGAACGAGUUUGUUAUACCUUUCAUUUCCUCCAGAUUUUCCGUGAGACCCCCAUCAUCCUUCCUUAGUGCCGCACUUCUUUGCUCUCCAUGAAGCCGUUCUCUGAAAAUAAUUAGUAUUACGAUCUCCUCCUCUUAUCUUAUCCAAACGAGAUCUUUGCUUCCAUAGCAUCUCUUCCUUUAUAAGCAGCUCAUCCAUCUCUUGAAGAAUUUUCUUCCUUUCCAUGACUGCAGAAUGAUCAUUCCUACUAAACAACACAUUUAGUCUUUUACGAGCCCACUCCAGUUUCUUUGGUAAAUAACCAAUAUGGACCCGACUCCACCCAUGAAGAGAUUUCAUUAAUUUGUCUAACUUAUUAGCAAUAUCUUCAAGAUCAUUAAUAUUAGACUCUCUAUUCCAGCAAGCACUAAUCAGGUUGUCCAAAGCUCCACCUUCCCUCUCCCAAUAAGAUUCAUAUUUCAACUGAUUAACAAAUCUACCCACCCGGUGAGUACCCAAAACCUCAACAAAAAUGGGACAAUGAUCAGACCUGGAGCUUAUUACAUGGGAUACCUUACAUCGAGGGAACAUUGAAGACCAAAGCGGGCAUGCCACCGCACGAUCAAGACGCACCUUAACAUUCUUGUUUCCAUCUUGUUUGUUAUUAUACGUCCAAGGCACGCCAUGAUAACCCAAGUCAUAUAAAUUGCAAUCAGACAAAGCUUCACGAAAAUUAGCCAUUAGUCUAGUAGACCUCUUAUGACGAGAGUAGUGCUCUUCUUGCCACAUAGCUUCGUUAAAAUCCCCCACCAUAAACCAAGCUCCAACACCAAGAGGUUUAAUCNNNNNNNNNNNNNNNNNNNNNNNNNNNNNNNNNNNNNNNNNNNNNNNNNNNNNNNNNNNNNNNNNNNNNNNNNNNNNNNNNNNNNNNNNNNNNNNNNNNNNNNNNNNNNNNNNNNNNNNNNNNNNNNNNNNNNNNNNNNNNNNNNNNNNNNNNNNNNNNNNNNNNNNNNNNNNNNNNNNNNNNNNNNNNNNNNNNNNNNNNNNNNNNNNNNNNNNNNNNNNNNNNNNNNNNNNNNNNNNNNNNNNNNNNNNNNNNNNNNNNNNNNNNNNNNNNNNNNNNNNNNNNNNNNNNNNNNNNNNNNNNNNNNNNNNNNNNNNNNNNNNNNNNNNNNNNNNNNNNNNNNNNNNNNNNNNNNNNNNNNNNNNNNNNNNNNNNNNNNNNNNNNNNNNGUCUCAAGAGAUCCCAGAUAACAUACCUUUGACUCGCCUUAGGGUCACCGUAAAUGAAGGUGCACCUCCACUUUGUUCCCUCUCCCUUGUCAACGUACAAAUCAAUAAAGUGGUCACCAUAUUUGUUCAGCUCACAAGAGUACGCCUCAUCCAAAAACACAGCUAGUCCACCACCUUUACCAUGGCCAGAAACAGUAAAAACAUUAUUCAUACCCAACCUACAGCGCAAGCUCUCAACAUACUCUUUAUUCUUUCUUGUUUCAGAUAAAAAGAUAAUAUUGGGUAUGUGCGUCUUUGAGAGGCACACCAACUCUUGAACUGUACGAGGUUGACCCAAGCCUCGACAGUUCAAGAGUUGGUGUGCCUCUCAAAGACAUGUUUGACCCAAAAAUCAUACGAAAAGAUAGUUAUUGGCAACCUUGGCCUAAAAACACGGAUCUGUCAUGGUUUAUUAAGCUAGCAAUGCCUACUGACACAGUCAGUCUAUUAUUAAGCAUAAAGUAAAUACUUGACUAAUUAAAAAUUGGAUAAUGCCAUCAGUGUGUUUUGACGCAAGCUAGAAAAUAGAGUAAUUUUAAAAUUAAAUAUACAUGUAUCAAGUAACUGGUGCAGCUAGACUCGCAUGAUCUAGAUAAACAUUUAUUUUGUAACCCUAUCAUGUAAUUAAUUAAACAAAAACAUUUGCUAAGGAUUACAGAAAUUCUUAUGCACAAACGGUUGAAUUCUUUUUAUGUUUCUAUCGAUAUUUUAUUUAAUGUUGUUUUAUCCAUCUCUUUGAUGUUUUUAUUUUUAUUUUGUUAUUUAUUUAUCGAAGUAUUUUUUAUAUUUUGUUAUUUCUUUAUAUGUAUCAUCAAGACAAAAAGCUACGACUCCGUAUGCACUUGGUCACUUUCCUCUGUUGAGCCCAUAUUCCCUCACUCAUUCACUCAAAUGUGUUAGUUAAUCAACCAUUUUUACAUGUGUUAAGUCUUACGGGAAAAAACAAACAAGUACAUGUGUUAAGUCUUAGGGAAAAAAACAAGUGUACAUGAUGGCCACUAGAGAGUAGAGACUGGACACUAGAGCAGCAUAUAUACUAGCCACACUCCGUAGGCUCCAUCCGCUCGCCGUCAGCCAAAUAGGCUCGCCCUCGCCUCCUCUUCUCUUCUCUCAUCUCUUCCUUGCCUCCUCACAAUGCAUUCCAAAUGCUCACCAUUCACCUGCAAUGCAUCCACUGUGUGUCACCCUAGUUAACGCAAUGUUUCAUAAAUAAAAGGAAAUUUCAUGAAUUUACAAAAAUCAGCGGACCAAGGAUUGCCAUGACAAGAAAAAUUAACAAAAACUAUUUUUCUUCUUCUGAUUUUCAGUGUUUUUGCUGUUUUAUUUGAUCUUUUAUUUAUUUUUAGUUGGUUAUUUUUUUUCCUUUUCUCCUCUAGUGUUUAUUUUAUAUAUAAAAUAAUCAGUAAAUUCCGGUUUUUACCCUCUAUUUUGACAUUUUUUCACUAAUUACCCCAUUUAGUGGGAUUUAUCCAUUUUACCCCAUUUAGCAGAAGCGUUACCACAAUUUACCCGGUGGUGGCAAAUAUGUGGACCACUAGAGAGUGAGUAUAUGUUUCCUGAGCUGCUCUGGUGUGAUCAUAGCGAGCCUAACCUGUCGGAAGAAGCUAGCUAGCGCGAUGCAGUUCGGCGUGCAGAAAAAGCAUCAACAAAAAACCAGCCGAUGUGGCCUCCAAGUAGGUCUUACAAUUGGGACCCGUCGGUCAGAACACUCAUAAAUUUUAAACAGGGUAAACUGUGGCAACACUUUUGUAAAUAGGGUAAAAUAGAUGAAAUUCCGCUAAAUAGGGUAGUUAGUGUAAAAAUGUCAAAACAGAGGGUAAAAACAAGAAUUCACUCUAAAAAAAAAGCUAUUCUGGGUCACUUUUUGAUUAACGAAACUGAUCCAUGUUUAUUAAACGAAAUUGAUGCAUAUGCCGUGAUACUCAUGCAUGCUGAUUAAACAAAACUGAUGCAUUUCAAUCUUCGUAUGGGUGCGCGGACCUUUUUCUUUCCAUUUGCCUCACAGCUUAAUAAUUGAUUGAUGCAUCUCAAUCUUGGUAUCAUGGCGACCAAAACCAUGAAUUCCUUGCCCUUCACCCCCUCACUAAAGGUGUUGCCUCCACAUAUGCGAGGGCCACUUUGCUAGUUGAAGAAAAUAGUGGCGCAGAUUUAAAGAAAAAAACCAAAUUGAGAGCUUGUAUUUUUGAAAAUUCUUCAGUUCGUAUCAAUUGCUCUUGGCAACAAUUCCACUUUCCCUACUCUCCUCUGUUAUGGUCGCAAAGAUAGGGUGCUGAUGCGAAGCUAGAGCAUAGAUGCCCUAUACGUUUUAAGAAAAAGGGUUUCCCCCGCUUUAUAGAUAAAGCAUUACCGAACAACCGAAUCCUGCCGACACAAACAAACACACACACACACACACACACACACACACACCCCACACCCAAGGCCGGAUGCAAGGACGCUGAUAACAACAACACUACCCCGACAAAAUCCUAGCCAACAUCAGAUGAACACAAUAAGCACUACUAGGAAGAUGUCGGGGCCCUCAACCGUGAGCAGGCCACCGCGAAGAGGAGAAGUCGUGUAGGACGAACAAUGAGCUCCAAAGCGACGCCUUCAGCAAGGGAACGACACCAUUGUGUCGCCACCGCCAAAUCCAAGGAUUAGAGUUUCCCCCGGAGCACUCCGACGACAAAUGAGAUGCCGCGACGGCGCCUUCAAGAAGAUGACGACGCUAGAACGCCGGUGCCGUCGGCCUGGCAAAGCAGAACGGGUUUUCACCACCGGCAGGGGCACCCUGCCCCUUCCCGAAGUCCCAUGCCGCCACCGGCAGGCCUCGCGUGCACCACCACGCCAUGGCGCCACCCCGACCCGACGAGCGCGUCGCUGAGUCCAAAGAAGAGGGAGGGAGCUCACCCGAGUCCGACGCAGACGAACCGCCGACGGAGAGACCCGCAGUUGCCGCGCGCAUAUCAGACAACCACCAGGCCACAGCAGCGCCGCUGCAGACCACCCCACUCCGAGGUCAAGACCGACCUCAGCCACCGUCCCGCGCCGCCCGCCGCCAUCCAGGAGCUUGAUCCGGGAGGGUCGGGCCGGAUCCGCGCCAGCACGGCACCGCCCAGAUCGGGAAUCCCAGCGGCCGCCACGCCACAAACGAGCCUGCCACUCGACGUCGUGUCCCCACCAGGCAACCCCGCCGCCGAACUCCGAGCACGCCGCCGCGCCGCCGGCCCUGCCAAAGACCGGCGCCCCCACUCGACCGGCUGUCUCACGCCAGCCGUGGAGCACGAGGGCGAGGAAGAAGAGGCCCCGUCGCCGCCCCCACCGGCCGGGCUUCGCCCGACGGCGUCGCUGGGCGGCGGCGAGGGAGGAGAGCAGAGGAGAGGGAGGACGGGUCACGGCGGCUAGGGUUCCCCCCGGUCGCUCGCGAGAGCGACACGGGAGGGGAGGGGAGAGGGAUUAUAUCCCGUGAUGCCCUGUACGUUUUGUGGGGAAAUGGGUACUUGGAUUUGGAUAGAAGAAACAAUCAAGCACCUUUUCAAUCAUUAACAGAGAAACUGAAACACUAACCAUUACUGAUAAAAAAAACCUAACCAUUACAUACGUAAUACAAAAUGAAUAUAUGGAGAAAAAAAUGGAGAAAUUAAUCAAUUCGGCUGCUGCACACGGAUUAAUUGCUUGUUCAUCAUCACAAUACAAUUAGCAAGACACCUUUUGUGCCAUGACAAUGACAUACAUCAAAGCUAAGCAAGACUAGUACAUCAUCUCUUGGAUCAUCUCCUGGAUGCAGGUUUCGGAGUUCUUCAUCACGCACUCGGCCCUCACGUGGUGAAAGGAUCCACUCUCCUAGACUAGUACAGUCGUGUCGUCGCACAAGCCGAGCAGCUCAUCUAACGUGCACCGAAAGGCGUCGUCUUCAUCCUCUGCAGCGCUAGUGCCUUCUUGGACUUCGCCGUCGAGUUUGCCGGGCAAGAACCCCUGCGCCACCACAGCGUCAUGGAGCUCGGGAAAAUCUUGAAGCAUGUCGUCGGUGAAGAACCCGCCUGGAUCGACGCUGCCGUCGUCCACAGCUCCGGGCGGCAAGAACGUCUCGCCUUCGUCGGACAUGAACCAGCGCCCAUACUCGUGAAACAUCCCGGCUUGUUGGACGAUCGGCGGUUCCUGGCGGCGUGGGGUUUGGGGACGUGGAGCAUCCGGGUGCUGGACGUCGGCGGCCUUCCUUUUCCUGGAACCGGGAGCAUUGAUUACCUCGUGGUAUGUGGUCUCGCUCCUGUGACGAGACACGCAGACCUUGCAGAGCACCAAGCCGUCUUGCUUGUCAUCGCUGUACUCGUUCAUGCACCAGCCGAUCCUGAUCCUCUCUUUCUCUCCCGGCAACUUCUUGACGUAGCUGAGGUUUCGUCUAUGGCCUACGAGUUUACCUUGGUUGUCUAGCACGGGGAUCCCACCCUUCUCCGAGUGCCAGUAGUAACCCUCGCCGGCGUCGGCCACGCCACGCUGUCGCCUCCCGCCACCGCGGCCGCCUUUGGUCUGGUGACGACGGGCAGGGGUGAAGAAGUACCACACGCCCCCUUUCCCGUCGCCCUUGUCCGUUCCUUGCGCGUGUUGAUACAUCUCGACGAGGUCGCCGGGGGCGGCGGAGUAGGCGUCGAACUCGUGGAUGAGGCGGCUGGCGAAGAAGGCGUCGGCGAUCCGUGGGCGGAGGAACUUGGUGAUCAGCUCGUGCUCGGCUGGGUCGAAGGCGUAGCCGGCGGGAGGAUCCAGCUUGCCGUCGGCCAUCGCAGAGCUAGCUACGCACGUACGAGAUGGAUCAAGUAGCUAGGUAUGUACGUGUAACCCUGAACUCGCUAGCUGCUUGCCAUCUGGGUACCUAGCUUAUAUAGAUGGAUCGACAGCGAGCCCGCCCGGGAUUCAGUUUCCUUGACCGGUCAUACGUACGUGUCCUAAGCAAUCCGUACAUGAAAUGGAUUAGUACAGCAAUCCGUACAUAAAAUGGACUAGUGCAGCACGCCCCAUGAUGCUCCGUCGCUGCACCGACCUUGCUCCAUUGCAGCUCGCGUCGCUGCACCUUGCCGCUCGGUAAUACUCAGCAUGCUUCGGCGGACAUGGUGAUGCUAUGAGGCGUGCUACAUCGACCGCCGCGAUGGCGCAACGUCAUCCGGGCUGCUUUGAUGAAGCUGCGACAGCCGCGGCGUUGACAUUUCGACAUGCUUCAAACACCCAUGGUGUGCUUUGACGGCCACGACAAUGCUUCAACGGCAGACUUCGACGGUCGCGGUGAUGUUACGGGACGUGCUUCGACGAUCAUGGCAAUGGUGCGGCAACAUGCUUCUAACGUCGGUGUUGUACUUGGAUGGCAGCGAUGAUGUUGUGACGACAUGGUUGGACAGCCACGACGUCCUGCUUCGACAACCACGAUGAUGUUGCGGCAACGUGUUCCACGGCCACGAAAGUGUUACAAUGAUGGGCAUGGCUGCACCAACGAUAAUGCAACGACCACAGCGGUGCGGCAACGGCGACCCGGCUGCUUCGAUGAUGCUAUGAUGCCAUGCUUAGAAGAAGGUGGUGGCGUCAAUGGUGCUACUCUAAACAUUAGCAACCUUCACUUUACCACAAUCAACAUCGAGAAAGAUGGUGUUCUAGUAUUUGUACCAUCACAUGUGUAGUUACCUAGCAAAAUCACUGCAUAUGGAGUACGUUAAAAAAGAUCAUUUAAAUAGGCAGUCGUCCGAACGCUACCACAUGUCACGAACUUUGGAUACUUUUGCGUGUGGAAGACAGAGCAUUCGCUACCUUCCUGUGUGGGAGAUAGUGCUCGCGCCACACGAUCAUGUGGGAUCGGACGGCUCCGGACGUGAUUGAUAAAGACAAGAAAUCAUCCGACUUAUUUAAAACAUUUUCCCUCGCCGAAUGCUCACCUUUUACUCGCAAUGGCCACUUGUCGGUUAGCCUGGUUGACGCAUUUCUGUUUGUUUGUGACUUUGCAGUGUUUUUGCUGCUUUAUUUGUUCUUUUAUAUAUUUUUACUGGCCUUUCUUAUUUUAUCAACUUAUGAUUAUUUUAUUAUAUUAUAAAAAAUAUGUCUGUUUUAUUCUAGGUAAUCCUUUUUAUGCACUAUUGACAGAAAUAGUUCGUAUUAAAAAGGUCCUUACUCAUUUCAAAAUAUAUAAUACAUUUGAAUUUUUUUAUAUAUUCUAAAUAAAAUGUUCUUGUACUUUUGAAUAUGAUUUACCUAUUUCGAAAAAUAUUCAUUUAGUUCGUAAAAAAAUCUUUUAUUCAAAACGAAAUUACAUGUAUUCGCAAAGAGUGUUCACAUAUUUCUAAAAAUGUCCAUGUAAUUAUUAAAGUAUUCUCACAUUUAAAAAUAUAUUCACAUAAGUUUGGAAAAUAAUCAUUUACGACAUAAAAUAGAAAAUACACUGGAAAUUUUUUAUCGCGUAUUAAAAAAUACUCAUCAUAUAUUAAAUAAAUUUCAUUCUGUUAAAAAAUAUUCAUCAUUUAUUUAAAAUACAUACGUUGUGUUUUUAAAAGGUCAUGUGUAAUGUUAUUUUCUAAUUGCAUAAGUAAAGUAAGUAAGAAGAAAAUCACAGAAAAUAAAGAAAGAGAAAAAUGUGGGAAAAGAACAACAAAUAAUAGGGAAAUGAAAAAAAAGAGGCAAAGAUAAUUAAAAGAAUUCAAGAAAAAAUUUGAUAAAAAAACCCACAAGAAACUAGUCGAAAACAAGAAAAAAGAUAAUAUCAUGAACAAAAAUCAGGCAGAAACACGAAGAAGAGAGCCAUGUGUUCAACGAACCUAAAAGUAAUCAGCACAUCGCAUGUGCGUAUCGGGCCAUGGCCCGGGUGUUCUGUAGGCGAGCUCUAACUAAGAGCAUCUCCACCCGCCCCCAGGACGUCCCCCAGGACACGUUUUUAGGCUCGGUUUUACGCUCGGACCACCUUUUCGCCGAAAAACGGCCCAACGAUGCCCCCAACGCUCCCACAGGACAUCAAAAUAGCGCCGGCAAACCCAGGAAAAACGCAGCACAUUGGGGGGCUUUUGGGGGCGCCGACAGAAGUUUCGGCGAAUCGUGUCUCACCACAUGUCUUUUUUCUUGGCCCACAUAAUCAUUUUCCUCACAAACAUUUGACUGGGGUGGGGUGUGGCUGAGAAGAUGCCCUCCUCAUGCACCCAUAUUUCGGCCGGAUGAAGCAUUUGGACCCCCAAGACACCUACUUUUUUGGUUCGGUGGUGUUCUUGGGUGCUCCAACGGCUGGAGAUGCUCUAAUACUUGGUACAAUCGAUAUAUAUAUUAUUUGCCGCCCGGAAGCACGUCUAGUAAAAGAGUUUCUCAAGAAGGUUGGGCGAAUGUGUCAUAGCCCACCCUGAGAUCUCCCAACCUUCUAUAUAUAUUAUAGAAAAAAGUAAAAAAAAGGCAUGUUUUUUUGAAUAAAACGCCAUACAUUAAUUAAUUAAUAAUGUUAUUACAAUCAUUCAUUACAAAAUUCGCCACACAGGGCGGAACGCGAUUAAGAAGAAUCCCAUCAGAUUUACUUAUAAAGCUAAACUUCGCAAUUUCAUGAGCCACCUUAUUGGCGUUCCGAUUAAUUUUCGCAAUUUUAAAAUUCUUAAGCAUCUUCGAUAUACUCAAGGCUUCUUUCUUUAGAUCAACGAGCGAGGACCUGUCCAGAUUCUCAUUUGCAAGGAAAGAACGGACAAAAGCACAACCAGUCUCCAAAAUAAUGGACUGGUGAAGAGUAAUACCUAUAUAAAGGCCUGCCAGGCAAGCACGCAGCUCAGCUUCAUUCACACUGUAGCACUGACCCAGAAAGUCCCACGCAGAUAUAAUAACUUCGCCAGAUGAGUUCCUAACAACCACCCCCACACUGGCCGCAGUAAUACUCUCCACAUAGCUGGCAUCGACAGUGAUCUUGAUAUAAUCUUCUGGUGGAGGUUUCCAACCCACCUGUUGUUGUGAUGUUGCGAAAACUGGUGUUGCACCUCCCAUUUUUUCUUUACCUUUGUUACUAGGAACAACCUCGACAGUGUCAUGACAGGAUGUAAAAGAAGACCAAUAGUUUACCACAAAAAUUGCACAAGCAGCAAUGGAUUCCUGCCCUUUUCCAAAAAUUAAAUCAUUUCUCAUGUGCCAUGCUCGCCAGAAAAGAAACAAAACUUGCUCUCGCUGUUGCAGGCUCAAAUGAUCCAACAGAAUCAAUAGCCAAUCUGGCCCCGAGAAUUUGAACCACUCUUCAUCAGGAAUAUUCCAUGAUUCUCUCAAGGCGAGUCGCAGAGCACGAGCCUUAGAACAAGUAACGAGGGCAUGAAAAGUGCUUUCAUCUUCUACUCCACAAAUAGAGCACAUACCUGAAGUAAUCUGAUGGUGCUUAACUUUAUUGGUCUGGACUGCCAAGCUAUUGGUUGCGGCCCUCCAGGCAAAAAUCCUUAUCUUCUGAGGGAUAUUAGCCUUCCAAAUUAAAUCUCAGAGCCUUCUUUCUCCACAUGGAUCUCCACUAGAUUGACCCAAUUUAUCUUGACUAUCCUUCAACUUAAUUGCUAAUUUGUACGCACUUUUAACAGAAAAUAUACCGUUCUUCUCAUAGUGCCACGCAAUAAAAUCCCCAUCCCCAUAAGCAUGAAUUCGAAUCUUAAGAAUCUCCUCUGCGUCAUGGGGAUAGAAAAGCUACUUAAUCAAAUUUUCAUCCCAUACCUUUCUCCCGCUCAAGAACAAAUCAGAGACCCAUCUCAAUCUAGUAUUAUGCCUUUUAGCAGAAAUUUUAAGGCCAGUGCUCCUGGAUAACCAAUUAUCCCUCCAAAUAUUAAUACUAGAUCCAUCACCCACCCGCCAAAUGACGUCAUUUUGAAGUAAUUCCAGACCAUGCAUAAUACCUUGCCAAGUGAGUGAUGCAGACUCAGGAAACACUGUAUCAAGAAUAUGUCCCUGAGGAUAAUACUUUGCCUUCAUAAGCUUAGCACACAUUGAAUCCGGAUAAACCAAUAACCUCCACGCUUGUUUGGCUAAGAGGGCUUGGUUAAAUAAUCUGAGAUCCUGAAAUCCCAUACCACCCUUACCUUUAGACCUUGUUAAUUUGUCCCAUGCUAACCAAUGUGUUUUUCUUCGAUCUUCCUCAUCUCCCCACCAAAAAUUCCUGAUAAUCUGGGUUAACUCCUCACAGAGGGAAGACGGGAACUUAAAAAUACCCAUAGCAUGCACAGGUAGAUCUUGAAUAACUGAUUUUAUUAAGUCUUCUUUCACGCCACAAGAAGCGUAGUUCUCUAUCCAGUCAGAGAGCCUUUUCAAAACCUUCUCUUUAGUAGAUUGAAACUUACCAGCUUUCAUUCUUCCCUCAGGAACCGGAAGUCCAAGAUAUUUAUCUUCGAAACCAUCGACCGUAAUUUUUAAGAUUACCAUUAUAGCCAGUUGAUUCUCCAAACUACACUUUUUCCCAAACAUCAUGGAACACUUAUCAGGACAUAAUAACUGCCCAGUCCCUUUCUCGUACUCCGUCAAAAUAUUUUUAAUGACAACUGCUUGAUCAAUGGAGCCUUUGAAAAAUAACAUACUGUCGUCCGCAAACAGCAAGUGAGAAAUACCUAGGGCUUGUCUAUUCAAAUGGAACUCGUGAAGAACUCCCCUGGUAGAAGCAUCUUUAAGCAGUAAAGAAAGUGCCUCGGCAACAAAUAGGAACAAAUACGCUGAUAAAGGAUCUCCCUGCCUGAGCCCCCGAGAAGGUGAAAACUUCUCCAACAAUUGUCCGUUGAAGCGCACCGCAAAUUUCACUGAUGUAACACAUGCCAUAAUCCAAUUUAUCCACGUCGGUGCAAAACCCAAAGCCCCCAUCAUACAUUGUAAGAAACGCCAGUCCACCCUAUCAAAGGCUUUCGCCAAGUCCAACUUAUAUGCGCAAAAUUCCCCUCUGAAAUCUUUCAGCGUACUUAACGAAUGCAUACAUUCAAAAGCUAUGAGAGCAUUGUCAAAAAUUAACCUUCCCGGAAUAAAUGCACUUUGAGUAGGCGAAAUCAUACCAUCAAGGAGCCGUCGCACUCUGUUAACAAGGCAUUUGGAAAUAAUCUUAUAGAUAACAUUGCACAAACUGAUCGGCCUGAACUCUUUAAUAGACUGAGGAUUCUUAACUUUUGGGAUGAGAACAAUAGUUGUGUUAUUAAUCCCCUCUGGCAUAAUUCCAUAAUUAAAAAACUGUUGGACAGCCUUAACAAUAUCCUCCUUGAUAAAAACCAAUUUCGUUGGAAAAACCUUGCAGGGAAACCAUCCAGACCCGGAGCUUUUAACGGUCCCAUUUGAAAAAGCGCACCACUAAUCUCUUGUUCCGAAAAUGGUUUGCAAAGCUCAUCAUUCAUAUCAUCAGAUACAAGGGGUUUGACCAACGAAAUAAUAUGUGACGGGUCAACGGAGUCGUCAACAGAAUAAAGAUAUUUAAAGAACGAGUUUGUUAUACCUUUCAUUUCCUCCAGAUUUUCCGUGAGACCCCCAUCAUCCUUCCUUAGUGCCGCACUUUGCUCUCCAUGAAGCCGUUCUCUGAAAAUAAUUAGUAUUACGAUCUCCUCCUCUUAUCUUAUCCAAACGAGAUCUUUGCUUCCAUAGCAUCUCUUCCUUUAUAAGUAGCUCAUCCAUCUCUUGAAGAAUUUUCUUCCUUUCCAUGACUGCAGAAUGAUCAUUCCUACUAAACAACACAUUUAGUCUUUUACGAGCCCACUCCAGUUUCUUUGGUAAAUAACCAAUAUGGACCCGACUCCACCCAUGAAGAGAUUUCAUUAAUUUGUCUAACUUAUUAGCAAUAUCUUCAAGAUCAUUAAUAUUAGACUCUCUAUUCCAGCAAGCACUAAUCAGGUUGUCCAAAGCUCCACCUUCCCUCUCCCAAUAAGAUUCAUAUUUCAACUGAUUAACAAAUCUACCCACCCAGUGAGUACCCAAAACCUCAACAAAAAUGGGACAAUGAUCAGACCUGGAGCUUAUUAUAUCGGAUACCUUACAUCGAGGGAACAUUGAAGACCAAAGCGGGCAUGCCACCGCACGAUCAAGACGCACCUUAACAUUCUUGUUUCCAUCUUGUUUGUUAUUAUACGUCCAAGGCACGCCAUGAUAACCCAAGUCAUAUAAAUUGCAAUCAGACAAAGCUUCACGAAAAUUAGCCAUUAGUCUAGUAGACCUCUUAUGACGAGAGUAGUGCUCUUCUUGCCACAUAGCUUCGUUAAAAUCCCCCACCAUAAACCAAGCUCCAACACCAAGAGGUUUAAUCCGUCUCAAGAGAUCCCAGAUAACAUACCUUUGACUCGCCUUAGGGUCACCGUAAAUGAAGGUGCACCUCCACUUUGUUCCCUCUCCCUUGUCGACGUACAAAUCAGUAAAGUGGUCACCAUAUUUGUUCAGCUCACAAGAGUACGCCUCAUCCCAAAACACAGCUAGUCCACCACCUUUACCAUGGCCAGAAAUAGUAAAAACAUUAUUCAUACCCAACCUACAGCGCAAGCUCUCAACAUACUCUUUAUUCUUUUCUUGUUUCAGAUAAAAAGAUAAUAUUGGGUAUGUGCGUCUUUGAGAGGCACACCAACUCUUGAACUGUACGAGGCUCAACCUCGUACAAUUCAAGAGUUGGUGUGCCUCUCAAAGACAUGUUUGACCCAAAAAUCAUACGAAAAGAUAGUUAUUGGCAACCUUGGCCUAAAAACACGGAUCUGUCAUGGUUUAUUAAGCUAGCAAUGCCUACUGACACAGUCAGUCUAUUAUUAAGCAUAAAGUAAAUACUUGACUAAUUAAAAAUUGGAUAAUGCCAUCAGUGUGUUUUGACGCAAGCUAGAAAAUAGAGUAAUUUUAAAAUUAAAUAUACAUGUAUCAAGUAACUGGUGCAGCUAGACUCGCAUGAUCUAGAUAAACAUUUAUUUUGUAACCCUAUCAUGUAAUUAAUUAAACAAAAACAUUUGCUAAGGAUUACAGAAAUUCUUAUGCACAAACGGUUGAAUUCUUUUUAUGUUUCUAUCGAUAUUUUAUUUAAUGUUGUUUUAUCCAUCUCUUUGAUGUUUUUAUUUUCAUUUUUAAAUUUUUAUUUUGUUAUUUAUUUAUCGAAGUAUUUUUUUAUAUUUUGUUAUUUCUUUAUAUGUAUCAUCAAGACAAAAAGCUACGACUCCGUAUGCACUUGGUCACUUUCCUCUGUUGAGCCCAUAUUCCCUCACUCAUUCACUCAAAUGUGUUAGUUAAUUAGCCAUUUUUACAUGUGUUAAGUCUUACGGGAAAAAAACAAACAAGUACAUGUGUUAAGUCUUAGGAAAAAAAACAAGUGUACAUGAUGGCCACUAGAGAGUAGAGACUGGACACUAGAGCAGCAUAUAUACUAGCCACACUCCGUAGGCUCCAUCCGCUCGCCGUCAGCCAAAUAGGCUCGCCCUCGCCUCCUCUUCUCUUCUCUCAUCUCUUCCUUGCCUCCUCACAAUGCAUUCCAAAUGCUCACCAUUCACCUGCAAUGCAUCCACUGUGUGUCACCCUAGUUAACGCAAUAUUUCAUAAAUAGAAGGAAAUUUCAUGAAUUUACAAAAAUCAGCGGACCAAGGAUUGCCAUGACAAGAAAAAUUAACAAAAACUAUUUUUCUUCUUCUGAUUUUCAGUGUUUUUGCUGUUUUAUUUGAUCUUUUAUUUAUUUUUAGUUGGUUAUUUUUUCCUUUUCUCCUCUAGUGUUUAUUUUAUAUAUAAAAUAAUCAGUGAAUUCCGGUUUUUACCCUCUAUUUUGAAAUUUUUCCACUAAUUACCCCAUUUAGUGGGAUUUAUCCAUUUUACCCCAUUUAGCAGAAGCGUUACCACAAUUUACCCCGUGGUGGCAAAUAUGUGGACCACUAGAGAGUGAGUAUAUGUUUCCUGAGCUGCUCUGAUGCGAUCAUAGCGAGCCUAACCUGUCGGAAGAAGCUAGCUAGGGCGAUGCAGUUUGGCGUGCAGAAAAGGCAUCAAGAAAAAACCAGCCGAUCUGGCAUCCAAGUAGGUCUUACAAUUGGGACCCGUCGGUCAGAACACUCAUAAAUUUUAAACAGGGUAAACUGUGGCAACACUUUUGUAAAUAGGGUAAAAUAGAUGAAAUUCCGCUAAAUAGGGUAGUUAGUGUAAAAAUGUCAAAACAGAGGGUAAAAACAAGAAUUCACUCUAAAAAAUCUAAGCUAUUCUGGGUCACUUUUUGAUUAACGAAACUGAUCCAUGUUUAUUAAACGAAAUUGAUGCAUAUGCCGUGAUACCCAUGCAUGCUGAUUAAACAAAACUGAUGCAUUUCAAUCUUCGUAUGGGUGCGCGGACCUUUUUCUUUCCAUUUGCCUCACAGCUUAAUAAUUGAUUGAUGCAUCUCAAUCUUGGUAUCAUGGCGACCAAAACCAUGAAUUCCUUGCCCUUCACCCCCUCACUAAAGGUGUUGCCUCCACAUAUGCGAGGGCCACUUUGCUAGUUGAAGAAAAUAGUGGCGCAGAUUUAAAGAAAAAAACCAAAUCGAGAGCUUGUAUUUUUGAAAAUUCUUCAGUUCGUAUCAAUUGCUCUUGGCAACAAUUCCACUUUCCCUACUCUCCUCUGUUAUGGUCGCAAAGAUAGGGUGCUGAUGCAAAGCUAGAGCAUAGAUGCCCUGUACGUUUUAAGAAAAAGGGUUUCCCCCGCUUUAUAGAUAAAGCAUUACCGAACAACCGAAUCCUGCCGAUACAAACACACACACACACACACACACCACACCCAAGGCCGGAUACAAGGACGCUGAUAACAGCAACACUACCCCGACAAAAUCCUAGCCAACAUCAGAUGAACACAAUAAGCACUACUACGAAGAUGUCGGGGCCCUCAACCGUGAGCAGGCCACCGCGAAGAGGAGAAGUCGUGUAGGACGAACAAUGAGCUCCAAAGCGACGCCUUCAGCAAGGGAACGACACCAUUGUGUCGCCACCGCCAAAUCCAAGGAUUAGAGUUUCCCCCGGAGCACUCCGACGACAAAUGAGAUGCCGCGACGGCGCCUUCAAGAAGAGGACGACGCUAGAACGCCGGCGCCGUCGGCCUGGCAAAGCAGAACGGGUUUUCACCACCGGCAGGGGCACCCUGCCACUUCCCGAAGUCCCAUGCCGCCACCGGCAGGCCUCGCGCGCACCACCACACCAUGGCGCCACCCCGACCCGACGAGCGCGUCGCUGAGUCCACAGAAGAGGGAGGGAGCUCACCCGAGUCCGACGCAGACGAACCGCCGCCGGAGAGACCCGCAGUUGCCGCGCGCAUAUCAGACAACCACCGGGCCACAGCAGCGCCGCUGCAGAUCACCCCACUCCGAGGUCAAGCCGACCUCAGCCACCGUCCCGCGCCGCCCGCCGCCAUCUAGGAGCCGGAUCCGGGAGGGUCGGGCUGGAUCCGCGCCAGCACACCACCGCCCAGAUCGGGAAUCCCAGCGGCCGCCACGCCACAAACGAGCCUGCCACUCGACGUCUUGUCCCCACCAGGCAACCCCGCCGCCGAACUCCGAGCACGUCGCCGCGCCGCCGGCCCUGCCAAAGACCGGCGCCCCCACUCGACCGGCUGUCUCACGCCAGCCCCCACCGGCCGGGCUUCGCCCGACGGCGUCGCUGUGCGGCGGCGAGGGAGGAGAGCAGAGGAGAGGGAGGACGGGUCACGGCGGCUAGGGUUCCCCCGGUCGCUCGCGAGAGCGACACGGGAGGGGAGGGGAGAGGGAUUAUAUCCCGUGAUGCCCUGUACGUUUUGAGGGGAAAUGGGUACUUGGAUUUGGAUAGAAGAAACAAUUAAGCACCUUUUCAAUCGUUAACAGAGAAACUGAAACACUAACCAUUACUGAUAAAAAAAACCUAACCAUUACAUACAUAAUACAAAAUGAAUAUAUGGAGAAAAAAAUGGAGAAAUUAAUCAAUUCGGCUGCUGCACACGGAUUAAUUGCUUGUUCAUCAUCACAAUACAAUUAGCAAGACACCUUUUGUGCCAUGACAAUGACAUACAUCAAAGCUAAGCAAGACUAGUACAUCAUCUCUUGGAUCAUCUCCUGGAUGCAGGUUUCGGAGUUCUUCAUCACGCACUCGGCCCUCACGUGGUGAAAGGAUCCACUCUCCUAGACUAGUACAGUCGUGUCGUCGCACAAGCCGAGCAGCUCAUCUAACGUGCACCGAAAGGCGUCGUCUUCAUCCUCUGCAGCGCUAGUGCCUUCUUGGACUUCGCCGUCGAGUUUGCCGGGCAAGAACCCCUGCGCCACCACAGCGUCAUGGAGCUCGGGAAAAUCUUGAAGCAUGUCGUCGGUGAAGAACCCGCCUGGAUCGACGCUGCCGUCGUCCACAGCUCCGGGCGGCAAGAACGUCUCGCCUUCGUCGGACAUGAACCAGCGCCCAUACUCGUGAAACAUCCCGGCUUGUUGGACGAUCGGCGGUUCCUGGCGGCGUGGGGUUUGGGGACGUGGAGCAUCCGGGUGCUGGACGUCGGCGGCCUUCCUUUUCCUGGAACCGGGAGCAUUGAUUACCUCGUGGUAUGUGGUCUCGCUCCUGUGACGAGACACGCAGACCUUGCAGAGCACCAAGCCGUCUUGCUUGUCAUCGCUGUACUCGUUCAUGCACCAGCCGAUCCUGAUCCUCUCUUUCUCUCCCGGCAACUUCUUGACGUAGCUGAGGUUUCGUCUAUGGCCUACGAGUUUACCUUGGUUGUCUAGCACGGGGAUCCCACCCUUCUCCGAGUGCCAGUAGUAACCCUCGCCGGCGUCGGCCACGCCACGCUGUCGCCUCCCGCCACCGCGGCCGCCUUUGGUCUGGUGACGACGGGCAGGGGUGAAGAAGUACCACACGCCCCCUUUCCCGUCGCCCUUGUCCGUUCCUUGCGCGUGUUGAUACAUCUCGACGAGGUCGCCGGGGGCGGCGGAGUAGGCGUCGAACUCGUGGAUGAGGCGGCUGGCGAAGAAGGCGUCGGCGAUCCGUGGGCGGAGGAACUUGGUGAUCAGCUCGUGCUCGGCUGGGUCGAAGGCGUAGCCGGCGGGAGGAUCCAGCUUGCCGUCGGCCAUCGCAGAGCUAGCUACGCACGUACGAGAUGGAUCAAGUAGCUAGGUAUGUACGUGUAACCCUGAACUCGCUAGCUGCUUGCCAUCUGGGUACCUAGCUUAUAUAGAUGGAUCGACAGCGAGCCCGCCCGGGAUUCAGUUUCCUUGACCGGUCAUACGUACGUGUCCUAAGCAAUCCGUACAUGAAAUGGAUUAGUACAGCAAUCCGUACAUAAAAUGGACUAGUGCAGCACGCCCCAUGAUGCUCCGUCGCUGCACCGACCUUGCUCCAUUGCAGCUCGCGUCGCUGCACCUUGCCGCUCGGUAAUACUCAGCAUGCUUCGGCGGACAUGGUGAUGCUAUGAGGCGUGCUACAUCGACCGCCGCGAUGGCGCAACGUCAUCCGGGCUGCUUUGAUGAAGCUGCGACAGCCGCGGCGUUGACAUUUCGACAUGCUUCAAACACCCAUGGUGUGCUUUGACGGCCACGACAAUGCUUCAACGGCAGACUUCGACGGUCGCGGUGAUGUUACGGGACGUGCUUCGACGAUCAUGGCAAUGGUGCGGCAACAUGCUUCUAACGUCGGUGUUGUACUUGGAUGGCAGCGAUGAUGUUAUGACGACAUGGUUGGACAGCCACGACGUCCUGCUUCGACAACCACGAUGAUGUUGCGGCAACGUGUUCCACGGCCACGAAAGUGUUACAAUGAUGGGCAUGGCUGCACCAACGAUAAUGCAACGACCACAGCGGUGCGGCAACGGCGACCCGGCUGCUUCGAUGAUGCUAUGAUGCCAUGCUUAGAAGAAGGUGGUGGCGUCAAUGGUGCUACUCUAAACAUUAGCAACCUUCACUUUACCACAAUCAACAUCGAGAAAGAUGGUGUUCUAGUAUUUGUACCAUCACAUGUGUAGUUACCUAGCAAAAUCACUGCAUAUGGAGUACGUUAAAAAAGAUCAUUUAAAUAGGCAGUCGUCCGAACGCUACCACAUGUCACGAACUUUGGAUACUUUUGCGUGUGGAAGACAGAGCAUUCGCUACCUUCCUGUGUGGGAGAUAGUGCUCGCGCCACACGAUCAUGUGGGAUCGGACGGCUCCGGACGUGAUUGAUAAAGACAAGAAAUCAUCCGACUUAUUUAAAACAUUUUCCCUCGCCGAAUGCUCACCUUUUACUCGCAAUGGCCACUUGUCGGUUAGCCUGGUUGACGCAUUUCUGUUUGUUUGUGACUUUGUAGUGUUUUUGCUGCUUUAUUUGUUCUUUUAUAUAUUUUUACUGGCCUUUCUUAUUUUAUCACCUUAUGAUUAUUUUAUUAUAUUAUAAAAAAUAUGUCUGUUUUAUUCUAGGUAAUCCUUUUUAUGCACUAUUGACAGAAAUAGUUCGUAUUAAAAAGGUCCUUACUCAUUUCAAAGUAUAUAGUACAUUUUAAAUUUGUUUAUAUAUUCUAAAUAAAAUGUUCUUGUACUUUUGAAUAGGAUUUACCUAUUUAGAAAAAUAUUCAUUUAGUUCGUAAAAAAAUCUUUUAUUCAAAACGAAAUUACAUGUAUUCGCAAAGAGUGUUCACGUAUUUCUAAAAAUGUCCAUGUAAUUAUUAAAGUAUUCUCACAUUUAAAAAUAUAUUCACAUAAGUUUGGAAAAUAAUAAUUUACGACAUAAAAUAGAAAAUACACUUGAAUUUUUUUGAUCGCGUAUUAGAAAAAAUACUCAUCAUAUAUUAAAUAAAUUUCAUUGUGUAAAAAAAUAUUCAUCAUUUAUUUAAAAUACACACGUUGUGUUUUUAAAAGGUCAUGUUUACUGUUAUUUUCUAAUUGCAUAAGUAAAAUAAGUAAGAAGAAAAUCACAGAAAAUAAAGAAAGAGAAAAAUGUGGGAAAAGAACAACAAAUAAUAGGGAAAUGAAAAAAGAGGCAAAGAUACUUAAAAGAAUUCAAGAAAAAAAUUGAUUAAAAAAACCAACAAGAAACUAGUCGAAAACAAGAAAAAUAAUAAUAUCAUGAACAAAAAUCAGGCAGAUACACGAAGAAGAGAGCCAUGUGUUCAACGAACGUAAAAGUAACCAGUACAUCGCAUGUGCGUAUCGGGCCAUGGCCCAGGUGUUCUGCNNNNNNNNNNNNNNNNNNNNNNNNNNNNNNNNNNNNNNNNNNNNNNNNNNNNNNNNNNNNNNNNNNNNNNNNNNNNNNNNNNNNNNNNNNNNNNNNNNNNNNNNNNNNNNNNNNNNNNNNNNNNNNNNUAGGCUCGGUUUUACGCUCGGACCACUUUUUUGCCGAAAAACGGCCCAGCAACGCCCCCAACCCUCCACAGGACAUCAAAAUAGCGCCGGCAAACCCAGGAAAAACGCAGCAUGUUGGGGGGCUUUUAGGGGCGUCGGCAGAAGUUUCGGCGAAUCGUGUCUCACCACAUGUCUUUUUUCUUGGCCCACUUAGUCAUUUACCUCACAAACUUUUGAUUGGGGUGGGGUGUGGCUGAGAAGAUGCCCUCCUCAUGCACCCAUAUUUCGGCCAGAUGAAGCAUUUGGACCCCCAAGACACCUAUUUUUUUGGUUCGGUGGUGUUCUUGGUGCUCCAACGGCUGGAGAUGCUCUAAUACUUGGUACAAUCGAUAUAUAUAUAUUAUUUGCCGCCCCGAAGCACGUCUAGUAAAAGAGUUUCUCAAGAAGGUUGGGCGAAUGUGUGAUAGCCCACCCUGAGAUCUCCCAACCUUCUAUAUAUAUUAUAGAAAAGAGUAAAAAAGACAUGUUUAACCCUAAAACCGUAUGAAAAGAUAGUUAUUGGCCAACCUUGGCCUAAAAACGUGGAUCUGCCGCUGGUUUUUAAGCUAGCAAUGCCUACUGAGGCUGUCCUUCUAUUAUUAAGCGUAAAUUAAAUACUUGAGUAAUUAAAAAUUGGAUAAUGCCAUCAGUGUGUUUUGACGCAAGCUAGAACACUACUAGGAAAAGGCCUACUAAUGGCGCACCUAAUUUGGCCAUUAAUGGCGCAUUAGUGGUGCGCCAUUAGUGCCACGCCAUUAGUAUAUUUUACUAAUGGCGCACCCCAGAUGCGCCAUUAGUAUAUACAACAGUGCGUCAUUAGUAUGCCUCCCAGGGGGCCAUGUAUACCCAGGUGCUUUGGCAUACUAAUGGCGCACAACAACAGGAUGCGCCAUUAGUAACUUCGGCAUACUAAUGGCGCACUGUUUAGUGAUGCGCAAUUAGUAUCCUUUGGCAUACUAAUGGCGCACUAUGAUGUGAUGCGCCAUUAGUAUGAAUAUUAGUUUUUUUUUAUUUUUUUAUUUUCUGUUUUUUGCACAGGUUACAAAAUGUAUAAUUGGACAAAAUAUAGACAACACACAUCAACAACAGAUUCAUCGAAUACAAUAGAAGAUUAGUCUCUGAAUACAAUUCAUCAUUUUAGUCUCCGAAUACAAUUCAUCAUAUUAGUCUCCGAAUUGAAAAGACCGAACAAAGAUAGAACAUUAUAUUACAAGUCUCGAGACCGCGAGUUUGUCUUCACAUUACAAGUCGAUAUCGAUCAUCUAAACUACCAUCACAUAGAAGAGAGCUGCGGUCAUCACGAUGAGCAUCAUCACGAUGAAACUCGUCUUCAUCCGGUUCCUCCAACGCUCCCUCCCCUCUCCCGCUAGAUAGCGGGCGUAUCUAGAUUCGGCCUCGGCCCUAGUGGCGUACCCUUUGUAAUUGUUACCACUGAAUCGGUGAACCUGUCUCCGACACUCCUCCCAGUCGUCGUAGACUCCGGGAACCUUACCCUUGUACACGACAUACCACGGCAUCGCUAUGCAGUAACCAAACGAAACGUUAGUACCAAUUCACAGACAAUACAUAAGCAAUAUAUAAGUAUGCAACAGAACGAUCGGAAGAGAAAAGCAAGACAUUAAUAGCAUCGAUUACAUCUAAGUUGAACGACUCUCGAAACCAAAGAGACAUACUACAAGUUCAUUAAAGUUUAAUUACAACAUGAGCCAAUCGAUGUUUCAGAACUAGACACAGCAUCACUGCUUUCGACUCGACUCAAGGGACCGGAGUGUGGAUGAAGCCGCCGUCUAUCGUGGGAGUCAUGAAACAACAGGCGUUGUCAGCCUGCAUUUGUAGGAUUGUGUCGAUGUCACUGUUGGACGGUUGAUUUCUGAGGUAGAACUGCCCCGAGGUACGAAGGACAUCUUGAUGGAUGAUUUCCGCAAACUCCGACUGGAUGCGAAAGAAUUCUUGUCUGAUGUCCGCGUCCUGGAUUGCCGACACGCUCGCGGCUCAAUCUUUGAGUCUACUCGGUAGCAGAAGUUGAUGAUGGUCCCGUACGAUCGCCCGCAUGUGAUGGAUGGCGUAGUAGGCACCCUUCUGACCGCCAGGCGGCUGCUUGACGCAGCAGAACGUCGUAUUGUGGGAGAACACGUGCUUGCCGUACUUACGAAUAGGCCUGGUGAAGGUGCCUCCAGAUUUGAUGUAGCCGGGGAGAACAUCAUCAAGAACCUUCUUGACAUUUGUGUAGUCUACGUUCGACUGACGGUCUGGGUCGAAAUACGUGGCCAUGGAAUAUUUGGGGCUUAGGAGGAUGAGCGUGCAAUAUGUGUCACUGCAGAAAACACGGAAUGUUAAAAGAAAAAUGAUCGAAAUCUAAGAAUUCAUAUGUUACGGGGCGGUUGAGGGGAGGACUUACUCGGGAAAGUAAGGCACGAGGAAGUUAUCCUUAUCUUGGUUUGCCAGAAUGACGCCUUCGAGGUAAGAACUCGCGACUUGCCGGUCCCCAGCGCUGCCCAAGAUCUUGGCACGCAUGUAGAAGGGGUCGACUAUCACGAUGUCCGGGGUCUUGUCGCGAAUGAUCCGCAUCUCCAUACUCAGCGAAAAUAGCCGAACGAAGGUGUAGUGCAGCGGAUGAAGGUUCAACAUAGCGUGGAUGUCAUCAAACCGCAGGACGAUCGUACCCCUGAUGGAGUUAUCCACAAAGCCCUUGCCCUCUGGCACCUUGGCCGCGAAAACCGGGUAUGCCACAUCCUUCUCUCCGAGAUGCCGCUUCUCCAAAGAAAGAACACUGUCAUGCAGACUCCGCAUAGCACCGGUUGCAGCAUCGAGCAUAUUUCUCGGUAGCAUCGGCCUACCCGCCACAUGCACCCUCCUCGAGAUAUCCUCAGUUGAAGGUGGCCCGUCCUGAGCACGGAUCGUACUCGGUGCCGGCUGGCCCGCACCCUUGUUAGUCUUUCUUUUGCGUGCCUUCUUCUUCUCCUGUAAUGGGACCGAGUUCUGCUCACAGACCGCCUUCUUGAGUGUGUUGGGGCUGAUCAUAUUUCGCACCUCGCCUAUCUGAGGCUCGGUGAAGUCGGCAGCUGGAGGCGUCUCCUGAGAGCUGAACUGCAGACGACGCCUGUUGCAACUUGGCUUCUCCGCGGUACCAGCUAGAUCGCGCACGUCUUUUGUUGGGUUGGGUUCUUGAGGAGGCCCCAUGAAGUCGCCACCGUACCCAUGAUCGGCAAAGUACUGAUCGACGUUGGCUAAUGUAUCGUCGUCGUCGUCGUUCUGAUCCUGUGCCAUAUGCAUGUUUGGAUCCAGUGGCAUAGGCAUGUCCGGCACCGUUGCGGCGGUCUUGCCAUGGGGCCGACUUGGCGCCGGCACGACUGGCGGUGUUGUCUUUGGGGUGGUGUCCCCCGCCCCCAAACGAAUCUGGCUCUUCGGCCAAAGCAGGGGCCAGCUCAGGCACGCGCUGAGGGUCAUCACGUCAUCAUCGUCGGCCCCGAUGGGUCGAAUCGGAGGUAACAACUCGUCGCAGCCUGGCAGCACCCGAAACAGUUGAACCCUAAACAAGUUGGGUGGCAUCUGGGUACCGUGGAACAAGGGGUUGCCCGGUUGAACGAUUUUGCCCUUGGCGACAUCGACCAACUCGUUGUUCACGAAGUGCAGGAGAGUGCACGGAAUGUCGGCGGCGCCCUGCGAAAACAUGUAGGGCGUUAGGGAUGCCCAGUCAAAGGCAAGGAGAUGAAGUCCUCGGCCGAGAGAGGCUUAAUUAGUUACCGUGAUGAUGGCGUCGAGCUCGGCUAAUGUCGAGGCACCGCCAACGGCGGGCGUGCAGUUGACGGAGGGGCCGCUUGCUGCAGAGGUGCCGGCCGGCGUACACCCGGGUGCAUUAAGCUCCCUUGCCGGCAUCGGAGACACCAAUGCCGCCUCCGCCGGAGACACCAAUGGCCCCGCCAUCGCGUUCUGCGAGUUGCUGGCCGUGAAGCUAGGAAUCGGGGGCGGCCCCUGUUGGCCGCCCGCAAUCCACGCACUAAUCCCCUGGAUCAAGGUAGGCACAAUGGCGGUGAUCGUCACUCCGAGUUGUUGUUGCACUUGCUCUUGGACAAUCUCCGGAAUCCGCGCCACCUGUGCCCUGAGUUCUGGAACUUCGCGCGCCUGGCUUUCCGAGCUGCUCUUUUUCUCCUUUCGCCCACCAGUGUUAUAGUAUGACGACCAUUUUGUCGACAAGCCUUUGCCGGCCACACGACCAGAUGACGUCGGCUUACUGAGCUUAUUCUUGUUCUUCAUUACAUUCAACGCCCUAUUUAGAGUGGUGUCCCAAGGGUUGCUCUUAGUCGACCCCGCGCUACUGCUUUCAGUCGCCUGCGGAAGGAAUGUGAACCAUUUAGAAAUUUGGCUUCAUUAAUUAGAAUGCAACCAUAUGGAGCUAAUUACGCGGGGGUGUAUUCCUUACCAGAACAAGCUCAAGCGCCCUGGUCUUCGGAUCCAUGGUAAGCUCCUUUGUUUCCGGGUCCUUCUUGUACCGGGCCCUGACAAAGUUCCUGGUCUGCUUGUCACCGUAUUUAUCGAAGAGGGGCGGUAGGCCUUGCUCGGCACGGUCCGCCUCCUCCUUGUCCCAUAUAGGCUCCGCCACUCUGUAACCGCCGGGACCGAGUGUGUGUUCCCCUAAGUUCAGCUCCCGCAUUUCUUUCUCCCACUUACUUGAUUCGGAGUUUGCGGUGCUCGAGCAAUUAAUCUUGAAGUCGUUGUAGUCAUCUUCGGUGAUCGAAGGAUUUUUCUCCUUGAUCUUCUCAUAACUCUCACCUUUCUCGAUCAUUCUCUUCACAUUGCUUUUCCAAGUAGACAGGGCCUUGCUCAUCUUCGUGAGGGCAGCAUUGUUCACUUUAUUCCCUUUGAGGCUUGUGUUUUCAAAUUCAGCGGGGAACUUGUAUCGUUCGUGCAGCUUCGUGAAGAGGAGGUUGCGCAAAUUCCCUCGGUCAGGAUGCCUCAGGUUCUCGGUGUUGAUCGAGACGGUGCUCCGGAGAAUGCACCCGAGCUGAAGCGAGUACCCCUUGACUAUUCGUUCGGGCGCCGUUGGAUUCCCGUCGGAGUCCACUUCAGUAACUUCCUCCUUGAGGGUGCGGAGCACGGUCGGGCGCCGGUCCUUCCGUUGCCUCUUCGGUUGGCUGCCAUCUGUGCGUGCGCCGCCAUCAUCAGUGGUGGCAUCCUCGGCGGCACCAUCCGUGGUGGCAUCAGUGGGGUCAUCCUCGGCGGUACCAUCAGUGGUCUCAGGAUCGGUGGGGAAGGCGGCGUCCUCAUACAAGUGAGGUUGUUCCUCCAUCUCCUGGGACAGCUUCCAGAAUGCCUUGACGCCCGAACCCCCGGCCUCAUCGUUGUUGGCCAUGUUUCUCUCUAAAUAGGAACAAAGUUUGGUCAGAAAGUUGGUUAUUGUCAAGGAACAAGAUCAUGGUCUCAUCAUUUAGGGUUUGUCGACACCGAGGCAUCCUAAAAGCUAAGCUUUUAUAAUUGAGGGUUUUUCGACGCCGAGGCACCCUAAAAGCCUAAGCUUUCAUCAUUUCGGUUUUUAUCGACACCGAGGCACCCUAAAAGCCAUGCAUUAGUCACAAGUACGCCGGGGCACUUGAUCCUACUUAAUUAACUACUAAGAUACCCCGGCCCAUGCAUUAGUCACAAGUACCCCAUAUGUCCUAUUUUUAGCAAAGUCAUGCUAAAAUUCACGGAAAAUUUCAGCAUGACCUUUGUGGAGCCUGGUGCGCCAUUAGUAUUUUUUUUUGAUUUCUGCUCGAGCCAACAGGUUAUCUUCCACCUGACCUGAUCCACACCAAGUUCCCUCUACUAGCUCGACUGGUCAGUAGCCAGUUCUCACACCAGGAGGUCCUGGGUUCGAUUACCAGGCUCCACAAUUUUUUUUAUGCAUUUAAAAUGCUGUUUGAUAUUUAUUUGUGUUUAAAUAUGUUCAAACUUGUUUAAAUCAUAACAGUAAUAUUUUUUUAUAAGACAGUAAUAAGUUUUUUAAAAAUAUCAUCAAACAGUAAUGCCUGUGGAGCGGGGGAGGGUGCGCGGGGUGCGGGGGGCCGGUGGACCGGGGGGUGCUCGGCGGCGAGGGGGACCGGAUCUGGCGAGGUGGGAUAGCGAUCGAGAUGGAGGGGGAUUGAGAUCGAGUGUCUAUGAAAUUUACAAAUAUUCAUGAUAGUUCAAAAAGUGCCCAUGAAAUACAAUCGAGAAAUGAAGGCUACGAUUUAAAUACAAUCGAUCUUAGCUAGCUAUCUGUUCACAAUCUUCUUGCCCUUCUUUUUCGCAAAUGGAGUUCUUCUGUGGAACGGACGUCCUUUAGGUAGGGUGGUCCUACUUCUUCUUGUGGUGUAUGCUGCUACUUCAUCGUCGUCGUCAUGUUCGAUUCUCGGGUCGCCGUACUUGUCGAAGUCUUGCUCAUUGGCUACUCCAUCCAUUCCGAUGAUCUUCCUUUUGCCUCUCCUCACGACAACACGACUGGGCUUUGACGGGUCGGUAAUGAAGAAGCAUUGGUCCACUUGGGAAGCCAGUACCCAUGGCUCAUUUUUCGCGGUGACGUUUGCGCCUGCGGUCUUGGAUUUGGCUUCGGGUAUAACCAUGGUGGUGAAAUACCGGUCUUCUUUUAGGACGCUCUUGGCCCAUCUGACACGGAACAUCGGGACCUUCUCUCCAGCGUAGUUCAGCUCCCAGAUCUCCUCGAUCCUUCCGUAGUAUCUGUCCUUGUCGUUACCGGUGUAGGAUUCCAUCGUUACCCCGGAGUUCUGAUAACCAUCGCUCUUCAUGUCCUUGGCCUCGGUGUAGAAUGUGUAGCCGUUGAUAUCGUACGCCUCAUAGGUCAUCAGGUUGUGCUCGGCGCCCUGUGACAAGGCGAAUAUGAGUUGUUCUUCCGCGGAAGAAUCCUCAUGUAAUGGGUACGACAGAAGCUUCUGCUUGAACCAACGCGUGAAACAUGAGUUGUGCUCUUUGAGUAUAUCUCCGUCCGUCCUCUGUUGGCCUCGGUCAUUGUACGUCUUCUUAAUAAAGGUUUUGUGCUCUACCACCCAAGGAUCGACCACGUCUAUGUGUUGUAGCGCGACUAGGUUUGCUCUUUCAAAGUCGGCGAGUCGACCCUCGAAGUCGACAUGCAUUUCGCGGCGACCCUCACGGUGACCCCAUCCAGCGAGCCUGCCGAGGUGCCUGUUGACGGGCAGACCAACGGGGUUCUCGAUGCCUAGAUAAUUCGUGCAGUAGGAGAUGCACUCUUCGGUCAGAAAGCCCCUGGCUAUGCUUCCCUCUGGACGUGACAUGUUGCGAACGUAUCCUUUGAUGACACCAUUCAUCCUUUAGAACGGCAUCAUGCUGUGCAGGAACGUCGGCCCGAGUUGGAUGAUAUCGUCCACGAUAUGGACCAGCAGAUGCACCAUAACGUCGAAGAAUGCGGGCGGGAAGUACAUCUCAAGCUCGCAUAGUAUCACCACGAUCUCUUCCUAUAGCCUUCUGAGUUGCCUCACGCCAACAGACUUCCGAGAGAUGACGUCGAAAAAGUUGCAUAGGCCAAAUAGCGUUUCACGGACGUGCGCGUCCAUGAUCCCACGGAUUGCAACUGGAAGUAUCUGCGUCAUCAGCACAUGACAGUCGUGAGACUUCAUCCCGCUGAACUUCAGCUUCGCUAGGUCUAGGUAUCUGCUUAUCUUCCCCGCGUAACUGUAAGGAAGUUUUACUCCUACGAGGCAGGUGAAAAACUGCUCGAUCUCCACCUGACUUAGAGUGAAGCACGCGGGAGGGUAGUCAUUUCCGGUCUUCUUGGCCUUUUUGCCUUUGCGACGACUUUCCGUGUCCUGCUUCGCCUCAUCAUCAUCAUCAUCAUCAUCAUCAUCAUCAUCAUCAUCAUAUAUAGCGUGAAGCUCCUGCCUGAUGCCCAUUGAUUUCAAGUCUGCCCUUGCUUUCGGCCCAUCUUUGGUCCUCUCUGGCAUGUUGAGCAGGGUACCAAGCAGACUCUCGCACACGUUGUACGUGAUAUGCAUGACAUCAAGGCUGUGAGGCACACGGUGGAUCUUCCAGUAUGGUAAGUCCCAGAAAACAGACCUCGUUUUCCAUACCUUCAGCAGCGGCUCUGGCGCCUUUUGCUUCUUUCCCGGCUCUGGUGCCUUUUGCUUCUUUCCCGGCAGUGGGCAGUCUUUCCAAUUUUUCAACAGCUCGUCUAUUUCCUCGCCGCUCCUCGUACGCGGGCGUCCUCGGGGUUCGGUUUCACCAUCGAAUAGAUCCUUGCAUUUUCUCCACGGGUCAUCGUCGCGAAGCCACCUUCGAUGUCCCAUGAACACGGUUUUCGAAGACCCAGGAUCUCUAUCUAGCUGGCGAUACGUUGUGUCAUCCAUGCACCUGACGCAUCCAGAAAAUCCGUGGACCACCUGCCCCGCGACAUAUCCGUAACCGAGAUAGUCGUGCACCGUCGUGAGCAGCGCGGCUCUCAUAGGGAAAUAUUCUUUCUCUGCGGCGUCCCACGUAUUGGCUGGCGUUUUCCACAACGUGUCAAGCUCCUCUUUCAGCAGCCCCAGAUACAGAUUGAUGUCGUUCCCUGGUUGUUUCGGUCCUUCAAUUAGCAUACUCAUGUGAAUGUACUUCCUCUUCAUGCACAACCAGGGGGGAAGGUUGUACAUCCACACAAACACAGGCCAGGUGCUAUGUGUGCUUCUCUGGCUGCCAAACGGAUUGACUCCAUCGGUGCUCGCGCCCAGCACGAUGUUCCUUGGAUCGUUCCCAAAUUCUAGGUCUUCAAAGUUCAACGCUUGCCACUGGCUCGCAUCCUUAGGGUGACUCAGCAUCUUGUCUUUUUUAUCUAUCUCCGGAUCAUUUGCAUCAUCUUCUCGCUUCUUCUCCUCCCUAUCCGCGUGCCAACGCAGGAGCUUUGCUACCUUAGGGUCCGCAAAAUACCGCUGCAGACGAGGAGUGAUCGGAAAGCACCACACCACUUUUCGAGGAGCUUUCUUCCUCUUCUUGUAUCGAGUGACGCCGCACACCGGACAUAUGGUAGACUCCGCGUGCUCGUCCCGAUAAAUGAUGCAAUUGUUCAUGCACACAUGGUAUUUCACGUGCGGUAAAUCCAGAGGACACACGAUUUUCUUCGCCUCCUCCAAACUGGUCGGGCACUUGUUCCCCUUGGGAAGACGUUCGUGCCAGAAUGACAUGUUCUCGUCGAAGCAUGCGUCGGUCAUUUUGUGUUUCACCUUCAUCUCCAAAGCCAUGAGCGUUACUUUCAGGCGGGUAUCCUCGGGCCUGCAUCCUUCAUACAAUGGAGUAACCGCGUCUAACUCAAGUUGAUCCAUCUUGGCUUUCUCUCGGGCGGCAGCUCUUGCGUUAUCCGUCUGCUUGAGAAGCAGCUCUUGAAUAUGAGGGUCCUGCACCCAGCCCAUCGAUGGUCCAGCGUCGUCUGCUCCGCCGGCAUCAUCAUCUUCAUGAUCAUGCCCGUCGUCUGCUCCGGCAUCUUCCUCAUCAUCAUGUCCUGCAUCUUCUACAUGAUGACUGUGUACAACAUCACCGUCGUGAUCAUCUCCUGGGGAUUCUUCGUCUUCUCGCCCGCCCGAGCCAUGGUGGUUGUCUUGCUGCCCUUCCUCAUUUCUUGCCCGGCCCCCAUGGACGACUUCGUAGUCAUCUUCGUCACCUUGCCACCGAUAGCCAUCCAUGAAACCACGCAAGAGCAGGUGGUCCCGCACCUGCCCGGAUUCCGGGUCCGCAAUAAGGCUCUUCAGCUUGCAUCUUCGACACGGACAUCUUAUCUCCGUCUCGUUCUUUUGAAGCAUCUCGGCCUUCGCGGACCUCAAAAACCUAUUCACGAUGCCUUCGGUCAUCAUGCGGCCCAUGGUCGCCUGCGGGGUAGAGCAAAACGAUAUUUUAGAACCAAGAAAAAAUUUGGCAUGACUUUCCCUAAAAAUAGGACCAAAAAGAAUGCUUAAUGCCAAAAUUCUCGCCGAAACGGAAAUGAAUCAACAUUCCGGCAAAAUAUUGGCAACUAUCGCAUUUCAAAUACCGGUACACCUCCAAACACAAACACAUAUGCAACACCACAAACAUAUGCAACACCACGAACAUACAUAGAUCUAGCUAGGCCAUAAAAAGUGCAUGUGCACAUUGUUGUAGGGAGAACAACAUAAAUAUAGCUUCCCCCCUUACUUACCUAUCAAAACAAGGUAAUUUAACCACUUAAAUUGAAUGAAUCUAUGGUGGAAAUGAGGUGAAAAAGAGGAGGCACCCGAGACAAGGAGGAGGUGGAGAGAAUGAAGUGGGGAGAAAGUGAGUGUAGGUAGGAGAGGCUGUCCAAAAUAUCUUGUUGCUGCCCACUUACUAAUGGCGCACCAACUCUAAAUGCGCCAUUAGUAAUCCAGGUUACUAAUGGCGCACCUUCUGGUGAUGCGCCAUUAGUAGUUUUGCAAAAAAAAACAUACUAAUGGCGCACUGUUCCACAGUGCGCCAUUACUAGUUUAAACUAGUAAUGGCGCACGGUGGAAAAGUGCGCCAUUAGUAGUUUUGCAAAAAAGGGAAUAAAAAAUAUAAUAGAAAAAACAACAUUAGUGGCGCACAUUCCGGCAGGUGCGCCAUUACUAGUUACAACUAGUAAUGGCGCACUGUGUCUGGAUGCGCCAUUAGUAUGUUUGGACAGGCGCACUAGUUAAAAAAAAAUUUGAUACUAAUGGCGCACCCUGGGCCAGGUGCGCCAUUAGUAGUUUCAACUCUAAUGGCAUAUCGGAGGGUGGUGCGCCAUUAGUAUAUACUAAUGGCGCACCGCUUGUCUGGUGCACCAUUAGUGUCAAUCCAAUCUAUAGCCCUUUUUCUAGUAGUGGAAGGUAGAGUAUUUUUAAAGUUAAAUAUACAUGUAUCAAGUAACCGGUGCAGCUAGACUCGCAUGAUCGAGAUAAACAUUUAUUUUGUAACCCUACCAAGUAAUUAAUAGACGAAUACAUUUGCUAAGGAUAACAGUAAUUCUAAUGCACAGACGGUUGAAUUGUUUUUACGUUUUUAUCAAUAUUAUCUUUAAUGUUUUUUAUCCAUCUCUUUGAAGUUUUUAUUUUCUUUUUAGAUUGUAGUUUUGUUAUUUAUUUAUCGAGGUAUUCAUUUAUAUUUUGUUAUUUUUAUAUGCAUAAUCACGACAAAAAGCCACGACUCCGCGUGCACUAUGUCACCUCCCUCUGUUAAGCCCCUAUUCCCUCACUCAUUCAUUCAAACUAGAUGACACCCCGCACGUUGUUGCGGGAACUGUUGUAGGAAAAAUGGGAUAUGUUAGACAAAUGAAAUAUAAAUAAUUUGGAUACGCUUUCAGCCAUAUCGUUUCUUGGCUAAAUUAAAACCAUUUCAUGAGAUUGAACAAUGCAGAACUGGCUAGAAAAAAUACAUAACAUUUCCUUUAAAAAAUAUUAACAUUAGUGGUUUCAGUUCCCACUAGCAAAAUAUCGUGGCCCUGACAAACAUUUGUGCAUCGAAUUGCCCACAAAGAAUAAAAAAAUAUAGCACAAAUCAAAUUGGCAUUGGAGAUUUGCUUCAGAUGUGGUAAUGAUUCUUCUUAUGUGCCCGCAUCAUAACUCACUACUUAUCGUCAUGGUGAAGAAAACAAACAAUCACCUCCAUUAAUAGGAACUGAGUGCUGGCACUUGAAAAGUGGGAAAAAUAAUAGUGUGUAAGAGUUGAUGACAGCGAGAACAUAAAUUGCCAAUUCAGUUUGUCCCAUAAUUUCUGCACAUAAAAAGCCGAACCACUCCUACAUUUAGUGAAGGCAACAUUAUACAACAAUUAGCAUGAAAAAAAAUCAUGAUGAAAUAAAAUGGUGAUGCAAUUUUGACUUUAUAAGGCAAGACCAUUCAAGGGAGAAAUCUUUUGAACAUAGCACGAUGAUGAUCUUUUGGUCAAUAACUGAACAUGACAAUUCAUAAGCAUAUUAUGCAUUCAAUAUUCUAUUCUAGAUAAUAUUUUAAGUCUGAAAUAUCCAUGGUUUGGGAAGUCAGGAUGACCUGUUCCAAAACAAAGGCAUGUACGUAAACCGAACAAAUAUGAAAAUGAAGAGAGAAUGGUGAAGUAUAUAUCUUACUGAUUCCGCAAAGGUGAACAUAAUUAGAUUAAAGGUGUUGAACUGAAGUAGUUAUAUAAGGGUCAAAGGAUAAAAAUCAAUAAGGAAAAUUAAAGGAGGGCAUGUGCUUAUGUAUAUAGAAUUGAAUGAAGAUUUGCUUCAGAGGUGGUAAUGAUUCUUCUUAGUUGCCCACCCCAUAGUACUAUUUUAAGGCCAUGCAAGACUAAUGAGAGUUGAAUGAAAGAAAUAGGCUGACCGUCCUUCGACUAUUUUUGUAUCAUCUUCCUUCAACUGCUCAGACCAAUACUUGUCAGCACUUUUGGGUGUGCAUAUAUGCGGAAGUAACUCACAACAUUAAAACAUGAGAAUGACUGGAAGCGAACUAAUCCAGACAAAAGCUUUCUGUACCCCGUAAUUCAGACCAAAGUAACCUGCGAAUAUCAAGAUAUUUUGAUUAUUCUGAAAUAUGUUCAGAACACAUCAGUAAUUAAAAAUAGAAGAUGUAUUGCACAUCAAAGAAGAUUAUGGAUAUCAUACCAUCAAAAGAGAUUUAUGCAUUUUGUAAGACAAUUUCUUCAGAGGUCUCCUUUAGCAAGGGACGAGAUAGAGUCUGUGCAGAUUAUGUAACCGUACCAACAAAAUGGCUCAGCAAGAGUCACCUUUAGUGGAUGGUCACAAAGAAAUUCAGUAACAUUAGUGAUUCAACCUGCUAAAGAAAAUAAGGUCAAUAACAAAUAUGCAUCUUGAAAGUAGUAUUUGGUAUCUCGGGUGUACCUAUAUAUGUUCUUUAGUCUUGACUGCUAGCGUCUCCUCUCAUCUCAGCAGAUCAUAAUGCAGUUGUCUCGAAAAACUAUUUGAAGCAGCAGCUCUCCUCCUCCUGACCGUCUCUACACUUCCGUUGGCUGCUGCUACUACUUUUCAUGAAGUUAACACAAUGUUUAAUAAAUAAAUAGAAAUUUCAUGAAUUUACAAAAACCAGCGGACUAAGGAUUGCUAUGCCGGGAAAAAUUAACAAAACCUAUUUUUUCUUUUGAUUUUGCAGUGUUUUUGCUGUUUUAUUUGAUCUUUUUAUUUAUUUUUACUUGGUUAUUUUUCUUUUUCUCCUAUUGUAUUUAUUUAAUAUAUAAAAUAAUGAGUGAAUUCCGGUUUUUACCCCCUAUUUUGCCAUUUUUGACACUAAUUACCCCGUUUAGUGGGAUUUUAUCCAUUUUACCCCAUUUAGCAAAAGUGUUACCUCAAUUUACCCCGUGGUGAACAUAUGUGGACCAGCGAAGAAUAAGUAUAUGUUUCCUGAGCUACUCUAGUGCAAUCAUAUCGAGCCUAGCUUAUCAGAAGAAGCUAGGGCGGUGCGGUUCGGCGUGCAGAAAAAGCAUCAAGAAAAAACCUGUCGGUGUGGCAUCUAGCUAGACCUUACAAUUGGGACCCAUCGGUCAGAACACUCAUAAAUUUUAAACAUGGUGAACUGUGGCAACACUUUUGCUAAAUAAUAUAAAAUGGAUGAAAUUCUGCUAAAUAGGGUAAUUGGUGUCAAAAAUGUCAAAAUAGAGGGUAAAAACCAGAAUUCACUCUAAAAAUAUUCUAAACUAUUCUGGUUCAAUUUUUUGAUUCAAUGAAACUGAUCCAUGUUGAUUAAACGAAACUGAUGCAUAUGCAAUGAUACACAUGGAUGCUGAUUAAACAAAACGGAUGCAUAUCAAUCUUCGUAUGGGUGCGCGGACCUUUUUCUUUUCGAUUGCCUAGCAACUUAAUAAUUGAUUGAUGCAUCUCAAUCUUGGUAUCACGGCGACCAAAACCGUGGAUUCCUUGCCCUUCACUCCAUCAGAUCGCCACCGGCCAACAUUCCUCGCUCAUGUCUAGUCUUCUUUCCUCUGCCUCCGCCUCCACGGACUCCUCCUUAGAUAUAAUUAAACCAAACUGCCCGCCCCAUGGUGGCCCCCAUCCUUGUCGGCAUGAAAUCCAAUGCUACGUGCUGAGCAAGUAGUCAUCCCUCCCUGGUGGCGAGCUCGGCGCCAUGUGUGGAUGACGCCGUAGGUAUGCGCAUACCAGGAGCACAAGACCAUGUCAAGGAGUGGAGAGGGGUUCUAUAUGGAAUGUUGUGUUGGCCAGAGACCAACAAACACAUGUCACAUGAUCACAUAACCCCUACCCACCCUAAAUCAUUGGUUCAGUGGCCAGAACGCCAACUGACCAUAGCUCAAUGUCUGGACCAUGUCAAGGCACAUGGAGAGAGAAGGGAGACUAGGGACUCACCAGAACUGACUCGCUAUCUGGAUCAGCUUGAAAGUUGACUACACGAGGAUUGUAUCAGCUUCCCUCCUUGAUACUCUGACUUCCAGGGUUGUUUUUCCCCUUUAGCUCUCGUCAUAAUCAAAGAAACAACGAUGUUAGAUCUCUCUCAAAUGAACAUAACAAAAGACAGAAAAAUAUAGUUUGUGUUCAGCGGAGAUAAAGAUUAUCCACCACUCAUAUAGCUGGUGAGGAUAUAAUAGCAGCGAGCUACUCCACAACAGCUUAAGCAAUCGUAAUAUUAACCAAACCACAAACAAAACCUAUGUUCUGGAACACAUUCAUCAUCACCUAAGAAAUAACAAAUUGCACAACACCUACACUACUCAUGCGUGGGUAAAGUAUCAAAUAUCUUCAUCUAGUCUAAGUAGAUAGUACCAAGGGUUAUUUAGCAAGCCUAUGUAAAGAGUUGCAAUUCCCAAAUUCCGGCAUCAAGAGAUAUGCCCAUAACAAUCACAUCCAUUUGUUAAACAUAUAUAAUAUCAUGACUAAAGGCUCUAAUUAUUAAUAGGAGCAUUAAUAUUGACCCUAGGUAAAUGUGGAGCGAUACAAAAGCAGCUACAUAUCAUCCAAUGGCCUAGAAUUGUCAACAUCGAACGAAAACAUGCCAUCCUAUUCAAACUGGCUAAUUACAAGUAGGGAAAAUCAUAUCUAGCAGACUAUCAUCACCAAAAUCAUAAGCAGGACAGUGCACCAUGACAAUAUCAUAAUCAUGACUUUCAAAAGGUUAGGAUAACUAAACAACAUGCAUCUUGACUAAUAUGUUUUUUCAUAGAAGUUACAGCCUUACCAAGCCACUCAGCCGAUUUGAAACAACACGACAUUGGUGGCCCAUGGAGGUCCCUGCUGGCAGUCGCCGCGGGGUGAUGGGAAUUCAGAUCGGCUCCGACGUGAUCUGCAUGUCGGAACCAAACUUCAUCGUCGAUGUCGGCAUCUGUGUUGCUGGCUCAACUGGUCACCUUUCCCAGACCAAAGACUACGCUUCGCGUCAAAUCGUCAUGAUCAGGCGGGUGCCUUCAUCAUCAACUCCGAUCCUAGCCGAAGUCAUAGAGGAAUUCGUCCAUGGAGCUUGGGGGCUCAACGUCAACAUUGCCCUCAUGUGAUCAUGCCGUUUUUGUUGAACAAUGGAUUGUGUUCACCUUCUCCGCCUCCUCGAGUGUCGCUUUGAUGAUUGCUUCGGUGAAAUUGUGUGGAAUUGAGUCUACAACAACCUUGUAAAAUUUCCUCGCGUUCCUAUGGAGGAAUCUCCGGCAAUCUCCGACAUACCGGAGCCCUAUCGAAUCUGGACGGGAAUCUGGAUGACUUUGUGGCGAGGAGUCUAGCGUCCAUCCCGGACAUCCAUUGGAAAAUCCAACUGUUCAUCGGUUGCGCAAUUCCUAUGUUGACCACCACUCAAAUUUCAGCUUGGUCUGACCGUUCAAACUCUAGGGAACGUCCGAGUAGUAAAUCAAUUCUCUGAUAUGUUUUCUGCGCGCAAACAAAUCUGACCCGAGUUCAUCUUUUCAUGAACGGGUUAUCGGACAUCCUUUUUGAAUGAAAUUGCUACUGCUAGUAGACGCAUGCCUACGGCCUCGUCCACACACGGCGCAGAGCUCGCUAGCACAGAGGGACGGCGGCCUGCUCACCGCGUAGCAUUGGAUUUGAUGCCGCCAAGGAUGGGGGCCUUCAAGCUGUGGGCAGUUUGGUUUAAUUAGGCGAAGGCAGAGCAGAGGAAAGAAGACUAGACAAAAGUGAGGGAGGUCGGGAGGUGGUGUUUUGAGGGAGUGAAGGGCGAGGCGUCCAUGGCUUGGUCGCCGUGAUACCAAGAUUGAGAUGCUUCAAUCAAUUAUUAAGCUAGCAAGCAAACGGAAAGAAAAAGGUAUGCAUCAGUUUCGUUUUUAUUAGUUUUGCCUUUUCUUUAUUUCCCUCUUUUCCUUUUUUUUCCUUUCCUGUCUUAGUUCUUUCAUAAUUUUUUUGUUUUGACUUAUUAUCCUUUUUCAUUUAGAAAAUGAACAACAUGACUUUUUUAUCAUAUGAUUUACAUAUUUUAAUCACCUGAUGAAUUUUUUUAACACAUGAUGAAUGUUUUUUGAUAUACAAUGGCUAUUUUCUUAAAUACAGAUAAUUUUUUAAGUGUAUAUUCUGUUUUAUAUGAUUUCUUUUCAAAAUUAUGUGAAUUGUUUUAUAAGCAUGGCUACUUUAACAAUCACAUGUACAUUUUCUAAAAUACAUAAACACUCUUUGUAAAUUCAAGAUUUUUUUCUAAAGAUUUAUUUAGAAACUAAAUGAAUUUUUUUCUAAAUAGGUGAAUUGGUUUCAUAGUAUAAGAAAAAUUUAUUUAGAAUAGUUUUUUCGUGAGUAAGCAUUUUUUUUGUUUACACAAACUAUUUUGUCAAAUGUGCAGAAAGAAAAUUUGAACAAGAAUACUUUAGAAAUACUAUAUAUGUAAGAGGAGAAAAAGUAAAACAACCAAGUGGAAAUAUAUAAAAAGAACAAAAAAGGGCAAAAGCACUGGAAAAUCACAAAUAUAGGAGUCUAGCUGCAUGGGUUACUUGAUAUCAUGUUUAUUUAACAUUUUUUUACUCUACCUUGUAGCUUGCAUCAAAACACACUAAUGUCCUUAUCCAUUUUUUAUUUCGUCAAGUAUUCAUUUCACAUUUAAGAUGAGGGGGACUGAAUCAGUAGCCAUUGCUAGCUAAAUAAUAGGCGGCAGAACCGUGUUAUUAGGCCAACCUUCUUGAGAGACUCUUUUAUCAGACGUUGCUGUCGGGCGCCAAAUGAUAUAUAUCGCUUGUACCGGGCAUUACCUAGAGCUUGCCUGCAGAACCGUCUUGAUUUAUUUUAUUAUUUUUGGCUUUUUGUUUAUUCCCCUUUUGCUGUUCUUCUUUUUCUAUUUUUUCUGUUUCUUUAUUUUUCUGUUGAUUUUCUUUUUUUACUUUUUUUACUUUUUCAUUUAGAGAAUUAAUAUUAGACAUGACUUUUUAAUCACACGGUUAUGGUCACGUAGCACGGUUUUAUAAUAACGGAUUCCUAAAUGUGAGCCAAUAAUAGUAACGAUACAAUUUGUAUAUAGAAAGUAAACCCUGGCCACUCCAUGGCAUAUUCAUCAUGGAACCUACAAAGGACGCAUAUAAACUCCAUUUUUUUCCCUUUUUGCUUUCGUGUAGGAGGCGCAUGACUCCAUGGAUGACCAGCCAUCAUUUUUUCUGUGACGUUGACCGUCACUAACAAUUACGAUGAUGCAUUUGACCGGUCAACUAUUCUGGCAUGAAGACCCAAUGAGAUGCUGACAUGGCUGCUACCAAGUGGGUCCAGACGUGGGUAAUUUGGCUUCUUACAUGUGGAUCCAAUGCCAUACGCGGGCGACGGCAUGCAUACCUAUCCCAAUUUGUAGAUGCGGUCAAUUUAUUAUAUAUUGCAAUUGGCGGGCAUAUUUGAAAAUUUAAUCAUUUUUAUAAUUCGUAUAUGAAUUUGUGCGAGAUUUCAAUUUUAAUGCCAAGUCAGCAAUCUUUACUCGAUUAAAUGACAGACAAUUAUCACACAGACUUUCUGAACCAUUACAAUAAAAAACCAUGGGACAGAGCCACACAAUAAAAUUAGGCACAUGGCGCAUUUUCAUGACCAUCAAACAAUGCACUAGUAUGAUGGGGUUUGUUUGCUCAGCUAUAGACAUGGGAUCCUGGCGUCGCAAUCGUGGCGAUGUACUUAAGCGUCCUAUCAAGAUCAUUAAGCUUCUUUCGAUAGCUAAAGUUUUCUCUUUCUUAGCAUUCUUGAUGACUUCAAGUUCUCCCUUCUGGUUGCGCCAACCUCGGUUUGUGUCAGCGGUGGCCGCCCGGUGGCGCGAGGCGCGUGAUGCCCCCCAUCGCGCCCUUUCGGCCCUUGACUCCUGACACUUUUGUGCUAAGCGGUCCCGGCAAUUCAUGAAAGGAUGGGGUGCAAAUGUGGGCCGUGACAUUCGCGAGCGUAAGAAAGCCCUUCUUGAGGCCAUCCAGGCCCUCGAUCUGCGGGCUGAUGCCGCAGGCCUCUCUGCUGAGGAGUGGAUGCUUAGGUACGACCUGGAAGACUAGCUCACGGUCAUCUACACGGACGAGGAGGCCUACUGGCGCUUGCGAGGUACGCAGAAUUGGGUCCUCAAGGGGGAUGCCAAUACCGCCUACUUCCAGGCCAUUGCCAACGGUCGUCGUCGCCGUAAUUCCAUCCCGCUUCUCUGGGACGGCGAGACCCUCCUGCAGCGGCCAGAGGACAUCCGGGCCCAUGUAGUCGGCUUUGACAGAGACCUAUUCUCUGCCGCCCCUCGGGGAGGUCUUGCCCUGGCGCAAGACAUCUGGCCGGCCCACAGUUGUGUCUCUCCUGCGGACAAAGCGGCCCUUACGGCCCCGUUCUCUAAGGCUGAAGUGUGGGCGACAAUUAAGGGUAUGAACCCUUCUUCGGCCCCCGGUCCGGAUGGCCUCCCAGUGAAGUUCUUCCAGACUUUCUGGGAGGUAAUAAAACCGGAGGUGAUGGCCUUGUCUGAGGAAUUCUUUGUAGGGUCCAUUGACCUCGCCAGGCUGGACUUUGGGAUCAUCACCCUCAUCCCCAAAGUAACUGGGGCUUCGGAUAUUCGCCAGUUUCGGCCGAUUACGGUGAUUAAUGUCAUCUUCCGCAUCCUCGCGAAGGGGUACGCCCUUAGGGUGGCCCCCAUUGCCGACGGGAUCACUCACCCUGAUCAGUCGGCAUUUAUUCAGGGCCGGUAUAUCCUUGACGGAGUUCUGGUUUUUCACGAAGCACUCCAUGAGGUUCACUCCAAACACCUCAAGGCAGUCUUCCUGAAACUGGAUUUCCACAAGGCGUAUGACACGGUCAGUUGGCCCUUCCUUCGGGAAUGCUUGCUGCGGAAGGGCUUCAACGACAGGUGGGUCUCCCGAGUGAUGCAAUGGUAUCCUCAGGCCGGACCGCGGUGAACAUUAAUGGCGAGGUUGGCCCAUUCUUCCCCACAUCCUGUGGGAUGUGCCAGGGCGACCCCUUCUCACCGUUCCUCUUCAACAUGGUUGUCGAUGCUCUGGCAGCCAUCUUAGAUAAAGCCAAGGCUGCGGGCCACAUUAAGGGCAUAGUCCCGCAUCUAGUUGGGGGGGAACGGGAUCUCCCUCCUCCAAUAUGCGGAUGACACCAUUAUCAUGGUGGAAGGCUCGGCGACCGACAUCAUGAACUUGAAGUUCCUCCUGAUAAGCUUCCAGCAGAUGUCUGGCCUCAGGAUCAACUUCGAUAAGAGUGUGGUAAUGGUCUUGGGAUACUCCCAAGACGAACGGCAGAGCAUCACGGAUCGGCUCAAUUGCCAGCUUGGGUGUUUCCCCACGACCUAUCUGGGGAUCCCCAUUAGUGAUUUGAGGUUCACGGUGGCUGAGCUUCGCCCCAUAGUUGGGAAGCUUCAACACCGCAUCGAGGCUUGGCAGGGCCGAUGUCUCUCGAAGGCGGCCCCGACAGUGCUUAUUAACUCGUCCCUGGCCAUCCUUCUCUUAUUCAUCAUGAGCUUCUACAGCCUUCCUGAGACUCUGAUCACGAGAUUGCCAUAGUUCAGGGGUGCUUCUUCUGGGCCGGCGAGGGCGACAAGUAGAAAUACAACAUGGUUCGUUGGUCGGAGAUUUGUAAACCGCGCUAUCAGGGUGGUCUCGGGAUCAUGUCCUCCAAAUGCAUGAACAUUGCCCUCCUAACGAGAUGGUUGUGGCGGAUUGCCAACGGACAGGGUGGCCUGUGGCUUCACCUCAUUCAGCAGAAAUACCUCCGUGGCCAGCCUCUCACCUUCUGCCAGUGGUCUGGAGGUUCCUAGUUCUGGCAAUCCAUCAUACAGCUCCUACCGAUCCUCCGCAUCGGCACCUUGAUCGCGGUUGGAUCGGGCACCUCCACGAUGUUCUGGUUCCAUAGAUGGGCUGGAGACUUACCCCUCGCGGCACGUUUUCCCUACCUAUUCUCCAUCGCGGUUGACCCGCGGAUCUCUGUCGCGACGACCCUUAUUGACUUAGGGCAACUCGCGUUCCGGAGAGCGUUUGGCCUGCCUGAGAACGCGGACUGGCAUGAUCUGCUGGAAUGCAUCGCGCUGCACGAGCCUGAUCUUGAGGUAGGAGAAGACCGUGCCAGGUGGCGUCUAGAGCCAUCUGAGCAAUUCUCCACCAAAUCUCUAUACCAGGCCAUCACACCUUCGCUGGGUCAUGAGGUACACACCACCAUCUGGGAUAUACGGCUCCCCUUGAAGAUUAGGAUUUUCUUGUGACAGUGGAUUCGCGGCUGCCUCCCAUCCGGCGUGGAGGUCCUGAUGCGCAACGUCCCAGGGGAUGGGCGAUGCCCGCUCUGCGGGCCUGAAGAGGAUUUGAACCAUAUCUUCUUCACAUGCGUGUCCGCGCAGUUCCUAUGGAGCUGUUUCCGUGAAAUAGUGGGUGGAAGCAGGGACCACAACAACUUCCCCGCUCUUUUCGCGGAACUCCAGGCGUCAGCUCCCUCAAUUCGCCACAUUAGGUGGCUGAUCAUCGGGGUGCUAACCUGGACGAUGUGGACUGUUAGGAAUAAACUUUUGAUUCAGCGCAUUCCUUUUCGACGUGCUACUGACGCUUUGUUCAAAUGGUCUGGUUAGUUGCAGUUUUGGCAGCCGCUUAGCCGUCCCCGGGAGAUAGACGCCAUCACCUCCAUCAUCAUCCAGCUUCGCUCGAUGGCUCUCCUUAUGGCUCCACCGCUUCCCCCACCAGCGCCAGAGCCGGAUUAGAUCUUCUACACCUCGCCACCGCCGUUAUGUUUGUUGUGUGUGUCUUGCGCCGAUGUUGGGCUUGUUGUGCUGUGCCCACAGCUGAACUUGGGUUUCAACUGUGUGUGUGUGUUCGUCGGAACUGCCUGCGGUGGCUGUGUGUGUGUUUUUGUGGUCGGAACCUUGUUAACUUUGUGCUCGGUGGUUGCUUUUUUUAUAAAGAGGGGAGAAAGCCUUUUUCGGUAAGGGAAGUGUUGAUAGAGUCAAGAUGAUUAUGCAGAUCUAACAGGGCCAUUAUUAGGCAUUCCAUUUGGUCUUGCCGCUCUGGCAGAGCCUUCUUGACACCUUCAAGUAUGUUUUUGCUAGUGUAAAAGUGUACGUAAUCUUCACAUAUUGAAGUUCAUGCUACGCACCUGGCACGACAUGCUUCAUGUUCUUGCUGCUGCUCUUCUAGGUCCAUCUUGACAGCUUCAAGUGCUAGUUGUUGCUCUGCUAGGGCCUUCUUAACGGCUCCAAGUUCUAUUUUCUGCUCACCUAGGGCCUUCUUCAUAGCAUGAAGUUCCUACUGCUGUACAACCAAUGUGUGCUCGACUGCUUCUUUUGCUUCAUGGUGCACCACCACCACAUUGUUGAUAGCUUCAGGUUACUGUUUCUGGACCCCAAUACUUGCAAGAAAGUCAUCAUUUGAGAAUCCUUGCUUUCCUACAAAAUAAUAUAUACGGAGGUUACAACAUAUGGAUGAAUUCCAAAAUAUAUAUGCACAUGCCGCAAUACACAGAGGUAGGGUAAAUAAAGAUAAUUACAUGUAAAUUUUAUAAAACAUGUGAACAUUCUUAGGAAAAAAGAAAAUCAUUUUCUAAAUACAUGAGUAUCUAUUAUAAAUUAUAUGGAUAUUUGUCUAGAUAGUUCAUGAAUCAUUUUUGAAAGUACAAUAAUUUUUUAUUUAGGAUAGUCAAACACUUUCUAAAUUCAAUUAAAUAUUUUUAAAUGAGUGGGCACUUAUUUUUUUACCGGAACUAUUUUUUCAACAACAACAACAAAGCCUUUUGUCCCAAACAAGUUGGGGUAGGCUAGAGGUGAAACCCAUAAGAUUUCGCAACCAACUCAUGGCUCUGGCACAUGGAUAGCAAGUUUCCACGCACCCCUGUCCAUAGCUAGCUCUUUGGUGAUACUCCAAUCCUUCAGGUCUCUCUUAACAGACUCCUCCCAUGUCAAAUUUGGUCUACCCCGCCCUCUGUUAACAUUCUCCGCAUGCUUUGGCCGUCCGCUAUUCACGGGAGCUUCUGGAGGCCUGCGCUGAAUAUGCCCAAACCAUCUCAGACGAUGUUGGACAAGCUUCUCUUCAAUUGGUGCUACCCCAACUCUAUCUCGUAUAUCAUCAUUCCGGACUCUCGAUCCUUCCUCGUGUGGCCACACAUCCAUCACAACAUACGCAUCUCCGCCACACCUAACUGUUGAACAUGUCGCCUUUUAGUCGGCCAACACUCAGCGCCAUACAACAUUCCGGGUCAAACCGCUGUCCUGCAGAACUUGCCUUUUAGCUUUUGUGGUACUCUCUUGUCACAGAGAAUGCCAGAAGCUUGGCGCCACUUCAUCCAUCCGGCUUUGAUUCGAUGGUUCACACCUUCAUCAAUACCCCCAUCCUCCUACAACAUGGACCCCAAAUACCGAAAGGUGUCCUUCUGGGGUACCACCUGGCCAUCAAGGCUAACCUCCUCCUUCUCACACCUAGUAGUACUGAAAUCGCACAUCAUAUACUCGGUUUUAGUUCUACUAAGCCUAAACCCUUUCAAUUCCAAGGUUUGUCUCCAUAACUCUAACUCCUAUUUACCCCCGUCCGACUAUCGUCAACUAGCACCACAUCAUCCACAAAGAGCAUACACCACGGGAUAUCUCCUUGCAUAUCCCUUGUGACCUCAUCCAUCACCAAUGAAAAAAGAUAAGGGCUCAAAGCUGACCCCUAAUGCAGUCCUAUCUUAAUCGGGAAGUCAUCAGUGUCGACAUCACUUGUUCGAACACUUGUCACAACAUUAUCAUACAUGUCCUUGAUGAGGGUAAUGUACUUUGCUGGGACUUUGUAUUUCUCCAAGGCCCACCACAUGACAUUCCGCGGUAUCUUAUCAUAGGCCUUCUCCAAGUCAAUGAACACCAUAUGCAAGUCCUUCUUUUGCUCCAUAUAUCUCUCCAUAAGUUGUCGUACCAAGAAAAUGGCUUCCAUGGUCGACCUCUGAUACGUCCAUUUUGCAUGAUGCUUUUAUAUCGAUAUUUAUUGCAUUAUGGGUUGUUAUUACACAUUAUGUCACAAUACUUAUGCCUAUUCUCUCUCAUUUUACAAGGUUUACAUGAAGAGGGAGAAUGCCGGCAGCUGGAAUUCUGGGCUGGAAAAGGAGCAAAUAUUAGUGACCUAUUUUGCAUAGCUCCAAAAGUCCUGAAACUUCACGGAGGCACGUUUUGAAAUAUAUAAAAAAUACUGGAGAAAGAAUCAACCAGAGGGGGCCCACACCCUGGCCACGAGGGUGGGGGCGCGCCCCCUGCCUCGUGGGCCCCCUGGAUGCAGGUUUCGGAGUUCUUCAUCAAGCACUCGGCCCUCACGUGGUGAAAGGAUCCACUCUCCUAGACUAGUACAGUCGUGUCGUCGCACAAGCCGAGCAGCUCAUCUAACGUGCACCGGAAGGCGUCGUCUUCAUCAUCUGCAGCGCAAGUGCCUUCUUGGACUUCGCCGUCGAGUUUGCCGGGCAAGAACCCCUGCGCCACCACAGCGUCAUGGAGCACGGGAAAAUCUUGAAGCAUGUCGUCGGUGAAGAACCCGCAGCUCCGGGCUUCCGUCGUCCACAGCUCCGGGCGGCAAGAACGUCUUGCCUUCGUCGGACAUGAACCAGCGCCCAUACUCGUGAAACAUCCCGGCUUGUUGGACGAUCGGCGGUUCCUGGCGGCGUGGGGUUUGGGGACGUGGAGCAAUUAGCAAGACACCUUUUGUGCCAUGACAAUGACAUACAUCAAAGCUCAUCUAACGUGCACCGGAAGGCGUCGUCUUCAUCAUCUGCAGCGCUAGUGCCUUCUUGGACUUCGCCGUCGAGUUUGCCGGGCAAGAACCCCUGCGCCACCACAGCGUCAUGGAGCUCGGAAAAAUCUUGAAGCAUGUCGUCGGUGAAGAACCCGCCUGGAUCCACGCUGCCGUCGUCCACAGCUCCGGGCGGCAAGAACGUCUCGCCUUCGUCGGACAUGAACCAGCGCCCAUACUCGUGAAACAUCCCGGCUUGUUGGACGAUCGGCGGUUCCUGGCGGCGUGGGGUUUGGGGACGUGGAGCAUCCGGGUGCUGGACGUCGGCGGCCUUCCUUUUCCUGGAACCGGGAGCAUUGAUUACCUCGUGGUAUGUGGUCUCGCUCCUGUGACGAGACACGCAGACCUUGCAGAGCACCAAGCCGUCUUGCUUGUCAUCGCUGUACUCGUUCAUGCACCAGCCGAUCCUGAUCCUCUCUUUCUCUCCCGGCAACUUCUUGACGUAGCUGAGGUUUCGUCUAUGGCCUACGAGUUUACCUUGGUUGUCUAGCACGGGGAUCCCACCCUUCUCCGAGUGCCAGUAGUAACCCUCGCCGGCGUCGGCCACGCCACGCUGUCGCCUCCCGCCACCGCGGCCGGCUUUGGUCUGGUGAUGACGGGCAGGGGUGAAGAAGUACCAGACGCCCCCUUUCCCGUCGCCCUUGUCCGUUCCUUGCGCGUGUUGAUACAUCUCGACGAGGUCGCCGGGGGCGGCGGAGUAGGCGUCGAACUCGUGGAUGAGGCGGCUGGCGAAGAAGGCGUCGGCGAUCCGUGGGCGGAGGAACUUGGUGAUCAGCUCGUGCUCGGCUGGGUCGAAGGCGUAGCCGGCGGGAGGAUCCAGCUUGCCGUCGGCCAUCGCAGAGCUAGCUACGCACGUACGAGAUGGAUCAAGUAGCUAGGUAUGUACGUGUAACCCUGAACUCGCUAGCUGCUUGCCAUCUGGGUACCUAGCUUAUAUAGAUGGAUCGACAGCGAGCCCGCCCGGGAUUCAGUUUCCUUGACCGGUCAUACGUACGUGUCCUAAGCAAUCCGUACAUGAAAUGGAUUAGUACAGCAAUCCGUACAUAAAAUGGACUAGUGCAGCACGCCCCAUGAUGCUCCGUCGCUGCACCGACCUUGCUCCAUUGCAGCUCGCGUCGCUGCACCUUGCCGCUCGGUAAUACUCAGCAUGCUUCGACGGACAUGGUGAUGCUACGAGGCGUGCUACAUCGACCGCCGCGAUGGCGCAACGUCAUCCGGGCUGCUUUGAUGAAGCUGCGACAGCCGCGGCGUUGACAUUUCGACAUGCUUCAAACACCCAUGUUGUGCUUUGACGGCCACGACAAUGUUGGGGAACGUAGCAGAAAUUCAAAAUUUUCUACGCAUCACCAAGAUCAAUCUAUGAAGUAAUCUAGCAACGAGGGGAAGGGGAGUGCAUCUACAUACCAUUGUAGAUCGUGAUGUGGAAGCGUUGCAAGCACGCGGAUGAAGGAGUCGUACUCGUAGCGAUUCAGAUCGCGGUUGAUUCCGAUCUAAGCACCGAAGAACGGUGCCUCCGCGUUCAACACACGUGCAGCCCGGUGACGUCUCCCACGCCUUGAUCCAGCAAGGAGAGAGGGAGAGGUUGGGGAAGACUCCAUCCAGCAGCAGCACGACGGCGUGGUGGUGAUGGAGGAGUGUGGCAAUCCCGCAGGGCUUCGCCAAGCACCGCGGGAGAGGAGGGAGAGAGGUAGGGCUGCGCCAAGAGAGACCGGAAAACUCAUGUGUUGGGCAGCCCUAGACCUCAACUAUAUAUAGGGGGAGGAGGGGGCUGCGCCCCCUCUAGGGUUCCCACCCCAAGGGGUGGCGGCCAGCCCUAGAUCCCAUCUAGGGGGGCGGCCAAGGGGAGGAGAGGGGGGGGCGCCACUAGGCUGGGCCUUAAGGCCCAUCUGGACCUAGGGUUUGCCCCCUCCCACUCUCCCAUGCGCCUUGGGCCUUGGUGGGGGGCGCACCAGCCCACCUCGUGCUGGCCCCCUCCCACACUUGGCUCACGCAGCCUUCUGGGGCUGGUGGCCCCACUUGGUGGACCCCCGGGACCCUCCUGGUGGUCCCGCUACAUUACCGAUAUCACCUGAAACUUUUCCGGUGACCAAAACAGGACUUCCCAUAUAUAAAUCUUUACCUCCGGACCAUUCCGGAACUCUUCGCGACGUCCGGGAUCUCAUCCGGGACUCCGAACAACAUUCGGUAACCACGUACAUCUAUUCCCUAUAACCCUAGCUUCUUCGAACCUUAAGCGUGUAGACCCUACGGGUUCGGGAACCAUGCAGACAUGACCGAGAUGUUCUCCGGUCAAUAACCAACAGCGGGAUCUGGAUACCCAUGUUGGCUCCCACAUGUUCCACGAUGAUCUCAUCGGAUGAACCACGAUGUCGGGGAUUCAAUCAAUCCCCUAUUCAAUUCCCUUUGUCCAUCGGCAUGUUAUUUGCCCGAGAUUCGAUCGUCGGUAUCCCGAUACCUUGUUCAAUCUCGUUACCGGCAAGUCUCUUUACUCGUUCCGUAACUCACAUCAUCCCGUGAUCAACUCCUUGGUCACAUUGUGCACAUUAUGAUGAUGUCCUACCGAGGGGGCCCAGAGAUACCUCUCCGUUUACACGGAGUGACAAAUCCCAGUCUCCAUUCGUGCCAACCCAACAGACACUUUCGGAGAUACCUGUAGUGCACCUUUAUAGCCACCCAGUUACGUUGUGACGUUUGGUACACCCAAGGCAUUCCUACGGUAACCGGGAGUUGCACAAUCUCAUGGUCUAAGGAACUGAUACUUGACAUUAGAAAAAGCUCUGAGCAAACGAACUACACGAUCUUGUGCUAGGCUUAGGAUUGGGUCUCGUCCAUCACAUCAUUCUCCUAAUGAUGUGAUCCCGUUAUCAACGACAUCCAAUGUCCAUGGUCAGGAAACCGUAACCAUCUAUUGAUCAACGAGCUAGUCAACUAGAGGCUUACCAGGGACAUGGUGUUGUCUAUGUAUCCACACAUGUAUCUGAGUUUCCUAUCAAUACAAUUCUAGCAUGGAUAAUAAACGAUUAUCAUGAACUAGGAAAUAUAAUAAUAACCAAUUUAUUAUUGCCUCUAGGGCAUAUUUCUAACCGUCUCCCACUUGCACUAGAGUCAAUAAUCUAGUUCACAUCACCAUGUGAUUAACACUCACAGGUCACAUCUUCAUGUGACCAACAUCCAAAGAGUUCACUAGAGUCAACAAUCUAGUUCACAUCACUAUGUGAUUAAUACUCAAUGAGUUCUGGUUUGAUCAUGUUAUGCUUGUGAGAGAGGUUAUUAGUCAACGGCUCUGAACCUUUCAGAUCCGUGUGUGCUUUACGAAUAUCUAUGUCAUCUUGUGGAUGCUACCACGCGCUAUUCGGAGCCAUUUCAAAUAACUGCUCUACUAUACGAAUCCGGUUUACUACUCAGAGUCAUCCGGAUUAGUGUCAAAGUUCGCAUCGACGUAACCCUUUACGACGAACUCCUUUUCACCUCCAUAAUCGAGAAAAUUCCUUAGUCUACUAGAUACUAAGGAUAAGUUCGACCGCUGUCAUGUGAUCCAUUCCCGGAUCACUAUUGUACCCCUUGAACAACUCAUGGAAAGACACACUUCACGUGCGGUACACAACAUAGCAUACUGUAGAGCCUACGUCUGAAGCAUAGGGGACGACCUUCGUCCUUUCUCUCUCUUCUGCUGUGGUCAGGUCUUGAGUCUUACUCAAUACUCACACCUUGUAACACAGCCAAGAACUCCUUUGCUGAUCUAUUUUGAACUCUUUCAAAAUCAUGUCAAGAUGUGCGUUCUUUGAAAGUAUCAUCGGGCGUCUUGAUCUAUCUCUAUGGAUCUUGAUGCCCAAUAUGUAAGCAGCUUUAUCCAGGUCUUCCUUUAAAAAACUCCUUUCAAACAACCCUUUAUGCUUUCCAGAAAUUUUACAGCAUUUCGGAUCAACAAUAUGUCAUUCUCAUAUACUUAUCAGAAAUGUUGUAGCGCUCCCACUCACUUUAUUGGAAAUACAAGUUUCUCAUAAACUUUGUACAAACCCAAAGACUUUGAUCAUCUCAUCAAAGCGUACAUUCCAACUCCGAGAUGCUUACUCCAGUCCUUAGAAGGAUUGCUGGAGCUUUGCAUACUUGUUAGCAUCUUUCAGGAUUGACAAAACCCUUCUGGUUGUAUCACAUACAAUCUUUCCUCAAGAAAAUCUUCGAGGAAACAAUGUUUUGGCAUCCUAUCUGCAAGACUGCUAAUACAAUCCCAACAGACUUUUAGCAUCGCUACGAGUGAGAAAGUCUCAUCGCAGUCAACUCCUUGAAUUUGUCGGAAAACAUCUUAACGACAAGCCGAGCUUUCUUAAUGGUGACACUUACCAUUACUGUCUGUCUUCCUUUUAAAAUCCAUCUGCACCCAACAGCCUUACGACCAUCAAGCACAUGGAUCCUCUCUCGGAUUUUAUGGCCUCGAGCCAUUCGUCGGAAUAUGGGCCCACCAUCGCUUCUCCAUAGCUCGUAGGUUCAUUGUUGUCUAGCAACAUGACUUCCAAGACAGGAUCACGUACCACUCUGAAGUAGUACGCAUCCUCGUCGUCCUACGAGGUUUGGUAGUGACUUGAUCCGAAGUUUCAUGAUCACUAUCAUAAGCUUCCACUUCAAUUGGUGUAGGUGCCACAGGAACAACUUCUUGUGCCCUGCUACACACUAGUUGAAGUGACGGUUCAAUAACCUCAUCAAGUCUCCACCAUCCUCCCACUCAAUUCUUUCGAGAGAAACUUUUCCUCAAGAAAGGACCCGUUUCUAUAAGCAAUUACUUUUGCUUCCAGAUCUGAAAUAGGAGGUAUGCCCAACUGUUUGGGUAUUCUAUGAAGAUGCAUUUAUCCGCUUUGGGUUCGAGCUUAUCAGCCUGAAACUUUUUCACAUAAGCAUCGCAGCCCCAAACUUUUAAGAAACGACAACUUAGGUUUCUCUAAACGGUGUCGUCACAACGGAAUUGCGUGGUGCCCCUUUUAAAGUGAAUGCGGUUGUCUCUAAUGCCUAACCCAUGAACGAUAGUGGUAAUUCGAUAAGAGACAUCAUGAUAUGCACCAUAUCCAAUAGGGUGCAGUUAUGAUGUUCAGACACACCAUCACACUGUGGUUUUCCAGGCGGUAUUAAUUGUGAAACACUUUCCACAAUGUCUUAAUUGUGUGCCAAACUCGUAACUCAGAUAUUCAUCUCUAUGACCAUAUCAUAGACAUUUUAUCCUUCUUGUCACGACGAUCUUUAACUUCACUCUGAAUUUACUUGAACCUUUCAAUAAUUCAGACUUGUGUUUCAUCAAGUAAAUACACUCAGUAUCUACUCAAAUCAUCUGUGAAGUAAGAACAUAACGAUAUCCACUGCAUGCCUCAGCACUCAUUGGACUGCAUACAUCAAAAUGUAUUACUUCCAACAAGUUGCUCUCUUGUUCCAUCUUACUUAAAACGGGGACUUUCAGUCAUCUUGCCUAUGUGGUAUGAUUUGCAUGUCUCAAGUGAUUCAAAAUCAAGUGAGUCCAAACGAUCCAUCUGCAUGGAGUUUCUUCAUGCAUAUAUACAAAUAGGCAUGGUUCGCAUGUCUCAAUCUUUUCAAAAACGAGUGAGUCCAAAGAUCCAUCUUCAUGGAGCUUCUUCAUGCGUUUUAUACCAAUAUGACUCAAGUGGCAGUGCCACAAGUAUGUGGUACUAUCAUUACUAUCUUAUAUCUUUUGGCAUGAACAUGUGUAUCACUACGAUCGAGAUUCAUUUUAGGUGCAAGACCAUUGAAGGUAUUAUUCAAAUAAACAGAGUAACCAUUAUUCUCCUUAAAUGAAUAAUCGUAUUCCGAUAAACAUAAUCCAAUCAUGCUUAACGCAAACACCAAAUCACGAUGGUAGAGGGAGCAUGCGAUGCUUGAUCACAUCAACCUUGGAAACACUUCCAACACAUAUCGUCAUCUCACCUUUAGCUAGUCUCCGUUUAUUCCGCAGCUUUUAUUUCGAGUUACUAACACUUAGCAACCGAACCGGUAUCUAAUACCCUGGUGCUGCUAGGAGUACUAGUAAAGUACACAUUCAUAUAAUGUAUAUCCAAUAUACUUCUGUCGACCUUGCCUGCCUUCUCAUCUACCAAGUAUCUAGGGUAGUUCCGCUUCAGUGACCGUUCCCCUCAUUACACAAGCACUUAGUCUCGGGUUUGGGUUCAACCUUCGGAUUCUUCACUAGAGCAGCAAAUGACUUGUUGUUUCAUGAAGUAUCCCUUUUGCCCUUGCCCUUCUUAAACUAGUGGUUUUACUAACCAUCAACAAUUGAUGCUCCUUCUUGAUUUCUACUUUCGCGGUGUCAAACAUCGCGAAUAGCUCAAGGAUGAUCAUAACUAUCCCUGAUAUGUUAUAGUUCAUCACGAAGCUCUACUAGCUUGGCGGCAGUGACUAUGGAGAACCAUCACUAUCUCAUCUGGGAGAUUAACUCCCACUCGAUUCAAGCGAUUGUGGUACUCAGACAAUCUGAGCACAUGCUCAACGAUUGAGCUUUUCUCCCUUAGUUUGCAGGCUUAAGAAACUUGUCAGAGGUCUCAUAUCUCUUGACGUGGGCACUAGUCUGAAAUCCCAAUUUCAGUCUUCGGAACAUCUCAUAUGUUCUGCGACGUUUCAAAAACCAUCUUUGGUGCCACAAUUCUAAACCGUUAGCAAUACGCACUGAACUAUCACGUAGUCAUCAAAACGUGUAUGUCAGAUGUUUUCGCAACAUCUACAGACGACGCUGAGGUUCAGCACACCGAGCGGUGCAUUAAGGACAUAAGCCUUCUGUGCAGCAAUGAGGACAAUCCUCAGUUUACGGACCCAGUCCGCGUAUGCUACUACCAACUUUCAACUAAAUUUCCUCUAGGAACGUAUCUUAAACAGUAGAACUAAAGCGCAAGCUAUGACAUAAUUUGCAAAGACCUUUUGACUAUGUUCAUGAUAAUGAAGUUCAUCUGAUUAUUUAAUGAACUCCCACUCAGAUAGACAUCCCUCUAGUCAUCUAAGUGAUACAUGAUCCGAGUCAAACUAGGCCGUGUCCGAUCAUCACGUGAGACGGACUAGUCAUCAUCGGUGAACAUCUCCAUGUUGAUCGUAUCUACUAUACGAUUCAUGUUCGACCUUUCGGUCUCUUGUGUUCCGAGGCCAUGUCUAUACAUGCUAGGCUCGUCAAGUCAACCUAAGUGUUUCGCAUGUGUUCCGAGGCCAUGUCUGUACAUGCUAGGCUCGUCAACACCCGUUGUAUUCGAACGUUAGAAUCUAUCACACCCGAUCAUCACGUGGUGCUUCGAAACAACAAACCUUCGCAACGGUGCACAGUUAGGGGGAACACGUCUCUUGAAAUUUUAGUGAGGGAUCAUCUUACUUACUACCGUCGUUCUAAGCAAAUAAGAUGCAAAACAUGAUAAACAUCACAUGCAAAUCAUAAAGUGACGUGAUAUGGCCAAUAUCAUCUUGCGCCUUUGAUCUCCAUCUUUGAGGCGCGGCAUGAUCACCUUCAUCACCGGCAUGACACCAUGAUCUCCAUCAUCAUGAUCUCCAUCAUCGUGUCUUCAUGAAGUUGUCUCGCCAACUAUUACUUCUACUACUAUGGCUAACGGUUAGCAAUAAAGUAAAGUAAUUACAUGGCGUUUGUCAUUGACACGCAGGUCAUACAAUAAAUUAAGACAACUCCUAUGGCUCCUGCCGGUUGUCAUACUCAUCGACAUGCAAGUCGUGAUUCCUAUUACAAGAAUAUGAUCAAUCUCAUACAUCACAUAUAUCAUUCAUCACAUCUUCUGGCCAUAUCACAUCACAUAGCACAUGCUGCAAAAACAAGUUAGACGUCCUCUAAUUGUUGUUGCAAGUUUUUACGUGGCUUGUAUAGGUUUCUAGCAAGAACGUUUCUUACCUACGUAAGACCACAACGUGAUAUGCCAAUUUCUAUUUACCCUUCAUAAGGACCCUUUUCAUCGAAUCCGUUCCGACUAAAGUGGGAGAGACAGACACCCGCUAGCCACCUUAUGCAACUAGUGCAUGUCAGUCGGUGGAACCUGUCUCACGUAAGCGUACGUGUAAGGUCGAUCCGGGCCGCUUCAUCCCACAAUACCGCCGAAACAAGAUAAGACUAGUAGUGGCAAGAAGAAUUGGCAACAUUGACGCCCACAACUACUUUGUAUUCUACUCGUGCAUAGAAACUACGCAUAGACGUAGCUCAUGAUGCCACUGUUGGAGAACGUAGCAGAAAUUCAAAAUUUUCUACGCAUCACCAAGAUCAAUCUAUGGAGUAAUCUAGCAACGAGGGGAAGGGGAGUGCAUCUACAUACCAUUGUAGAUCGCGAUGCGGAAGCGUUGCAAGAACGCGGAUGAAGGGGUCGUACUCGUAGCGAUUCAGAUCGCGGUUGAUUCCGAUCUAAGCACCGAAGAACGGUGCCUCCGCGUUCAACACACGUGCAGCCCGGUGACGUCUCCCACGCCUUGAUCCAGCAAGGAGAGAGGGAGAGGUUGGGGAAGAAUCCAUCCAGCAGCAGCACGACGGCGUGGUGGUGAUGGAGGAGCGUGGCAAUCCCGCAGGGCUUCGCCAAGCACCGCGGGAGAGGAGGAGGGAGAGAGGUAGGGCUGCGCCAAGAGAGACCGGAAAACUCAUGUGUUGGGCAGCCCUAGACCUCAACUAUAUAUAGGGGGAGGAGGGGCCUGCGCCCCCUCUAGGGUUCCCACCCCAAGGGGUGGCGGCCAGCCCUUGAUCCCAUCUAGGGGGGCGGCCAAGGGGAGGAGAGGGGGGCGCCACUAGGGUGGGCCUUAAGGCCCAUCUGGACCUAGGGUUUGCCCCCUCCCACUCUCCCAUGCGCCUUGGGCCUUGGUGGGGGGGCGCACCAGCCCACCUGGGGCAGGCCCCCUCCCACACUUGGCUCACGCAGCCUUCUGGGGCUGGUGGCCCCACUUGGUGGACCCCCGGGACCCUCCCGGUGGUCCCGCUACAUUACCGAUAUCACCCGAAACUUUUCCGGUGACCAAAACAGGACUUCCCAUAUAUAAAUCUUUACCUCCGGACCAUUCCGGAACUCCUCGUGACGUCCGGGAUCUCAUCCGGGACUCCGAACAACAUUCGGUAACCACGUACAUCUAUUCCCUAUAACCCUAGCGUCAUCGAACCUUAAGCGUGUAGACCCUACGGGUUCGGGAACCAUGCAGACAUGACCGAGACGUUCUCCGGUCAAUAACCAACAGCGGGAUCUGGAUACCCAUGUUGGCUCCCACGUGUUCCACGAUGAUCUCAUCGGAUGAACCACGAUGUCGGGGAUUCAAUCAAUCCCGUAUUCAAUUCCCUUUGUCUAUCGGCAUGUUACUUGCCUGAGAUUUGAUCGUCGGUAUCCCGAUACCUUGUUCAAUCUCGUUACCGGCAAGUCUCUUUACUCGUUCCGAAACUCACAUCAUCUCGUGAUCAACUCCUUGGUCACAUUGUGCACAUUAUGAUGAUGUCCUACCGAGUGGGCCCAGAGAUACCUCUCCGUUUACACGGAGUGACAAAUCCCAGUUUCCAUUCGUGCCAACCCAACAGACACUUUCGGAGAUACCUGUAGUGCACCUUUAUAGCCACCCAGUUACGUUGUGACGUUUGGUACACCCAAGGCAUUCCUACGGUAUCCGGGAGUUGCACAAUCUCAUGGUCUAAGGAACUGAUACUUGACAUUAGAAAAAGCUCUGAGCAAACAAACUACACGAACUUGUGCUAGGCUUAGGAUUGGGUCUCGUCCAUCACAUCAUUCUCCUAAUGAUGUGAUCCCGUUAUCAACGACAUCCAAUGUCCAUGGUCAGGAAACCGUAACCAUCUAUUGAUCAACGAGCUAGUCAACUAGAGGCUUACCAGGGACAUGGUGUUGUCUAUGUAUCCACACAUGUAUCUGAGUUUCCUAUCAAUACAAUUCUAGCAUGGAUAAUAAACGAUUAUCAUGAACAAGGAAAUAUAAUAGUAACCAAUUUAUUAUUGCCUCUAGGGCAUAUUUCUAACAGACAAUGCUUCAACGGCAGACUUCGACGGUCGCGGUGAUGCUACGGGACGUGCUUCGACGACCAUGGCAAUGGUGCGGCAACAUGCUUCUAACGUCGGUGUUGUACUUGGAUGGCAGCGAUGAUGUUGUGACGACAUGGUUGGACAGCCACGACGUCCUGAUUCGACAACCAUGAUGAUGUUGCGGCAACGUGUUCCACGGCCACGAAACUGUUGCAAUGAUGGACAUGGCUGCACAACGAUAAUGCAACGACUGCAGCGGUGCGGCAAUGGUGACCCGGCUGCUUCGAUGAUGCUACGAUGGCAUGCGUCGAAGAAGGUGGUGGCGUCAAUGGUGCUACUCUAAACAUUAGCAACCUUCACUUUACCACAAUCAGCAUCGAGAAAGAUGGUGUUCUAGUAUUUGUACCAUCACAUGUGUAGUUACCUAGCAAAAUCACUGCAUAUGGAGUACGUUAAAAAAGAUCAUUUAAAUAGGCAGUCGUCCGGACGCUACCACAUGUCACGAACUUUGGAUACUUUUGCGUGUGGAAGACAGAGCAUUUGCUACCUUCCUGUGUGGGAGAUAGUGCUUGCGCCACACGAUCAUGUGGGAUCGGAGGGCUCCGGACGUGAUUGAUAAAGACAAGAAAUCAUCCGACUUAUUUAAAACAUUUUCCCUCGCUGAAUGCUCACCUUUUACUCGCAAUGGCCACUUGUCGGUUAGCCUGGUUGACGCAUUUCUGUUUGUUUGUGACUUUGCAGUGUUUUUGCUGCUUUAUUUGUUCUUUUAUAUAUUUUUACUGGCCUUUCUUAUUUUAUCAACUUAUGAUUAUUUUAUUAUAUUAUAAAAAAUAUGUCUGUUUUAUUCUAGGUAAUCCUUUUUAUUUGCACUAUUGACAGAAAUAGUUCGUAUUAAAAAGGUCCUUACUCAUUUCAAAAUAUAUAAUGCAUUUGAAAUUUGUUUAUACAUUCUAAAUAUAAUGUUCUUGUACUUUUGAAUAUGAUUUACCUAUUUGGAAAAAUAUUCAUUUAGUUCGUAAAAAAAUCUUUUAUUCAAAACGAAAUUACAUGUAUUCGCAAAGAGUGUUCACGUAUUUCUAAAAAUGUCCAUGUAAUUAUUAAAGUAUUCUCACAUUUAAAAAUAUAUUCACAUAUGUUUGGAAAAUAAUCCUUUACGACAUAAAAUAGAAAAUACACUGGAAAUUUUAUAUCGCGUAUUUAAAAAAAUACUCAUCAUAUAUUAAAUAAAUUUCAUUGUGUUAAAAAAUAUUCAUCAUUUAUUUAAAAUACAUACGUUGUGUUUUUAAAAGGUCAUGUGUAAUGUUAUUUGCUAAUUGCAUAAGUUAAAUAAGUAAGAAGAAAAUCACAGAAAAUAAAGAAAGAGAAAAAUGUGGGGAAAGAACAACAAAUAAUAGGGAAAUGAAAAAAAGAGGCAAAGAUAAUUAAAAGAAUUCAAGAAAAAAAUUGAUAAAAACACCCACAAGAAACUAGUUGAAAACAAGAAAAAAAGAUAAUAUCAUGAACAAAAAUCAGGCAGAAACACGAAGAAGAGAGCCAUGUGUUCAACGAACCUAAAAGUAAUCAGCACAUCGCAUGUGGUGUUCUGCAGGCGAGCUCUAACUAAGAGCAUCUCCACCCGCCCCCCAGGACGUCCCCCAGGACACCUUUUUAGGCUCGGUUUUACGCUCGGACCACCUUUUUGCCGAAAUACGGCCCAGCAAUGCCCCCAGCGCCCCCACAGGACAUCAAAAUAGCGCCGGCAAAUCCAGGAAAAACGCAGCACAUUGGGGGGCUUUUGGGGGCGUCGACAGAAGUUUCGGCGAAUCGUGUCUCACCACAUGUCUUUUUUCUUGGCCCACAUAAUCAUUUUCCUCACAAACAUUUGACUGGGGUGGGGUGUGGCUGAGAAGAUGCCCUCCUCAUGCACCCAUAUUUCGGCCGGAUGAAGCAUUUGGACCCCCAAGACACCUACUUUUUUGGUUCGGUGGUGUUUUUGGGUGCUCCAACGGCUGGAGAUGCUCUAAUACUUGGUACAAUCGAUAUAUAUAUUAUUUGCCGCCCGGAAGCACGUCUAGUAAAAGAGUUUCUCAAGAAGGUUGGGCGAAUGUGUCAUAGCCCACCCUGAGAUCUCCCAACCUUCUAUAUAUAUUAUAGAAAAAAGUAAAAAAAGACAUGUUUUUUUUGAAUAAAACCCCAUACAUUAAUUAAUUAAUAAUGUUAUUACAAUCAUUCAUUACAAAAUUCGCCACACAGGGCGGAACGCUAUUAAGAAGAAUCCCAUCAGAUUUACUUAUAAAGCUAAACUUCGCAAUUUCAUGAGCCACCUUAUUGGCGUUCCGAUUAAUUUUCGCAAUUUUAAAAUUCUUAAGCAUCUUCGAUAUACUCAAGGCUUCUUUCUUCAGAUCAACGAGCGAGGACCUGUCCAGAUUCUCAUUUGCAAGGAAAGAACGGACAAAAGCACAACCAGUCUCCAAAAUAAUGGACUGGUGAAGAGUAAUACCUAUAUAAUGGCCUGCCAGGCAAGCACGCAGCUCAGCUUCAUUCACACUGUAGCACUGACCCAGAAAGUCCCACGAAGAUAUAAUAACUUCGCCAGAUUUGUUCCUAACAACCACCCCCACACUGGCCGCAGUAAUACUCUCCACAUAGCUGGCAUCGACAGUGAUCUUGAUAUAAUCUUCUGGUGGAGGUUUCCAACCCACCUGUUGUUGUGAUGUUGCGAAAACUGGUGUUGCACCUCCCAUUUUUUCUUUACCUUUGUUACUAGGAACAACCUCGACAGUGUCAUGACAGGACGUAAAAGAAGACCAAUAGUUUACCACAAAAAUUGCAGAAGCAGCAAUGGAUUCCUGCCCUUUUCCAAAAAUUAAAUCAUUUCUCAUGUGCCAUGCUCGCCAGAAAAGAAACAAAACUUGCUCUCGCUGUUGCAGGCUCAAAUGAUCCAACAGAAUCAAUAGCCAAUCUGGCCCCGAGAAUUUGAACCACUCUUCAUCAGGAAUAUUCCAUGAUUCUCUCAAGGCAAGUCGCAGAGCACGAGCCUUAGAACAAGUAACGAGGGCAUGAAAAGUGCUUUCAUCUUCUACUCCACAAAUAGAGCACAUACCUGAAGUAAUCUGAUGGUGCUUAACUUUAUUGGUCUGGACUGCCAAGCUAUUGGUUGCGGCCCUCCAGGCAAAAAUCCUUAUCUUCUGAGGGAUAUUAGCCUUCCAAAUUAAAUUUGAGAGCCUUCUUUCUCCACAUGGAUCUCCACUAGAUUGACCCAAUUUAUCUUGACUAUCCUUCAACUUAAUUGCUAAAUUGUACGCACUUUUAACAGAAAAUAUACCGUUCUUCUCAUAGUGCCACACAAUAAAAUCCCCAUCCCCAUAAGCAUGAAUACUAAUCUUAAGAAUCUCCUCUGCGUCAUGGGGAUAGAAAAGCUACUUAAUCAAAUUUUCAUCCCAUACCUUUCUCCCGCUCAAGAACAAAUCAGAGACCCAUCUCAAUCUAGUAUUAUGCCUUUUAGCAGAAAUUUUAAGGCCAGUGCUCCUCGAUAACCAAUUAUCCCUCCAAAUAUUAAUACUAGAUCCAUCACCCACCCGCCAAAUGGCGUCAUUUUGAAGUAAUUCCAGACCAUGCAUAAUACCUUGCCAAGUGAGUGAUGCAGACUGAGGAAACACUGUAUCAAGAAUAUGUCCCUGAGGAUAAUACUUUGCCUUCAUAUGCUUAGCACACAAUGAAUCCAGAUAAACCAAUAACCUCCACGCUUGUUUGGCUAAGAGGGCUUGGUUAAAUAAUCUGAGCUCCUGAAAUCCCAUACCACCCUUACCUUUAGACCUUAUUAAUUUGUCCCAUGCUAACCAAUGUGUUUUUCUUCGAUCUUCCUCAUCUCCCCACCAAAAAUUCCUGAUAAUCUGGGUUAAGUCCUCACAAAGGGAAGUCGGGAACUUAAAAAUACCCAUAGCAUGCACAGGUAGAGCUUGAAUAACUGAUUUUAUUAAGUCUUCUUUCACCCCACAAGAGCGUAUUUCUCUAUCCAGUCAGAGAGCCUUUUCAAAACCUUCUCUUUAGUAGAUUGAAACUUACCAGCUUUCAUUCUUCCCUCAGGAACCGGAAGUCCAAGAUAUUUAUCUUCGAACCCAUCGACCGUAAUUUUUAAGAUUACCAUUAUAGCCACUUGAUUCUCCAAACUACACUUUUUCCCAAACAUCAUGGAACACUUAUCAGGACAGAAUAACUGCCCAGUCCCUUUCUCAUACUCCGUCAAAAUAUUUUUAAUGACAACUGCUUGAUCAAUGGAGCCUUUGAAAAUUAACAUACUGUCGUCCGCAAACAGCAAGUGAGAAAUACCUGGGGCUUGUCUAUUCAAAUGGAACUCCUGAAGAACUCCCCUGGUAGAAGCAUCUUUAAGCAGUAAAGAAAGUGCCUCGGCAACAAAUAGGAACAAAUACGCGGAUAAAGGAUCUCCCUGCCUGAGCCCCCGAGAAGGUGAAAACGUCUCCAACAAUUGUCCGUUGAAGCGCACCGCAAAUUUCACUGAUGUAACACAUGCCAUAAUCCAAUUUAUCCACGUCGGUGCAAAACCCAAAGCCCCCAUCAUACAUUGUAAGAAACGCCAGUCCACCCUAUCAAAGGCUUUCGCCAAGUCCAACUUAUAUGCGCAAAAUUCCCCUCUGAAAUCUUUCAGCGUACUUAACGAAUGCAUACAUUCAAAAGCUAUGAGAGCAUUCUCAGAAAUUAACCUUCCCAGAAUAAACGCAUUUUGAGUAGGCGAAAUCAUACCAUCAAGGAGCCGUCGCACUCUGUUAACAAGGCAUUUGGAAAUAAUCUUAUAGGUAACAUUGCACAAACUGAUCGGCCUGAACUCUUUAAUAGACUGAGGAUUCUUAACUUUUGGGAUGAGAACAAUAGUUGUGUUAUUAAUCCCCUCUGGCAUAAUUCCAUAAUUAAAAAACUGUUGGACAGCCUUAACAAUAUCCUAAUUGAUCUAACCCAAUUUCGUUGGAAAAACCUUGCAGGAAAACCAUCCAGACCCGGAGCUUUUAACGGUUCCAUUUGAAAAAGCGCAACACUAAUCUCUUGUUCAAAAAAUGGUUUGCAAAGCUCAUCAUUCAUAUCAUCAGAUACAAGGGGUUUGACCAACGACAUAAUAUGUGACGGGUCAACGGAGUCGUCAACAGAAUAAAGAUUUUUAAAGAACGAGUUUGUUAUACCUUUCAUUUCCUCCAGAUUUUCCGUGAGACCCCCAUCAUCCUUCCUUAGUGCCGCACUUUGCUCUCCAUGAAGCCGUUCUCUGAAAAUAAUUAGUAUUACGAUCUCCUCCUCUUAUCUUAUCCAAACGAGAUCUUUGCUUCCAUAGCAUCUCUUCCUUUAUAAGAAGCUCAUCCAUCUCUUGAAGAAUUUUCUUCCUUUCCAUCACUGCGGAAUGAUCAUUCCUACUAAACAACACAUUUAGUCUUUUACGAGCCCACUCCAGUUUCUUUGGUAAAUAACCAAUAUGGACCCGACUCCACCCAUGAAGAGAUUUCAUUAAUUUGUCUAACUUAUUAGCAAUAUCUUCAAGAUCAUUAAUAUUAGACUCUCUAUUCCAGCAAGCACUAAUCAGGUCGUCCAAAGCUCCACCUUCCCUCUCCCAAUAAGAUUCAUAUUUCAACUGAUUAACAAAUCUACCCACCCGGUGAGUACCCAAAAUCUCAACAAAAAUGGGACAAUGAUCAGACCUGGAGCUUAUUAUAUGGGAUACCUUACAUCGAGGGAACAUUGAAGACCAAAGCGGGCAUGCCACCGCACGAUCAAGACGCACCUUGACAUUCUUGUUUCCAUCUUGUUUGUUAUUAUACGUCCAAGGCACGCCAUGGUAACCCAAGUCAUAUAAAUUGCAAUCAGACAAAGCUUCACGAAAAUUAGCCAUUAGUCUAGUAGACCUCUUAUGACGAGAGUAGUGCUCUUCUUGCCACAUAGCUUCGUUAAAAUCCCCCACCAUAAACCAAGCUCCAACACCAAGAGGUUUAAUCCGUCUCAAGAGAUCCCAGAUAACAUACCUUUGACUCGCCUUAGGGUCACCGUAAAUGAAGGUGCACCUCCACUUUGUUCCCUCUCCCUUGUCGACGUACAAAUCAGUAAAGUGGUCACCAUAUUUGUUCAGCUCACAAGAGUACGCCUCAUCCCAAAACACAGCUAGUCCACCACCUUUACCAUGGCCAGAAACAGUAAAAACAUUAUUCAUACCCAACCUAUAGCGCAAGCUCUCAACAUACACUUUAUUCUUUCUUGUUUCAGAUAAAAAGAUAAUAUUGGGUCUGUGCGUCUUUGAGAGGCACACCAACUCUUGAACUGUACGAGGUUGACCCAAGCCUCAGACAGUUCAAGAGUUGGUGUGCCUCUCAAAGACAUGUUUGACCCAAAAAUCAUACGAAAAGAUAGUUAUUGGCAACCUUGGCCUAAAAACAUGGAUCUGUCAUGGUUUAUUAAGCUAGCAAUGCCUACUGACACAGUCAGUCUAUUAUUAAGCAUAAAGUAAAUACUUGACUAAUUAAAAAUUGGAUAAUGCCAUCAGUGUGUUUUGACGCAAACUAGAAAAUAGAGUAAUUUUAAAAUUAAAUAUACAUGUAUCAAGUAACUGGUGCAGCUAGACUCGCAUGAUCUAGAUAAACAUUUAUUUUGUAACCCUAUCCUGUAAUUAAUUAAAAAAAACAUUUGCUAAGGAUUACAGAAAUUCUUGUGCACAAACGGUUGAAUUCUUUUUAUGUUUCUAUCGAUAUUUUAUUUAAUGUUGUUUUAUCCAUCUCUUUGAUGUUUUUAUUUUUAUUUUUAAAUUCUUAUUUUGUUAUUUAUUUAUCGAAGUAUUUUUUAUAUUUUGUUAUUUCUUUAUAUGUAUCAUCAAGACAAAAAGCUACGACUCCGUAUGCGCUUGGUCACUUUCCUCUGUUGAGCCCAUAUUCCCUCACUCAUUCACUCAAAUGUGUUAGUUAAUCAGCCAUUUUUACAUGUGUUAAGUCUUACGGGAAAAAACAAACAAGUACAUGUGUUAAGUCUUAGGAAAAAAAACAAGUGUACAUGAUGGCCACUAGAGAGUAGAGACUGGACACUAGAGCAGCAUAUAUACUAGCCACACUCCGUAGGCUCCAUCCGCUCGCCGUCAGCCAAAUAGGCUCGCCCUCGCCUCCUCUUCUCUUCUCUCAUCUCUUCCUUGCCUCCUCACAAUGCUCGCCAAAUGCUCACCAUUCACCUGCAAUGCAUCCACUGUGUGUCACCCUAGUUAACGCAAUGUUUCAUAAAUAAAAGGAAAUUUCAUGAAUUUACAAAAUCAGCGGACCAAGGAUUGCCAUGACAGGAAAAAUUAACAAAAACUAUUUUUUUUCUUCUGAUUUUCAGUGUUUUUGCUGUUUUAUUUGAUCUUUUAUUUAUUUUUAGUUGGUUAUUUUUUGCUUUUCUCCUCUAGUGUUUAUUUUAUAUAUAAAAUAAUCAGUGAAUUCCGGUUUUUACCCUCUAUUUUGACAUUUUUCCACUAAUUACCCCAUCUAGUGGGAUUUAUCCAUUUUACCCCAUUUAGCAGAAGCGUUACCACAAUUUACCCCGUGGUGGCAAAUAUGUGGACCACUACAGAGUGACUAUAUGUUUCCUGAGCUGCUCUGGUGCGAUCAUAGCGAGCCUAACCUGUCGGAAGAAGCUAGCUAGGGCGAUGCAGUUCGGCGUGCAGAAAAAGCAUCAAGAAAAAACUAGCCGAUGUGGCAUCCAAGUAGGUCUUACAAUUGGGACCCGUCGGUCAGAACACUCAUAAAUUUUAAACAGGGUAAACUGUGGCAACACUUUUGUAAAUAGGGUAAAAUAGAUGAAAUUCCGCUAAAUAGGGUAGUUAGUGUAAAAAUGUCAAAACAGAGGGUAAAAACAAGAAUUCACUCUAAAAAAUCUAAGCUAUUCUGGGUCACUUUUUGAUUAACGAAACUGAUCCAUGUUUAUUAAACGAAAUUGAUGCAUAUGCCGUGAUACGCAUGCAUGCUGAUUAAACAAAACUGAUGCAUUUCAAUCUUCGUAUGGGUGCGCGGACCUUUUUCUUUCCAUUUGCCUCGCAGCUUAAUAAUUGAUUGAUGCAUCUCAAUCUUGGUAUCAUGGCGACCAAAACCAUGAAUUCCUUGCCCUUCACCCCCCUCACUAAAGGUGUUGCCUCCACAUAUGCGAGGGCCACUUUGCUAGUUGAAGAAAAUAGUGACGGAGAUUAAAAAAAACCAAUUCGAGAGCUUGUAUUUUUGAAAAUUCUUCAGUUCGUAUCAAUUGCUCUUGGCAACAAUUCCACUUUCCCUGCUCUCCUCUGUUAUGGUCGCAAAGAAAGGGUGCUGAUGCGAAGCUAGAGCAUAGAUGCCUGUACGUUUUAAGAAAAAGGGUUUCCCCCGCUUUAUAGAUAAAGCAUUACCGAACAACCGAAUCCUGCCGAUACAAACACACACACACACCACACCCAAGGCCAGAUACAAGGACGCUGAUAACAGCAACACUACCCCGACAAAAUCCUAGCCAACAUCAGAUGAACACAAUAAGUACUACUACGAAGAUGUCGGGGCCCUCAACCGUGGGCGGGCCACCGCGAAGAGGAGAAGUCGUGUAGGACGAACAAUGAGCUCCAAAGCGACGCCUUCAGCAAGGGAACGACACCAUUGUGUCGCCACCGCCCAAUCCAAGGAUUAGAGUUUCCCCCGGAGCACUCCGAUGACAAAUGAGAUGCCGCGACGGCGCCUUCAAGAAGAGGACGACACUAGAACGCCGCUGCCGUCGGCCUGGCAAAGCAGAACGGGUUUUCACGACCGGCAGGGGCACCCUGCCCCUUCCCGAAGUCCCAUGCCACCACCGGCAGGCCUCGCGCGCACCACCACACCAUGGCGCCACCCCGACCCGACGAGCGCGUCGCUGAGUCCAAAGAAGAGGGAGGGAGCUCACCCGAGUUGCCACGCGCAUAUCAGACAACCACCAGGCCGCAGCAGCGCCGCUGCAGACCACCCCACUCCGAGGUCUAGACCGACCUCAGCCACCGUCCCGCGCCGCCCGCCGCCAUCCAGGAGCCGGAUCUAGGAGGGUUGGGCCGGAUCCGCGCUAGCACGCCACCGCCCAGAUCGGGAAUCCCAGCGGCCGUCACGCCACAAACGAGCCUACCACUCGACGUCGUGUCCCCACCAGGCAACCCCGCCGCCGAACUCCGAGCACGCCGCCGCGCCGCCGGCCCUGCCAAAGACCGGCGCCCCCACUCGACCGGCUGUCUCACGCCAGCCGCGGAGCACGAGGGCGAGGAAGAAGAGGCCCCGCCGCCGCCCCCACCGGCCGGGCUUCGCCCGACAGCGUCGCUGGGCGGCGGCGAGGGAGGAGAGCAGAGGAGAGGGAGGACGGGUCACGGCGGCUAGGGUUCCCCCCGGUCGCUCGCGAGAGCGACAUGGGAGGGGAGGGGAGAGGGAUUAUAUCCCGUGAUGCCCUGUACGUUUUGAGGGGAAAUGGGUACUUGGAUUUGGAUAUAUGAAACAAUCAAGCGCCUUUUCAAUCAUGAACAGAGAAACUGAAACACUAAUCAUUACUGAAAAAAAAAACCUAACCAUUACAAACGUAAUCCAAAACGAAUAUAUGAAGAAAAAAUGGAGAAAUUAAUCAAUUAGGCUGCUGCACACGGAUUAAUUGCUUGUUCAUCAUCAUAAUACAAUUAGCAAGACACCUUUUGUGCCAUGACAAUGACAUACAUCAAAGCUCAUCUAACGUGCACCGGAAGGCGUCGUCUUCAUCAUCUGCAGCGCUAGUGCCUUCUUGGACUUCGCCGUCGAGUUUGCCGGGCAAGAACCCCUGCGCCACCACAGCGUCAUGGAGCUCGGGAAAAUCUUGAAGCAUGUCGUCGGUGAAGAACCCGCCUGGAUCCACGCUGCCGUCGUCCACAGCUCCGGGCGGCAAGAACGUCUCGCCUUCGUCGGACAUGAACCAGCGCCCAUACUCGUGAAACAUCCCGGCUUGUUGGACGAUCGGCGGUUCCUGGCGGCGUGGGGUUUGGGGACGUGGAGCAUCGGGGUGCUGGACGUCGGCGGCCUUCCUUUUCCUGGAACCGGGAGCAUUGAUUACCUCGUCGUAUGUGGUCUCGCUCCUGUGACGAGACACGCAGACCUUGCAGAGCACCAAGCCGUCUUGCUUGUCAUCGCUGUACUCGUUCAUGCACCAGCCGAUCCUGAUCCUCUCUUUCUCUCCCGGCAACUUCUUGACGUAGCUGAGGUUUCGUCUAUGGCCUACGAGUUUACCUUGGUUGUCUAGCACGGGGAUCCCGCCCUUCUCCGAGUGCCAGUAGUAACCCUCGCCGGCGUCGGCCACGCCACGCUGUCGCCUCCCGCCACCGCGGCCGCCUUUGGUCUGGUGACGACGGGCAGGGGUGAAGAAGUACCAGACGCCCCCUUUCCCGUCGCCCUUGUCCGUUCCUUGCGCGUGUUGAUACAUCUCGACGAGGUCGCCGGGGGCGGCGGAGUAGGCGUCGAACUCGUGGAUGAGGCGCCUGGCGAAGAAGGCGUCGGCGAUCCGUGGGCGGAGGAAGUUGGUGAUCAGCUCGUGCUCGGCUGGGUCGAAGGCGUAGCCGGCGGGAGGAUCCAUCUACAUUGCUUAUAUAGAUGGAUCGACAGCGAGCCCGCCCGGGAUUCAGUUUCCUUGACCGGUCAUACGUACGUGUCCUAAGCAAUCCGUACAUGAAAUGGAUUAGUACAGCAAUCCGUACAUAAAAUGGACUAGUGCAGCACGCCCCAUGAUGCUCCGUCGCUGCACCGACCUUGCUCCAUUGCAGCUCGCGUCGCUGCACCUUGCCGCUAGGUAAUACUCAGCAUGCUUCGGCGGACAUGGUGAUGCUAUGAGGCGUGCUACAUCGACCGCCGCGAUGGUGCAACGUCAUCCGGGCUGCUUUGAUGAAGCUGCGACAGCCGCGGCGUUGACGUUUCGACAUGCUUCAAACACCCAUGGUGUGCUUUGACGGCCACGACAAUGCUUCAACGGCAGACUUCGACGGUCGCGGUGAUGCUACGGGGCGUGCUUCGACGACCAUGGCAAUGGUGCGGCAACAUGCUUCUAACGUCGGUGUUGUACUUGGAUGGCAGCGAUGAUGUUGUGACGACAUGGUUGGACAGCCACGACGUCCUGCUUCGACAACCAUGAUGAUGUUGCGGCAACGUGUUCCAGGGCCACGAAAGUGUUGCAAUGAUGGACAUGGCUGCACCAACGAUAAUGCAACGACUGCAGCGGUGUGGCAAUGGUGACCCGGCUGCUUCGAUGAUGCUACGAUGGCAUGCGUCGAAGAAGGUGGUGGCGUCAAUGGUGCUACUCUAAACAUUAGCAACCUUCACUUUCCACAAUCAGCAUCGAGAAAGAUGGUGUUCUAGUAUUUGUACCAUCACAUGUGUAGUUACCUAGCAAAAUCACUGCAUAUGGAGUACCUUAAAAAAGAUCAUUUAAAUAGGCAGUCGUCGAACGCUACCACAUGUCACGAACUUUGGAUACUUUUGCGUGUGGAAGACAGAGCAUUCGCUACCUUCCUGUGUGGGAGAUAGUGCUCGCGCCACACGAUCAUGUGGGAUCGGACGGCUCCGGACGUGAUUGAUAAAGACAAGAAAUCAUCCGACUUAUUUAAAACAUUUUCCCUCGCCGAAUGCUCACCUUUUACUCGCAAUGGCCACUUGUCGGUUACCCUGGUUGACGCAUUUCUGUUUGUUUGUGACUUUGCAGUGCUUUUGCUGCUUUAUUUGUUCUUUUAUAUAUUUUUACUGGCCUUUCUUAUUUUAUCAACUUAUGAUUAUUUUAUUAUAUUAUAAAAAAUAUGUCUGUUUUAUUCUAGGUAAUCCUUUUUAUUUGCACUAUUGACAGAAAUAGUUCGUAUUAAAAAGGUCCUUACUCAUUUCAAAAUAUAUAAUACGUUUGAAAUUUGUUUAUAUAUUCUAAAUAAAAUGUUCUUGUACUUUUGAAUAUGAUUUACCUAUUUCAAAAAAUAUUCAUUUAGUUCGUAAGAAAAAUCUUUUAUUCAAAACGAAAUUACAUGUAUUCGCAAAGAGUGUUCACGUAUUUCUAAAAAUGUCCAUGUAAUUAUUAAAGUAUUCUCACAUUUAAAAAUAUAUUCACAUAAGUUUGGAAAAUAAUCAUUUAGGACAUAAAAUAGAAAAUACACUUGAAUUUUUUUAUCGCGUAUUUAAGAAAAAUACUCAUCAUAUAUUAAAUAAAUUUCAUUGUGUAAAAAAAUAUUCAUCAUUUAUUUAAAAUACAUACGUUGUGUUUUUAAAAGGUCAUGUGUACUGUUAUUUUCUAAUUGCAUAAGUAAAAUAAGUAAGAAGAAAAUCACAGAAAAUAAAGAAAGAGAAAAAUGUGGGAAAAGAACAACAAAUAAUAGGGAAAUGAAAAAAGAGGCAAAGAUAAUUAAAAGAAUUCAAGAAAAAAAUUGAUUAAAAAACCCACAAGAAACUAGUCGAAAACAAGAAAAAAA